AAUCAGUAAACUAUUGCAUCUUGUAUCCGUCUCUCUUCUGCUUUGACUGCGAUUGCACCUUUGGUAUUGCUGAUUUUUCAAUCCGUUACUGGGUUAUUCUACUGAUUGUUACUGGUUUGCGGUGUUGCUGAACCUGCUGUUGCUGUGGUAUUAUUGCUGCUGACUCCUACUGCUUUUGUUCUUGUACUUCCAUUUUCAGGUACACAUUUGUAUACUCUCGGAUUGAAGAGAAAUGAAAUAUUAAUCAGGCUUUGUUCCUGUUGAAUCCCUCCUGUUUAGAUUUGUGUUUGAAUAUAAUUUUCCUUUCUUUGUAUAAAAAUGUAGUUGAUUGAUUAAAUGAAUAAUGAUGUCGCAUAUGCAUAACUUCUUCAUCUAAUAAUGUUAGUUUAAAUUAAUCAAAGAAUAGUUAAUCUGUUUUGAUAUUAUGGUGUGUCAAUCUCACGUUUUAGUAUUAUUGAAUAAUAGAAUAUAGAAUGAAAGCAGUUUUUCUUUGUACAAACUCGGUCGCAAUUUUCCAUUCGCAUUAGCCGUAAACUAACAACUAAUAAGUUACGUUUUAGCAUGUAAUUAAUUAAGAGAUUUUCUUUUAUUUUAGAGAUGAACUUAAUAGAAAAAUAUAGUCACUGUAGGUUUAUCCUUUUAAAAUAAAAUGAGACGAGCCUCGACAAACAAAAAUGCAUAAGUUGCGGGGCCCUCUAAAUGUAUAUAUUAAAAUACUUAGAAUUCGAGACAAGCCGUUUAGCGAAUUUUACGGCCUUCCCAAAAUAACAAUACGCUAGUUGCUUUAGGCGCACCUUUAAUAAUUUAACCUUCUUAAACACGGGUGCACAUUGAUGUGACCCAAAUCCAAAUCUCAACGGAGUCAAAAUAUGUCGACGACCACGGGUGCAUUGAUUGUGACGUGGUUCGAGAUGCAUUUUCACGACGUUGCAAUUCUAUAAAAAUAAAUGAUAAUAAUAAAAGCGGUUUUAAACUUAAUAAAAGCACAUAAGUCACAACAUGUAUUUAAAUCAGAUAUUUAGCCAUUAUAACAAUUUAAGCGACCGUGCUAGAACCACGUGAUUCGAGGGUGCCUAACACCUUCCCUCGGGUCAACAUAAUUCCUUACUUAGAAUUUCUGGUUCGCAGACUUCAUUUGGAAAAGUCGAAAAUUUCCUCGAUUUGGGAUUCAAGAUAAACCGGUGACUUGGGAUACCAAAAACCAAACCUUUUCCAAGUGGCGACUCUGAAUUAAAUAAAUAAUCCCAUUUCGAAUAUUGUCACUUAAAUUGGAAAAACUCCCUCACACAUUUUUACCCUUCGAGGCGGGGCGCGCAAAAAGGAGGUGUGACAAAAAUCCAACUCCAAACAUCCCAAAGUAAUUUCUAGUUGUUCUUUCCAUUCUCUAAAGUUGGAACCAUUCAACUCGAAAAUAUUGGACAUAUUUCUUGAAAAUAGAACCUGGAGUAAUAACUUUAGCCAGAAAUACUACAAGUCAAUAAAAACUACUCCUAUGACAAUCAUAUAAAACAUAACGCAUCACCAUAUCUAUCCUUUGAUAAGUUAGGAUAUGAUGUGCUACCAUUAAUUGAAAAGUGAUAAUUUUCUUUUAUUCAUAUAUAUAUAUAUAUAUAUAUAUAUAAACGAUAAAAUAAUACCAAAAUUUACUUUUAGUACUUUCACCAAAAUGUUAAUACCUUUGGGUAUUAAACGGUGCAAUAUUUCUUAAAUACUAGCAUAUCUGCACGUGCGAUGCACGUGUAUUUUAUAUCAUAUUUUAAUAAAAUAUAUACUAAAUUAAUUAAUGCUUACAUAAUUGAAAAACAUUUGAUUUUAUCAUAUAUUACAUGUUUAAAUAUGCCAGAAGCUAGCACUACUUUGUAACUUUAAGAACUUUUUAUAAAUAAAGUAAAAGACAUACUCUCUACGAACUCUAUCUCAGUUCUUCUAGCCAUAACAUUAUCAAUUAUAUUUUGGUAUAUCUCCUUUAUGAGUUUGAUUGCUUCAAUAGACGGCAUAAAAAGCAACAGUUUUUGAUCGACUUUCUUUUUCCUAUAUUCUUCAAACAUAACAUAAUUAAUUGCGCUUUGGUAUAAUUAUCUUCUCAAGGUUGAUUGCUCUUUUUUGCGGAAAGAUUCAAGCCUCGGAUUUGUUUUAUAUGAAUGUAGAUGUCAUGCACAAAAUUAAGCUUCUUCAUAUAAACAUAUAAAUAAUAUACACAUUUACUCAUCAAUAAGUCUUGAGUCGUCAGGGUUCUUUCUUCACAUUAGUAUAUCAGAACUAAGAGCUCUCCUUUUCUUCCCAUUAAUGAAAAUGAUGGUUGCUUUGUCCGUCUACUUUCCUGAAAUCAUUCGGUUAUAGUAAAAAUAUAUUUCUACAAUUUCUAAGGAGCGUAUAGUGCUUAAAUAACUUCAAGAAUGCAACAAGAAUUGAUGUCAUAAGAAAUUAUCAAUACUGAUUAGAGGAAUUUAUGCCUCUUACCAUGCCUCAUUUUAUAUUUUAAGUUCAAAAAUAAUUCCCCAGAUUUUGAGGGAAACCUUCUUCUUCUCUAUUUUUUAUUCAAUUUUUCAACAACAUAAGUAUGAUUGUAUAUAACUAUAGACAUCACAUUUCACAACCAGGUUUGAGAAAUCAAUGUGACGCUACCUUUUCAUAUACAAGUUCAAGAGAGAGAAUGUAUUAUAAAUGUCUUGCAAACUGAAAAUUAAAAGUCAGAAAAUAAAAAAAGAAUUACUACUACUUGUAUGUAAUUAGGUAAAACCCAACAAUUAAGAAAAGGCAGAAAAUCAAAAACAACAAAUCUAUUGAUUUGGCAUUUUAAAAUCAUGAACUUACGACAAAGGACAUAAAUUCAAAGAGAGUAAACUAAAACAAACGAUAAAUAUGAAACUUUAACUAUUGUGACAAUGAAAAAUCACUAAUUGUCUUACAAUCAUCUCCAAGUUUUAAUUGUAUCGUUAUCGCUUUACAAACGAAGAAAAUUUCUACCAAAAUAAGACAUUCAAUAUACCUUAUCUUAAAUGAAGCCGUACUACAUAACCGCAUUGUAUAGAUUAUAAUUAAUAUUAUCAAGCUAAUAAACAUGACAACCAACACAAAUACAUUGGCACCCUGGGGCAUUUGUCAGCACAAAUGACAUCACCAAUAACUCAUAAUGCCCGUAUCGAGUGCGGAAAGCUAUCUUAGGGACAUCAGAUGCCCUAAUCCUCAACUGAUGGUAGCCAGAUCUCAAGUCAAUCUUCGAAAAUACAUUGGCACCCUGAAGUUGAUCAAGCAAAUCAUCAAUCCUCGGCAAUGGAUACUUAUUCUUGAUUGUAACCUUGUUCAACUGCCAGUAAUUUAUACACAUCCUCAUCGAUCCAUCCUUCUUCUUAACAAACAACACCGGCGCACCCCAAGGUUAGACACUAGGUCUAAUAAAGCCUUUAUCAAGCAAGUUUUGCAACUGCUCCUUCAAUUCUUUCAACUCAGGUGGGGCCAUACGAUAUGGUGGGAUAGCAAUGGGCUGAGUGCCUAGAGCCAAAUCAAUACAGAAGUCAAUAUCUCUAUCGGGUGGCCUACCCGGCAGGUCUGAAGGAAAUACCUCAGGAAACGCACGAACAACAGGCACAGAAUCCAUAGAAGGAACCUUGGCACUUGAAUCACAAACAUAUGCCAAAUAGGCCAAACACCCCUUCUCGACCAUAUGCCGAGUCUUCAUAUAUGAGAUAACCCUACGGGUAGAUUGACCAGGAGUCCCUCUCCACUCUAAACGAGGUAAACCUGACAUGGCUAAGGUCACAAUCUUGGCAUGACAGUCAAAGAUAGCGUGGUAAGCUGAUAACUAGUCCAUCCCCAAUAUGACAUCAAAAUCAACCAUAUCUAGAAGUAACAAAUCUACUCGAUUCUCAAGACCCCCAAUCAAAACUAUAGAUGAAUGAUGGACACGAUAUACCACAAUAGAAUCACCCACCAAUGUAGACACAUAUACAGGAGCUCUCAAAGAAUUACUAGGCAUGACCAGAUACAGUGCAAAAUAAGAUGGCACAUAGGAGUAUGUAGAUCCUGGAUCAAAUAGAACUGAAGCAUCUCUACUAAAAACUAGAACAAUACCUAUGAUAACUGCAUCGAAAGCCUUAGCCUCAGGCCUGGCUGGAAAAGCAUAACAUCGCGGCUGGGCCCCACCACUUUGAACUACAUCUCUGGGAUGGCCUCCUGCUGGCUGGCCUCCGCCUCUAGCGGCCUGACCUCCACCUCUAAUACCUCUACCUCCACCUAUAGCACCCCUACCUCUACCUCUAGCUGGCUGAGCGGGCAGUGGAAUAUUCGGUGUCUGAACCAUGGCACGGGAACCUUGAUGCUGAGAGUUGCUUGGUGCUCGAGGGUAAAAUCUAACAAUAUGCCUCGUAUCGCCACAAGUUUAACAAACCUUCGGCUGCUGGGAUUGCUGACCCUGACAACCUGAAUAACCACUCUGAAAACUCUGGAGCAGAAGUGCACUAAUAGGAGCUGGUGGUGCACGAUAGUGCAACUGAUCUGAAUACUGCAUAUGAGAACCACGACCACCUGGAGUAGCAUGAGAAGCCUGAAGUGCUGAAUGAAAUGGCCUAGAAGGAUGGCCCCUACCAAAAGAAUCCCUGCCUCCAGAUGAGGCACCACUGAACCUGCCCGAAUGACGAGGCCUCUUAUCAGACCCCUGACCACUACCCUGUGAUAGAACCAUCUGAACCCUCCUGGCCACAUUGGCCGCAUCCUGAAAAAAAAUCUCGCUCCCCGUCUCCUUAGCCAUCUACAAUCGAAUUGGCUGACUGAGUCCCUCAAUGAACCUCCUCCCUCUCUCUCUCUCAGUGGGAAGUAUAAGAAGAGCAUGACAGACCAAGUCAAUGAAUUUGGUCUCGUACUAAGUGACAGUCAUAGAACCCUACUGGAGACGCUCUCAACUGCCUCCGAUAGUUCUCCCUUUGAGUGAUAGGAAGAAACUUCUCCAAAAAUAGCUAAGAUAACUGAUCCCAAGCCAAAGCUGGUGACCCAGCUGGUCUAGCCAAUCAAUAAUCUCUCCACCAAGUCUUGGCGAAUCCAGACAAAUGAAAAACAACAAAGUCGACCCCAUUGGUCUCCACUAUCCCUAUGUUUUGAAGAACCUCAUGACAGCUAUCCAAAUGAUCCUAGGGAUACUCAGAAUAUGUACCACCAAAAGUAGUGGUGAAGAGCUUGGUGAACCUGUCCAGUCUGUGCCACAACACCAGGCUGAGCUACCCCAACUGGUUGAGCUGCUAGAGUCUGAAACUAGGGAGUCAUCUACUCCGAAGUGCAAGUAGCAGGAUUCUAGGCUCCUCCUCCAGCCUGAGAGAUGGCUGGUGCUACAGGAAGCAAGCAUGUCUGUGUGACACUCUCUAUAAGGCCCACUAGAUGGACCAGAUCAUCCUGAAGUACUAGGGAAAUGAUGAAUCCCUCUGAGACCUGAGCUGGUCCUGCUGGAACUGUCUGGGCGGGAACCUCAUCGUAAAACUCAACUUGAGGCUCCGCCACUGGUGCUCCUGCUCGAGCUCUGGGUUGAGCCCUACCUCUGCCUCGGGCCUUAGCACGACCUCGACCUCUGUGCCUCGUAGGAGCUACUACUGGGGGUGCGGGUUGUUGGUCAACUGAUGAAGCAGUACAUGUUCUCACCAUCUGCGAAAGAACAGAGUGAAAGUUUAAUUAGCAUUGAGAAAUCAAAUCGCACGACAGGAAAGAAUAGAUAUGAAGUUUUUCCUAACUCUGUAGCCUCUGGGGAUAAAUACAGACGUCUCCAUACCGAUCCUUCAGACUCUACUAAGCUUGUACGUGAAUUGUAAGACCUAAGCAAGCUAGAGCUCUGAUACCAACUUGUCAUAACUCGAAUUUCCCACCCUCGGGAGUGGAGAUGGCGCCUACUAGUAAAAGCUAGGCAAGCCAAUCAUUACAAUUAUUUAACCCUUUUCAUUUUUAAUCCCUUAACAUUUGCGAGUUAACAUUUUAUAAACAAUGGAUAUAAUAAAGUGGAAGAAUUAAAUGUACCAAUUUAAAAUAAUACCGAUACAAAUCCAUAAACAAAAGCUACCCAGAACUGGUGUCACAAUCUCACAGACUGUCUAGGAAUACUACAAAUAUGGGUCUGAAAGAUAAAUGCAAAGUUGUUUCUGAAAUACAUAAAAGAAACAAUAUGGAAAGAUAGAAGGAGUCGCCAAGGCCUGCGAAUGCUUGCAAGACUACCUCGGGUCGCCUGAUGGACUGAAGGCAGCAACCUCACUAUGGUCCAAAAGCUGCAGCCCGAGAUCUGCACAUAGUGCAGAGUGUAGUAUCAGCACAACCGACCCCAUGUGUUGGUAAGUUCCUAGCCUAACCUUGGUGAAGUAGUGACGAGGCUAGGACAAGACUACCAAAUAAACAUAUGCGGUUAUAUCAUAUACAACAAGUAAUAAUGACAGAAACUAGUAGUUAAAGAUGGGAAGGGGAAACAUGCUGCGGGGAAUAUCAUGUACAAAGAAAUCCUAGUAAAGAAGUGAAAGGAACACAAAAAUUCAACAGUAAGCAAGAAUAAGGAAAUCAAAGACAAGUGCAUGGUACCACCCUUCCUGCUUUUACUCUCAUCCUCACCACAAGAAUCAAUAUAAUCGGCACAGAAUCACCCUUCGUGCUUUUAGCUCACAUAAUCAUGUCACAAAAUGAUCCUUUGUGCAUUAUCACUCAUAUCAUAACACGAUAUUGUACAUCAUGCGACACAACAUCACCCUUCGUGCUUUUACCUCACAAUAUCGGCAUGGCAUCACCCUUCGUGCAUUAACACUCUCAACAUCAUGCACGACAUCACCCUUCGUGCUUUACACUCUUCCUCACCUAAGCAACAAUCACAAAGCAAUUUGGGCAAGGGAAUCAAUAACAUCACAAUAAAAUACCGCCAAGGGAACAAUAGCAUAACAACAAUGUCCUGGCAAGAGAAACAAUACCAUGAGUAAUAACUUUCCGGCUAGGGAGAUAAUAUCAAAAGCAAUAACAUCCUGACAAGGGAGACCAUAUCAUAAACCUNNNNNNNNNNNNNNNNNNNNNNNNNNNNNNNNNNNNNNNNNNNNNNNNNNNNNNNNNNNNNNNNNNNNNNNNNNNNNNNNNNNNNNNNNNNNNNNNNNNNNNNNNNNNNNNNNNNNNNNNNNNNNNNNNNNNNNNNNNNNNNNNNNNNNNNNNNNNNNNNNNNNNNNNNNNNNNNNNNNNNNNNNNNNNNNNNNNNNNNNNNNNNNNNNNNNNNNNNNNNNNNNNNNNNNNNNNNNNNNNNNNNNNNNNNNNNNNNNNNNNNNNNNNNNNNNNNNNNNNNNNNNNNNNNNNNNNNNNNNNNNNNNNNNNNNNNNNNNNNNNNNNNNNNNNNNNNNNNNNNNNNNNNNNNNNNNNNNNNNNNNNNNNNNNNNNNNNNNNNNNNNNNNNNNNNNNNNNNNNNNNNNNNNNNNNNNNNNNNNNNNNNNNNNNNNNNNNNNNNNNNNNNNNNNNNNNNNNNNNNNNNNNNNNNNNNNNNNNNNNNNNNNNNNNNNNNNNNNNNNNNNNNNNNNNNNNNNNNNNNNNNNNNNNNNNNNNNNNNNNNNNNNNNNNNNNNNNNNNNNNNNNNNNNNNNNNNNNNNNNNNNNNNNNNNNNNNNNNNNNNNNNNNNNNNNNNNNNNNNNNNNNNNNNNNNNNNNNNNNNNNNNNNNNNNNNNNNNNNNNNNNNNNNNNNNNNNNNNNNNNNNNNNNNNNNNNNNNNNNNNNNNNNNNNNNNNNNNNNNNNNNNNNNNNNNNNNNNNNNNNNNNNNNNNNNNNNNNNNNNNNNNNNNNNNNNNNNNNNNNNNNNNNNNNNNNNNNNNNNNNNNNNNNNNNNNNNNNNNNNNNNNNNNNNNNNNNNNNNNNNNNNNNNNNNNNNNNNNNNNNNNNNNNNNNNNNNNNNNNNNNNNNNNNNNNNNNNNNNNNNNNNNNNNNNNNNNNNNNNNNNNNNNNNNNNNNNNNNNNNNNNNNNNNNNNNNNNNNNNNNNNNNNNNNNNNNNNNNNNNNNNNNNNNNNNNNNNNNNNNNNNNNNNNNACAAUUAACACAUAGCAAAUAAGACACAACUCCUAAUCCCUCAAGUUAAGAUUAGACAAAACACUUACCUCAAUGCCACAAACACAAUUCAAGCCUCAACUACCGCUUUACCUCUUGUUUCCACCACCAAUUCGCGUAUAUCUAGCCAUAAUUUACUUAACGAUAUCAAUAAAUGCUAAAUGAAUCAAUUUUAAUGCAUGAAAAUAGGUUUUCUAUCGACCUCGGGCCCACAUGGUCAAAACUCGAUUACCCAUUUACCCACGAAUCAAAUAUAUAAUUUUUUUUGAAUCAGACCUCAAAUCGAGGUCCAAAUCCCUAAAAUUUAAAAAUCCUAAGUUCUACUUAAAACACCCAAUUUUCCCCAUGAAAACCCUUGAUUUUGAAUUGAAAUCAUGUGAAAAGAUGUUAUAGAUUAAAGAAAAUGAGUUAGAAAUAACUUACAAUUGAUUUGGAGAAGAACUUUUCUUUAGAAAAUCGCCCAAGAGAGCUUAGGGUUUGAGAGAGUUUGAAAAAUGAAGAAAAAUGCGUCUAAGUCCAAAUUAACUGGUCGCAGAUGUCACAAUUGAGACCAGGGUUUGCAAUUAUGGGCCCCUUCAGGACCUAUUGUCUUCGCGAAUGCAAAGAAUCUAUUGUAUUUGCGACCAUGGGAAAAUCCUGUCACCUUCGCAAUUGCGAAGAAAACAUCGCAUUUGCGAUUGGGAGGGCUUCACAAUUCCCACCCAGUGUUCGCAUUUGCGAAAAGGGCCUGCUUAGGCUUGGUUCGCAUUUGCGACACUGGGGUCCCAAUUACUAAGUCUAUCCGCUUUGCAAUUACAAAGCCUGAUCUCACAAUUGCGAGGUCAGAGGCCUGGGCAAAAAUACCAGAUACCAACACUUUGUUCUAAGUCCAAUUUCACUCCAUGGCUUAUUCAAAACUCACCCGAGCCCUCGAGGCUCCAAACCAACCAUGCAUGCAAGUCUAAAAACAUCAUACAGACUUUCUCAUGCGAUCGAUUCAUCAUAAUAACAUCGACAUCUAUGAAUUAAACCUCAAAUUCAUGAAAUCACUCAAGAACAUCAAAAUUACUAUUUUCUCAACUAUAGGUCCGUUUUCUACCAAACCAAUUCCGAUCUUUACCAAAUUUUAUAGAUUCAACUUAAUUAUUGUUUCAAACUUGUAAAAGGCUCCGGAACCAAGAUACGGGCCCGAUACCAUCAAGAAAUGCAUCAAUUCACUUCUAAAAACCAUUAUAUUUUCUAGAAAACAAAUUUCUUUAAAAAUUUAUUUCUCGGGCUUGGGACCUCAGAAUUCAUUUCUGGGCAUAUGCCCAAGUCCCAAAUUUUACUACGGAUCCUACGAGACCAUCAAAUCACGGGUCCGGAUCCAUUUACCAAGAUUCUUGACCAAAGUCAACUUUAUUCAAUUUUAAAAGCUAGUUUCCAUAUUUUACUUAGUUUCACAUAAGAGAUUUCCGAAAAUGCACCUGGAAUGUGCACGCAAAUUGAAGUGAGACAAAAAGAGGAUUUUAAGGCCUCGGAACAUAGAAUUUACUAUCAAAACAAGUGAUGAUCUUUUUGGUCAUCACAUGUAAUUACCUGACCGGUCGUUUUGAGUAUUGUCGCCUUGUUCCCCAAUUUAUUGCUUAGUCUAUGUUCAUUUGUGGUUAUGUGACUUGCCGGGGUGGUUGGUAUGUUUUAGGGGAUGUUUCGGAAUGAAUUGGGACACUUAAUCCCAAGGUUAGAAGCUUAAGUCGAAAGAGUUGAUCAGAUGUUGAUUUAUGAGUAAACGACUUCGGAAUAAACUUUUGAUAGUUCUGAUAGCUUUGUAUGCUGAUUUUGGACUUAGAAGUUUGUCCAGAUAUUGAUUUGGAGGUCCAUAGGUUGUUUUGGCUUGUAUUGGCGAAAGAUGUAAUGUAGAAGGUUCAGAAAGUUGAGAAGUUUGUCCGAGAGUUGACUUUGUUGAUACCGAGCUCAGAUUUUGAUUCCGAAAAUUGAAGUAGGUUAUCUGUGUCAUUUAUGACUUAUGUGCAAAACUUAUGGUCAAUCAGAGAUGGUUAGAUAGGUUUCAACAUUGACUGGAAAUCCAUUAGUUUCAAUAGGCUUGAAUUGGGGUACGAUUCAUGUUUUUGAUGUUAUUUGAUGUGAUUUUGAGGCUUUGAGUAAUUUGUAUUAUGUUUUAGGAUGUGUUGGUAUGUUUAGAAGGGGUCUCGGGGGCCUCAGUAUGAUUUUGACUAAAAUCGGAUUGAGUUUUGGGCUUGAAAAGUUUCUUUUAGCUUCAAUUCUUGUGCAACCGCACCUACAUGAAAAUGGCCGUAGGUGCGGAGCCGCAAAUGCGGCUAGGAAGGCGCAUAUGUGAGAUUUUAUGGGUAGUGGUUGUAGGUACGAAGUUGUUUCCGCAUCUACGAGCCCGCAGAUACAAUAAAGCUGCCAUAGAUGCGUAUUUUGGUCGGGGGAAUUUGGGGUCGCAGAAGUGGAGGCAUUACACAUGUGCGGUCCCGUAGGAGUGGACCUUGGACCGCAAAACGAGCUUUGGCUGUAGAAGCAGUAGCUUAGGAGUUUAAUGAAUUUUCGCAGAAGCGAAAGAAUGUCCGCAAAUGUGGUGUCUGGCCCGUAGAAGUGAGAAUCACUAGGAAAAUUGUUAUAAUCAAGGGUUUGAUCUUUUUCUUCAUUUUUAGACUUGUGGAGCUCGGCUAGUGGCGAUUUUUGAGAUGGAAUUCACUCUAAUUCAAGAUGCAAGCAACUUUUGAUCAAUUUUGUCAAUUAACAUUGAUUUUCCCACCUAAAUUAUGUAUUAUUGAGGUGAAAUUUAGAGGAUAUUUGACUAGGCAUUGUAGAGUAAGAUUAGAGAUUUGAGGGUCGAUUUGUGAUUAGAAUUGAAUAAUUUUGGUAUGGUUAGACUCAUUAUUGAAAGAAUAUUUAGAUUUUAUAAUUUUUUCCGAGUUUGAGGUGUGGGCCCAGGGUUAAAUUUUUGGGUUGACCUUUUGAAUUUGGUUAACGAACUUAGUUUUAUUGUAUUGGAUCGAUUCCUAUAGCUUGUAUUGAUUAUAGUAAGUUGUUUGUGACUAGAUUCGAAUCAUUCAGAGGCGGAUUCGCCAGGAAAGAGUUUGUUGGAGCAUUGAGUUGCACAAAUCGAGGUAAGUAACACUUAUAAACUUAUAACUAAGGGUAUAAAUCCUUAAGAUAUAUGUUAUGUGGGUUGUUUUGAGGUGACAGAUGUGAUAGGUGACGGGCCUGUGGGCGUGCACCAUGGUAAUCAUAAUCCGGGUAGGUUUUUAUACUGUGUUGAUAUCAAGUCUUGUUUUAUCCUUGUUAUUUAUGCGUGUUAGAGUAAUUGAGCUAUGAUUCAUGUUAGAAAUAAUGUUUAAGCUAUGUGCUUAUUUUGUUGGGACCCACUGAGGUUAUUUUCACUAUUGAGUUAUUUUCUUAAACUACAAUUAUGUACUCAGUCAUGUUUAUUUAUUUUCAUAUUAUAUCUCAGUCUCUGCUAUCAUUCGCUAUUACAUCAUGUUAUCAUUGUUUGGGCUCAGUAGUAUGAGAUUUUUGAGCCCGUGAGACUAGAGAAAUUGAUGACUGAGUUGGGCCUGAGAGUCAAAUUGUGAGUGUUAUUAUGGAUUGGGUUGUAUGCCGCAGCAGGCCUUAUCGGCUUAUUUAUAAUUAUGGAUCGUGUUGCACACCACAGCAGGCCUUAUAGGCUUUAUAUUAGCGCUUGGGUAGGUCCGCCCCUCCGGAGUAUGACAUACCAGCAGUGAGUUAGGCAUAGUGAUUUAUAACACGUGCUUUGUUGCGGUACAUUGAUGCUAGGCACCCGUACAAUUCUGAGUGAUCGUGUGUGAUGAGUAGGAAUUUGAGAUAGACAGAUUGAGCAUUGUGAAUGUGUGAAUACCUGGAAAUAAUACUUUGAUACCGUACUUUUGACUUGCUUAUUUGACAUGUAGGCAUAGAAAUGUAUCAUUCCUCAUGCUAGCUAUACUUGACAUGUUCUUUUUAGUGUUGGUCUUUGGUUGUGUACUUGAAAGCAUGUCUUUAUUCAUAUACUGUGAACGAGCUGAAUAUGGAAGUUUUCUCUGAGUUAUUAUUGUUAUUCUCACUGUGAUAUUAGUGUUGUCAUUAUAUUGAUUCUGACUGUAUCAUUCUAAGCUCGCCACUUCUUUCAACCAGAGGUUAGUCCUAUUAUUUAUUGAGAAUAUUAGGUUGGUUGUACUCAUACUACACUCUGCACUUGGUGUCCAGAUCCAGGUACAUGUGGACGUGGUAAUUACUAUAUUGUUGCCAGCGCUUGCUUGGAGACUUCGAGGUAGCUGCUGUGACGUCCGCAGACCUUGACUUUCCUUCCAUUCAUGAUUUUCUAUACUGUUCUAUUAUCCAGACAAUUUUAAUAGAGUUUAUUUAUUUUGAGAUGCUGUAGUGCUUAUGUACUCGAUGACACCAGAUUUUGGAAUGGUUGUGGUAGAGUUACAUUUGUUUUAUCAGUUAUUAUGAGAUUUUCUGCAGUUGAUCUUAUAAAAAUCAUAUUCGUAUUCAAAUGCUUAUUUGUUAUAUGAUUGUCGGCUUGCCUAGUAAAUGUGUUAGGCACUGUCCCACAAGUUGGGAUUUUGGGUCGUGACAAGUUGGUAUCAGAGCACUAGGUUACUUAGGUCUCACGAGUAUUAGUAUUAGUAGAGUCUUGCGGAUUGGUACAGAGACAUCUAUACUUAUCUUCGAGAGGCUACAAAACUAUUAGGAAACUUCACUUUUUUGUACUCUUAUCGUGCGGAAUUGUUGAUUCUAGAAACUAAACUUUUGUUAUUCUAUUCUCUCACAGUUGGUGAUGAGACAUGCGAUUGUAGUAGGUGGACGACCACUAGUACCAUUAGCUAGGGCCGUGAGAGGCCGGAGGCCGAGGUGUGGCUCAUACUACAGCUAGGGUAGCACCUGUGGAGCCACUAGUUGCUCCAGCUGAGGAGCAUAUACUAGAUGUUGAGCCGGUGGGACCAGCUCAAGCACCAUAUGUUCCCAUUAUGAUCCCAAGACUUUAGGAGGCUUUGUCCAAGGCAUUGACUGUAUGCAUGAGCCUUUCUCAGGCGGUUUCAGUUCUGGCUACACCAGCCACUUCGCAGGCCGAGGGAGGUGCUCAGACUCCCGUCAUCCUACUCUAAAGAAGAUAGCUUAGGGACUCUAGACACCGGGGGUACUACCAGCGUAGUCAGUUAUAGCUACGCGAUCCUAGGUUGGCCCACUUGUGAAGGAUGAAGAGCAGAAGAGACUUGAGCGAUUUGGGAGGCUUAAGCCUCUAGAAUUCAGCGGGGCCAACAUAGGAGAUCGAGACACAGCCCCAGGGCUAUGGGGAAAGAUGUAGAUCGAUCGCCCUAGAUAGACAACUACAUAGAGGGUCUCUACUAGUCUAUAUAUUCUUUUAUUUCGUUCCCCCCGUAAGAAAAAUAUUACAACCUAUGAGGUCUGCAAGUUUCACAUCUAAGUAAUACCCGAAGAGGAUGCUCAAGAUUUUAUAGACAUGUGCCAAUGGAUCCUUCGAACGACAGGUAUUUUGGAGACCAGUGGAGUCUCAUUCACUACCUUUCAGCUGACAGGGGCAACCUACAGAUGGUGGUAGGCCUAUGAUUUGAGCAUGCCAGUCGGUGCUGCACCACUUACAUGGCAUGAGUUCUCAGUUCUCUUUUUAGAAAAGUUUGUUCCACAGGCUCGCAAAGAGGAGUUGCGUAGGCAGUUUGACUAGCUACGCCAAGAGGGUAUGUCAGUAACUCAGUAUGAUAUGAGAUUCUCAGAGUUGGCUCGUCAGGCGGUAUAGUUGGUACCCACUGAGAGGGAGAGGAUUAGAAGGUUCAUUGAUGGCUUCUAUCACGACAAACUGGAGGGUCAUGACUAGCACCCGAGCCAUACUUACCGAGCACCAACGUACAUUUUAUCUAACCUUCGUUAUUAUCUUUAAGGGCCGACGAGAUCAAUAUAAAUGAUAGACAUGGAUCAUGAACAACCAACAAUGAAAGAUAAUGGAAUGAACAUACGUAACAUAGGAUGACUAGACGGUCAAUGAACUAUAUAUAAGGUAUGAGCUACCAUGUUACCAUGAAAGACUAUAAAAAAAAAUCAGCCGACAAGGGAUACAAAACCAUACAUGAGUCGACACCUGUCUAUGAGCCUCUAAAGGAACAUAAGUACUAAAAAAUUGCUGGAACAGGGUCCCGACAUACCCAUAAUGUCUAUAACAAAAUUCAUACCAAGACCACGACAAGUACGGAGAAGGGAUCUCGCCAAUAACCACUGAACUGGGCAAUCUACUAUGGUGGAGGAGCUGUAUCUACCCGUCCAUCAGGACCUGCAGCACGACAUGCAACAUCCACAAACGAAAAGGACGUCAGUAUGAAUAAAGUACUGACUAUGUAAGGUAGGAAAGCAUAAGUAUGAACAGUAAUGUAAACAGGGAUAGAGAAUAUACAUCCUGUAACACCUAGAUACCUCUAAGGGCUACUGACAUGAAAUGCAUGACACACACACACACACACACACACACACACACACACACACACACAUAUAUAUAUAUAUAUAAACUUUUAAAACAUAUGCCUCUGUGGGCAUCAUCAUCAUCAUCAUAUCAUACCCGGCCGUAAUAGGCUCAGUAAAAUGUACUCGGCCAUCAUAAGGCUCGAUAGAAUUGUACCUGACCACGUGGAGCUCGGUAAAACCCAACUAAUCUAUAGUUGCACAAUAGGUGUCGUACCCGGCCGACGAUAGGGCGACUCGGUAGAGUAAAAUAAAUACAUAUAUAUAAUGCAUGCUGGACUUAUUGGAAUCACAUUCUGGACCUUUCGGAGUGACGUAAGGUCGGUAUCCUCUAUACACGUUAUUAGGACUAACUCUUCAUCAUGAUUUUUAUAAGAAUCAGAAAGUACCAACAACAUUGAUAAUAUAAGAAUAAGAGAAGCAACAUCAACAUCAAUCGCUCCAUAAGAAGGGAAACAAUGUAAGUACUGCUAGCUUCUAAGAGUAGAGUAUCUUUAGAAGCUCGUUCAUUACAUUAUGUACAAUUGGAGUCGUGCAAAAGAAGGAAAGGGAUAUCCUCACAUACCUUGUAUAUACUGCCCAAUUUGAAGCUAUGCAAAUGUCACGACUCCUUAGUCUACAAUAAGAAAAAUGAUACUAUCGUUAUCGUUUAAGCGUCGUAAAUAUUAUAUAUCAAUCACAACCUAUUUUACGAUAAAACGGACAACAACUCCCCUAUUUAUAAGACUUCCCACAAGUAAAAACAAUCACAAAACAUCCCAAACAACAUCAACAAUAAUCAUAUUGAUCCUCCCAAAAUAGUCCACCAACAAACAACAUUACUACCAAUCUUUCGAUAUAUAUUUCACAAGUUCUAGUUUCAAUGACUUAGCCGUAACUUGGAUAAUCUUAAAUACAUGUAGAGUAAGAGGUUACUUACCUUCAAAUAUAAAGAAAAACUCCAAUUUGGGAUUAAUUGUCCACGAAAUAUCCCUCCAAUGCUGCCACAAGAACAAGAAAGCGAAACUAGCAAUCAAUUAGGGUUUUCCGGCACUAGAAUCAUUUUAGAAGUCUUGAAAUCACCUAGGGUUGAUAUUAAAAACUUGAGGGAAUAUUUACAGAACAUAAACCCCUUAAAAAACCACCCACACGAGCUGGAACAACACAGAAAUGAACAACAACAAGAAGAAUAAGAAACUUCCUAGCGCCAUGGGAUUCCCGACACCUGAUAUGUGUUAUUUGCUCUUUGUUUGGGUCUUGGCUCAUGAGAGAAACUUGAGAGAAUGUUUUUAGGGUUCUAAGGUCUGAAUACACUGAAAAAUAAUGACAUAAAAUGGGGUGAGGCAUAUUAUAUCUAUCCAUAUGUCUUAAACUACCUAUGUGGGCCCCAUAGAGAGCUACUUGGCGCAGUCUCACAAAAAUAUGAAUAUCUCUCUACUCCGAUAUCGUAUUGAUGAACGGUUAAAUGCGUUGGAAACUAGACGCAUAGAUAUUAUAUUUUGUGUGUAGAUAACCCCAUAAUUCUAACUAAAUUGGGAGAAAAGCUUAGUAAUAUUUGACCUAAAGUUUAAGUAAAAUUAUGAACGUAUGUUGCAACAACGUUUGUCGACUUUUGUUUCAUAAUUUAUUUGACUUCAAGACUUAUGAUAGGGAUAUUAUAUGAUUCAAAUACCUCAAAAUAUGACCUCUUUAGUAUAUUAAGAACAUCUAGGUUUACUCGAAAAUAUGGGUUACAACAUCCUUGAUUCAUUUAACUUCUAAUACUUGUUAACCACUUUUAUACACACUUGUAUCAUUUAAGACCAAUAUGAUUAACUUCUUAUAAUCUUAAAGAUAAUCUCUUCAUGGAUUUACAUUAAUUACCUUACGACAUUAACUAACGUAUAUGAAUACGGGUUGUAACAGCCUCAACUAUGGAUUGCGUUUCAUUAUGACUCGAGAGAUUGCAACAGGUAUGAGGUUUGAUGAGGUGGUUGAUAUUGCUAGAUGUCUAGAGUUGGUUCGCAGUCAGGAGUGUGAGAAGAGGGAGGACAAGAUGCCUCGUGGUUCGGGUGGUUUUGAGUAAUGCCUCAUCUAGAGUAUAGUCCCACCACCGCAGAGGUCGUUCCUAUAGGCCCGCUUAGAUGGCUUGUCCGAUUUAUCAUGGUACAUCUACUAACCAUGGUUCAUGUGCUACUCAUCCAGGUCAGUUAUCUUUUAGUUCCCUCCCAGCUCAAAGUUCAUUCCAUGCUCCAUCAAUUCAGGGUUCGUGUGCUAGGUUCUUCGAGUGGUUAUUCUGGUUCUCAAGGUCCAAUUUAGUCCUCGCUGCCAUUAUGGGAUCAAGGUUGCUUCAAUUAUGGAGAGUUAUGGCAUGUGAGGUGGUAUUGUCCUCGUCUUAUGGGAGUCCAGUUUAGCAGAGAGGUCAGGCUUGAGUUCUACUUCAGUUGCUUAACUAACCGCUCAAUCAGCUCGGGGUAGGACUCAGGCAACUCGAGGUUGCCCUAGAGGGGAGGUCGAUCAGGUGGUGGUCAGUCUCGAUGCUAUUCUUUUCCCACUAAGCCAGAGGCUAUUUCUUCAAACGCAGUGAACACAUGUAUUGUUUCAGUAUGCCACAAAGAUUCUUCCUUAUUAUAUGACCUUGGUUCCACUUAUUUAUAUGUAUCACCAUACAUUGCUCUUUAUUUGGAUAUGCCCCUUGAUUAAUUAGUUGUGUAUGAUCAUGUAUCUACGCCGAUGGGUAAAUUUAUUAAUGUGGAUUGUAUGUAUCGGCCAUGUGUGGUGACUGUUGAGGGAUUGGAGAUGAGAAUUGAUCUUUUACUGCUUAGUAUGGUUGAUUUUGACGUGGUUCUAAGCAUGGAUUAGUUGUCACCAUGUCAUGCUAUUCUAGAUUGUCAUGCUAAGAUUGUGACGUUGGUGAUGCUGGGGUUCCCUAGGAUUGAGUGGAGAGGUUCUUUGGACUAUGUUUCCAAUAGAGUGAUUUCAUAUUUAAAGGCUCAAUUGAUGGUUGGGAAGGGAUGUCUAGCAUAUUUGUCAUUUGUGAGGGAUGCUGGUGCUGAUACUCCUACCAUUGAGUAUGUUCCAAUAGUGCGAGACUUUCCGGAUGUGUUUCCUAUAGACCUGUGGGGCACGCCACCCGACAACGACAUUGAUUUUGGUAUUGACUUGGUGUUGGGCACUCAGUAUAUCUUUAUUCCUUCAUAUCGUAUGGAACCACAAAAGUUGAAGGAAUUGGAAGAGCAGCUUCAGGAGCUACUUGAUAAGGGAUGCAUUAGGCCUAGUGUGUCACCUUGGGGUGAACUAGUUCUUUUUGUGAAUAAGAAUGAUGGUACUAUGCGGAUAUGCAUUGAUAAUAGGCAGUGGAAGAAUGUUACAAUUAAAAACAAGUACCCACUACCGCUCAUUGAUGACUUAUUUGACUAGCUUUAGGAUGCGAGAGUGUUCUCUAAGAUUGAUUUGAGGUAUGGGUAUCACCAGUUAAAGAUUCGGGAUUCUUAUAUUCUGAAGGAAGCAUUCAGGACCCAGUAUGGCCAUUACGCAUUCCUUGUGAUGUCUUUUGGGAUGACCAAUGCCCCAACAAUAUUUAUGCAUCUAAUGAACAAUGUAUUUCUGCCAUAUCUUUGAUUCGUUUCUCAUAGUAUUCAUUGAUGAUAUAUGGGUGUACUUACGCAACCAGGAGGAGCAUGUGCAACAUCUAAGGGUUGUACUACAUACAUUGAGGGAGAAGAAGCUUUAUGCUUAAUUCUCCAAGUGUGGGCUCUGGUUUGAUUCUGUGGCAUUCUUGGGGAACAUGGUGUCCAAUGAGGGAAUCAAGGUAGAUCUGAAGAAAAUUGAGACAGUUCAUAGUUGGCCUAGACUAUCUUCAACUACUGAGAUUCGGAGUUUUCUUGGCUUUGACUUAUAUUAUCGUCGUUUUGUGGACGGUUUCUCAUCCAUUGUUGAACCUUUGACUAGAUUGACCCAGAAGGGUGCCCUAUUUAGGUAGUCUGAUAAGUGUGAGGAGACCUUUCAGAAGCUCAAGACUACCUUGACCACAACCCUAGUUCUAGAUUUGCCUUCAAUAUCGGGUUCAUAUACGGUUUAUUGUGAUUCUUCUCGAAUAUGUAUUGGGUGUGUCUUGAUGUCGGAAGUUAGGGUGAUUGCUUAUGCUUCACGCCAGUUGAAGCCCCAUGAGAAGAAUUACCCCAUUCAUGAUUUAGAGUUGGCAUCCAUUAUCCAUUCAUUAAAAAUUUGGAGACAUUAUCUCUACGUCAUGUCUUAUGAGGCAUUUACAAUUCAUCAAAGUCUACAUCAAUUGUUCAAGCAGUAGGAUCAAAAUUUGAGGCAUCAGAGAUAGCUGGAGUUGUUAAAAGACUAUGAUAUCAUUAUUUUAUAUCAUUCCUGGAAGGCCAAUGUGGUGGCCGAUGCCUUAAGUAGUAUGGCAGUGAGCAUGGAUAGCCUUGCAUAUAUUCAAUUGGUGAGAGACUGCUAGCAUCAGAUGUUCAGGCUUUGGCUAAUUAGUUCAUGAGGUUUGAUAUUUCGGAGCCUAGUCGGGUUCUAGCUUCUGUGGUUUCUCGGUCUUCUUUGUAUGAGCGCAUCAGAGAGCCUUAGUAUGAUGACCUCCAUUUGCUUUUCCUUAAGGGCGUGGUACAACACGAUGUUGCCAAUGAGGUUUCUGUUGGAGAUGAUGGAGUGUUGCGGAUGCGGGGUCAUAUUUGUGUGCCCAAUGUGGAUUGGUUACGUGAGUUGAUUCUUGAGGAGGCCCACAUUUUGCUUAUUCCUUUCAUCCGGGUGCCGUGAAGAUGUAUCAGAACUUGAGGUAGCACUAAUUGUGGAGAAGAAUGAAGAAAUAUAUAAUGAAGUAUGUGGCUUGGUGCUUGAACUGUCAGCAGGUGAAGUACAAGCCUCAAAGGCCGGGUGGUUUGCUUCAGUGACUUGAGAUUCCUGAGUGAAAAUAGAAGUGGGUUACCAUGGACUUCGUUGUGGGGCUCCCACAAACUUUGGGGAAAUUCGAUAUAAUUUGUGUGAUUGUGGACUAGUUGACUAAGUUCGAGCACUUCAUUCCGGUUGUAACUACCUAUUUUUUUGAGGGGUUGGAUGAGAUGUAUAUCCGCGAUAUUUUUUGUCUUCACGGUGUGUCGGUGUCUAUCAUUUCUAAUCGGGGCACGUAGUUUACAUUGCAGUUUUGGAGAGUAGUGCAUCGAGAGUUGGGACACGGGUUGAGUUGAGUACAACAUUCCACCCUAGAACAACAGAUAGUCUGAGCACAUCAUUCACAUAUUGGAGGAUAUGCUACAUGCUUGUGUUAUGAAUUUUGGAGGUUCUUGAGAUUAGUUUCUACCACUUGUAGAGUUUGCCUACAACUACAACUACCAAUUAAGUAUUAGGAUGGAUCCUUAUGAGACCCUAUAUAGGAGGCAGUGUCGUUCUCCCAUUGGUUGGUUUUACUCGGGAGGAGGCUAGAUUGUUGGGCAUGGAUUUGGUUCAGGAUGCCUUGGAAAAGGUCAGGUUGAUUCAGGAUCGGCUUCGCACAGUUUAGUCUAGACAUAAGGGUUAAGCCGAUCAGAAGGUUUGUGAUGUUGCAUAUAUGGUAGGAGAGAAGGAAUUGCUCAGAGUAUCACCCAUGAAGGGUGUGAUGAGGUUCGUGAAGAAGGGAAAGUUGAGCCCUCGGUAUAUUGCCCCUUUUGAGAUGCUUGAGAGGAUUGGAUACAUGGUCUACAAGCUUGCAUCACCACCGAGUCUAUUAAGUGUUCACCCAGUUUUUCAUUUUCCCAUGCUUCAGAAGUAUUAUGGUAAUCCAUUUUAUGUUAUGGAUUUCAACACAGUUCAGUUAGAUGGGAAUUUGACUUAUGAUGUGGAGCCGGCGGCCAUUUUGGAUCGGCAGGUUCGAAAGUUAAGAUCAAAGAAUAUAGCUUCAGUGAAAGUUUAGUGAAGAGGUCAGCUAGUUGAGGAGGCUACUUGCAAGACUGAGCGGGAGAUGUAGAGCAGCUAUCCACACCUAUUUGAGACUCCAGGUAUGAUUCUACACUCAUAAAUGGACGGACUUAGAGAAUGUAAUGACCCAACCAAUCAUUUUGAGUAUUAUAGCCCCGUUCCCCCAUUUAUUGCUUAAUCUAUGUUUAUUUGUGGUUAUGUAACUUGCAGGGGUUGUUGGUUUGGUUUCGGGGAUAUUUCAAAAUGAAUUGGGACAUUAACUCCCAAGGUUGGAAGCUAAAGUCGAAAGAGCUGACCGGAUAUUAACUUUAUAUACAUUCUGCCUAGCACUUCAGCAUCUGUGGUUCUCAUUACGCAUCUGCAGGUCCGCAUCUGCGCAAAAUAUUCCGCUUCUGCUGAAUCUCAUUAAAAGAGCAUUUUGCUUUUACGGUUGCCUGAGCUCACCUGCGGUCAUCGCAGAUGCGGGGACCAAACUGCACCUGCGACCCUAGCUGCACACCUGCACUACAUAACCGCUUUUGAGUACCUCUCACAUGCGGUCCCAAUCCACAGGUGCGGAAAUGACAGAAGCAGUAGCUUCAGCUGCCCAAACCAAGGUCCAAUCUUUCCGUUAACUAUCCGAAUUCAUCCCGAGGCCCUAGGGACCUCAACCAAAAAUACCAACAAGUCAUAUACCACUAUUCAAACUUAUUCAAACCUUCGGAACACUCCAAACAAUAUCAAAACACCAAAUCACCCUCGAAUUCAAGCCUACGAACUCCUAAAUUUUGAAUUCCACAAACGAUGCCUAAACCUAUCAAACCUUGUCCGAAUGACCUGAAACAUUGCACACACAUCACAAAUGACACUACAGACCUACUUCAAUUUCCAGAAUUUCAUUCCGACCCCGAUAUCAAAAUUUCCACUGCCGACUGAGAAAGGCCAAAAUUCUAAUUUGCCAAUUCAAGCCCUAAUCGACCACGAACCUCCGAAUUACAUUCCAAACAUGCUCCUAAGUUCAAAAUCACCUAACGGAGCUAUCUGGACCAUCACAAUUCACAUCCAAGAUCAUCUACUCAUAAGUCAACAUCCUGUUGGCAUUUUCCAACUUAACUUCAAAAUGGAAGACUAAGUGUCUCAUUCCUCUCCAAAACAACUCUGAAUCAGAACCAACCAACUCGAUACCAUACAAUACAUCUGAAUAACACAUAAAGAAGCAGAAAUAGGGAAAACGGGGCUAUAACUCAUGAAACGACCGGCCAGGUCGUUACAUCCUCCCCUUCUUAAACAAAUGUUCGUCCUCGAACAAGUACAAAAACAUACCUGAAGCCUCAAAUAGGUGUGGAUAUUAGCUCCGCAUCUCCUGCUCAGUCUCCCAAGUAGCCUACUCCACGGGCCGACCUCUCCACUGCGCUUUUACGCUAUAUCGUUUGACCUCAAUUUUCAGACCUGCCGCUCCUUAAUAGCCACUGGCUCCACAUCAUACGUCAAAUCACCGUCUAGCUGAACCGUACUGAAAUCCAAAACAUGAGACGGAUGGCUAAUAUACUUCCGGAGAAUAGAAACAUGAAAUACCGGAUCCACCUCAACAAGCUAAGUGGCAAAGCGAGCUCAUAAGCUACCUCCCCAAUCCUCUGAAGCACCUCAAAAGGCCCAAUAAACCAAUGGCUCAACUUGCCCUUCUUCCCAAAUCUCAUAACACUCUUUAUGGGUGAAACCUUCAAUAGAACCUUCUCUCUAACCAUGUAAGACACAUCACAGACCUUCCUGUCAGCAUAACUCUUUUGUCUUGACUGCACUGUACAAAGUCGCUCCUGAAUCACUUUCACCUUGUCCAAAUCCUCCUAUACCAAGUUUGUAAGUCUGGCCUCGCCCCACUCAAACCACCCUAUUGGAGAUCUACAUUGUCUCCCAUAUAAAGCCUUAUAUGGAGCCAUCUGAAUACUCUACUGAUAACUGUUGUUGUAAGCAAACUCCGCGAGCGGUAGAAACUGGUCCCAUGAAACCCCAAAAUCAAUGACACAAGCACGCACAUGUCCUCCAAUAUCUGAAUAGUGUGCUCGGACUGCCCGUCCAUCUAAGGGUGAAAAGUUAUGCUCAACUCAACCAGACUACCCAACUCUCACUGCAUGGCCCUCCAAAACUACAAUGUAAACUGAGUACCUCUAUCUGAAAUGAUGGAAACUGGGACACCAUGCAGGCGUACAAUCUCUUGGAUAUAAAUCUCUGCUAACCGCUCUGAAGAAUAGGUAAAACACACAAGAAUGAAGUGUGCGAACUUGGUCAGCCGAUCCACAAUCGCCCAAAUAGCAUCGAACUUCCUCAAAGUUUGUGGGAGUCCAAAUACAAGAUCCAUAGUGAUCCUCUCCCACUUCCACUCUGGAAUAUCCAUCCGCUGAAGCAAGCCACCAAGUCUUUGAUGCUCAUAUUUCACCUGCUGACAAUUGAGACACCGAGCUACAAACCCCACUAUAUCCUUCUUCAUUCUCUUCCACCAAUAGUGCUGCCUCAAAUCCUGGUACAUCUUCGCGGCACCCAGAUGGAUGGAAUACCGCGAGCUUUGGGCCUUCUCAAGAAUCAACUCCCAAAGCCUAUCUACAUUGGGCACACAUAUCUGGCCAUGCAUCCUUAAUACACCAUCAUCACAAAUAGUCACAUCUUUGGCAUCGCUGUGCUGAGCUCUGUCCUUGAGGAUAAGCAAAUGAGGAUCGCCAUACUGGCUCUCUCUGAUACGAUCAAACAAGGAUGACCGAGAAACCACUCAAGCUAAGAUCCGACUGGCCUCCGAAAUAUCUAGCCUCACAAACCGAUUGGCCAAAGCAUGAACAUACACUUUAAGAGGUCUCUCACCAACACGAAUAAAUGCCAAACUUCCCAUACUCACCGCCUUCCUACUCAAGGCAUCGGCCACCAUAUUGGCCUUUCCCGGAUGACACAAGUUACUAAUAUCAUAGUCCUUUUGUAGCUCCAACCAUCUCCACUGCCUCAAAUUGAGGUCCAUAUGCUUGAACAAGUGCCGGAGGCUACGAUGAUUAGUAAAUACCUCACAAGACACACCAUAGAGAUAAUGCCUCCAAAUCUUCAACGCGUGAACAAUGGAAGCCAACUCCAAAUCAUGAACAAGGUAGUUCUUCUCAUGGGGCUUCAACUGAUGUGAAGCAUAAGCAAUCACUCAACCCUCUUGCAUCAACACAAACCAGAUGCCGAUCCGAGAAGCAUCACAAUAUAUCGUAUAAGAAUCCGAAGCUGAUGGAAAAACUAACACUGGAGCCGUGAUCAAGGCAGUCUUGAGCUUCUUAAAGCUCGCCUCAUACUCAUCCGACCACCUGAAAGGAGAACCCUUUUGAGUCAACUUGGUCAAGGGUGAUGCUAUAGAUGAAAAUCCCUAAACGAACCGAUGGUAGCAACUUGCCAAACCUAGAAAGGUAAGAAUCUCUAUGGCUGAGGACGAUUUGGGCCAACUCUGAACCGCCUAUAUCUUCUUCUGAUCAACUUGAAUACCCUCACUGAACACCACAUGCCCUAAGAAAGUCACUGAAUUGAGCCAAAACUCACACGUGGUGAACUUAUCGUAAUGUUUCUCCUCCCUCGACCACUUGAAUACAACUCUCAAAUGCUCGGCAUGCUUCUCCUCACUACGCGAGUACACCAGAAUAUCAUCAAUGAAUACAAUAUCAAAUGAGUCGAGAUAAGGCUGAAACACGUUGUUCAUAAAAUGCAUGAAUGCUGUUGGGGCAUUGGUCAGCCCAAAAGACAUCACAAGGAACUCAUAAUGACUGUAUCGAGUCCUGAUAGCUGUCAGAAGAAUGUUUGAGUCCCUGAUCUUCAAUUGGUGAUACCCUAACCGGUGAUCAAUCUUGGAGAAUACUCUCGCUCCCUAAAGCUGGGGAAAUAAAUCAUCAAUAUGAGGCAAAUGAUACUUGUUCUUGAUUGUGACUUUGUUCAACUGCCUGUAAUCAAUGCACAUCCUCAUUGUGCCAUUCUUCUUCUUCACAAGUAGAACAGGUUCACCCCAAGGCGACACACAGGUCGAAUAAACCCCCUAUCAAGGAGUUCCUAAAGCUGCUCAUUCAAUUCCUUCAACUUCGCCGGUGCCAUACGAUACAGUGGAGUAUAAAUGGGCUGAGUGCCCGUCACUAAAUCAAUAACAAUGUCAAUAUCCCUGUCCGAUGGCAUGCCCGGUAGGUCUGCAGGAAACACAUCCGGGACGUCCCUCACUACCGGAACUGAAUCGAUACUAGGAGUGUCUGCACUGACAUCCGUUACAAAUGCCAAAUAAGAAAGACAACCCUUUCCAACCAUUCGUUGGGCCUUCAAGUAUGAAAUCACCCUACUGGAAACAUAAUCCGUCGAACCUCGCCACUCAAUCCAUGACACCCACGGCAUAUCCAACGUCAUUGUCUUAACAUGACAGUCCAAAAUAGCAUCACAUGGAGAUAACCAAUCCAUGCCUAAUAUAACAUCAAAAUCAACCAUACUAAGCAACAAGAGGUCAAUUCGGGAAUCUAAACCCCCAAUAAUCACCACACAAGCCCGAUAUAUGCGGUCCAUAACAAUAGUAUUGCCUAUCGGGGUAGACACACGAACAGAUGAAACAAGAGACUCGUGGGGCGUAUCCAAAUAAUGAGCAAAAUAUGAUGACACAUAUGAAAAAGUGGAAUCAGGGUUAAAUAAUGCAGAGGCAUCUCGGUGGCAGACCGAGACAAUACAUGUAAUCACAGCAUCUGAAACAAUAACAUAUGUUCUGGCUGGGAGUGCAUAAAAACGGGCCUGACUACCACCUGAUCGUCCUCCCCCUUUAGGACGACCCCUAGCUGACUAACCUCCACCCUGAGCUGGCUGGGCGGGUGGUGACGUCCAAAUCAACUACUAAAAAGUAAAUGGACAGGUCACAUGCAAUAUAAUUUACCCAACUAUGAGUCGGAGUCGAAUCCCACAGAGAACAAUAUGUAGGCGAUUAGGAAUGUAAGAGAAUUCUCACUUAUCACGCAAUGCCAAACACUAAGAAUUGAUUUGAGAAAUGUUUUAUAUCUAAAUGCGGAAAUGUAAACUAACCUAGAAAGCAAGUAAAAUGAUCAAUGGCUACAAGUAUGGAUGCAUCGGGAAUUAUACUCAAGUAACGAUCCAAUGUAUUUCAUGAUUUUACAGAUAUGAGUGAGUCUAUGUUAAUUAUCCACAGAUAAUAAUUCUUAAUUAGCUUCUCCCUAAGACUAACAAGGCUUCCUAGUUGAAUUAUCUCUAAAACAAUUAAGAGAUUAAGCACACUCGGAAUGGGUACAAGCAGUUCAAUGAGAGUUAAAACCUCAAGUUCUUGUUAAUUAAUCUUUCCCAACCCCAAAUUAUCUUUUCCAAAAUUAAUUCGGAAUUAAUGGGCGAGUCUUAAGGUUAGAUAAUCCCUUUGGAAACAUUAAAGAACAAGAAUAAUUAAAGAAAUAACAACUCACUUCGUAAAAAGAUAAAAAUCAUUCAAUACAUAAGCACAACAAGGUAUUUAAUCUACACUUUAAACAUGAAUAUUUCCAUAAACAAGAUUCAAGUGUUGGAUAAAAUACUACACACUUAAAUAUUCAAUACAANNNNNNNNNNNNNNNNNNNNNNNNNNNNNNNNNNNNNNNNNNNNNNNNNNNNNNNNNNNNNNNNNNNNNNNNNNNNNNNNNNNNNNNNNNNNNNNNNNNNNNNNNNNNNNNNNNNNNNNNNNNNNNNNNNNNNNNNNNNNNNNNNNNNNNNNNNNNNNNNNNNNNNNNNNNNNNNNNNNNNNNNGCAAACCCUAGCUUCAAGACAUGUUUUUCUCUAGUCUAUGCAGCUGAAAAUAAGCCAAAGAUCUCCAAAGAUCUUCUUGGACGAGUAUAAAAAUAGUUUGGGAAUGAGAAAAUGUGAAAUGCCUAAUUUGCCCAGGUCUAAUGCCCGUUGACCGCAUCUGCGGAUGAAUUCACGCAGAUGCAGUUCCGCAGAUGCAAAUACCUUAUCACAGAAGCAAAAUAUUGAAAUAUGCUUGACACCACAGAUACAGACUCGAAAAGCGCAAAUGCUCUACCGCAGAAGCGGAAAACCACUCGCAGAUGCGGUUCCUGAGAAAAGGCCCAGCACCGUAGAUGCGCGUCCACUCACGCAGAUGCGAGGUCGCUUCUGCGACCACUCUUCCGCAGAUGCGGAAUCACUUGAGAAUUUUGCAUUGUUUUCACCCUCUUUUGCUCAAUUCCACUUCAAUUCAAUUCAAAUCACUUUGUAGCAUCAUUUACCUGAAAAUCUAACAAUACACACCAUAAAUGGCCUCAUAUUAUAGUUAAAAGACAUAAAAGCUAAGGAAAAGAGACUAGAUUGAGUGGUAAAAUCACCACUCAUCAACACCCCAACUUAAGCUUUUGCUUGUCCUCAAGUAAAUCAAAACUGACACUUCAAUGAGGAUUUACUAUUUAAAACACAAGUGGUAUUGCUAUUAUUUACAUAUCACACUCUUCAAUUUAAGCACCAUACUUAUGGAUUUGGUUGGUAUUAAUAAUUAGGCUCAAGCAUGUGCAUCUUUCCCGAAUAACUCUCUCAUUUAAAAACAACUUCAAGAAUGUGCAAGGGAGUUUCAAAAAAAUCAAGUGACAAGAAUAAGCCUCAUGAAGUGACUCAAAAGCACUACUCCACUCCAUAUGCUCAACUUACUCAAUUUCACCAAUACUUCCUAAUUCAUGUGCCCUCACAAGAAAGAAAGUCCCAAAAUCACUAUGUUUACAAUACAACAUAAGGGACAAAUUUUCAAAGACACUCACUGUCACACAGAAUUUCAAGUGUUACAACAUCUCAUAGCAUAAGCUUGCCCUUAUUUUAAUUCAUCGCCUAUUCAAGAAUGUUCGGUUGGAGAUCCCAUAAGGACUUUUUAAGCUUGCAAUGUAGGUUUAAGAAAGGGUCGGAUAAACAUCUGGAUACAGGUGACUUCACCCUCCUUGAACACUACUCGCAUUUGUCUUUCUUUUUGCACUUUGUUUCUUUUCAAACCACAUAUCCUCAUUGGCAUCUAGUUACCAACAUAGAACCACCUUAAAUACAUCUCUAAUUUUCUUCAAAACUCCAUAAUUUAUAUACAUACAAAGGUUUCUCUUUCUUUUAUACACAUUUUUUUCUUUUGGAGCUUGAAUAAUAUAAUAUGAACACUUUGAGGUAUAUGUUCCUACACUCAAUGUACAACCUUACCAAUUUCCACAUUGACAUCACACCCCCAACUUAGGCUAUUAUCCUCAUUCUCAAUGUUCAAGGAGGGACGGGUUCAAAAGAGGGAAUUAUUUUACAAAAGGGGAAAGGUUUGUAAUGAGGUGGCCAAAGAAAAGGUUAAAGGCUCAAAUAAGGUACCAGUAAUAUUAUUCAUGCAAUGGUAGGUUUGAAAGGCUAAAACGGUUUUGCAAAUAACACAAAGAAUGCCUAAGAUCAUCGCUCCAACCAAACAUACUAUCAUUAGCCUUGAAAGACCAACCAGGCAAGUUCUCGAUGAUAGAAGUAAACAAAAGAUUUAUUUUUACAAACACUAACACACAUGGCACAUGAAUUAGUCAAGAUGUAUCAAUUUCAUUUUCUAACAAGAACAUCUAGAGCAAUAUUUUUUAAACUAGUGGGCAAAGAGUCACUAAAAGAGCCAAAACUAUGCAACUUACUUGGUUUAGUUCAAAACCAAAAUUCGAAGGGGUAUUCGUAAUUCACAUUUCACAUACACGAGACUAAUUUUAUUAGUACCAAAUAAUCCAAAAGUCUCCUCCUAUAAAAACAGGACUAAUUCCCUUAAAAAAGUUGUCACGCCAUCUAUCAUAGGGAAAAGUCACUCGGUUCAAUUCAAAAUUGUUCCUUGGGAAAGAACCGUAGCAUGAAGAAAACCCAAGGAAAUAUUACUGAGGAAAUAAAAAAUAAAUGAACAAAACUACUAAAGAGGAUACUAAGAUAAAAGUGACUACUAAAGAAAAUAAAUAACGAAAAAAAUAAAAAUAGGCUAAUCAUACCAAGCUCAGCAAGAUCACCUGCUGCACAAAAUAGCCCUGCAAGGGCACACAAUAUCCAUAGCACAAAAAUAAGCCCGACAAGGGCACGCAAUAUCCAUAGUAACAAAAUAAGCCCGGAAAGGGCACACAAAAUCAUAACAUGAAUAUAGUAUACUCUUACAGCCACCCCCAAUUAAAAACAUUGCAGUGUCCUCAUUGCUUAAUAUCAAAAAUAAAGCAUAAAUAGUUUGAGGGUCUCCCUGAGGUCUGCAUCAGACUAGCAGACUGUGGGAGGAUGGCUGAUCAAUGCUGUGCUGAACUAGUGGCCUCAUUAGCAUCAGUCUCAUCAUCAUCAUCAUCACCACCACCAUCACCAGCAUCAUAUGACAUGAAAGAAUACUCCUCCCUAUCAUCUUUGUCCGCCACUAGUAUCUUCUUGCCUGGUUUCCCCAUUUGAAGAUGGACUUUAUGCCUCUCCACAUUUUUAUCAUGAAUUUUCUCUUCUUCUUCUCCUUCUCGAAGUCCGACUGGAAAUCUGCAUGUGACUUGGCCAAGUUAUUGUAGGCUGACUCAAGUCUGGUCACUGAUGCUGCCAUCUUCUCAUGAGAAUCUUUCUAACUCUUCUGCGUAUCUAAGUAACACUUCAUCUCGUCUCUGGAGAAGCACAAAGGCCCAAGCUGGGAGGAUGAAGGCCCAUUCAGAAGUUGUGACACUAAAUCCCGAAAAGAUGCAAGCUCGGAGUUUAGCACCCCAUAUGGUCCCUCAGGUGCAACUUCCUGUGAAGAUGACUCUAAACCAACAGCCGUGGUAGUGACCUUCCUUUUCUUGCUCUUGACUGCACUACCCUCUCCUAUCACUCUCAGUGGAUGAAAAGGUUUAUCAGCUGGUAGCCAUCGAUCGGUGCUACGCGCCUCAACCUCUGCUCUCAUACAUAGCUGUGUGAUCAAUGAAGGGAACAUCAUCCCUGCAUCCUUAUCCCGCAAAUACUCACUCAGCUCCUGCAGGAUAUAGUAACCGACAUUCACAGGAAUGCCGUCCAGGAGGCAUGCAAUAAUCAAAGUCCUGGUGUAGGAGACAUCUGAGACAUUUCCACAAGGAGACACCCUGUUGCAUAGGAUGUAUAGCCACAUUUUUGCUUCAGCUGUGAAGUCAAUUGACCUCAAACUUUUUCUCCUGUUUCCCCAUUUGGAUCUCAUGCUUGGAGGGUAGAGUUUGGAGAUAAGCCACUCCCCAUUGUCACACCGAUAUUUCUCUUGCACCGGCUCCAUUGGAUAAUUGUGAAUCCCAAGAGUGUCAUUUAUCUAUUCUAUCCCAAACAUUACCAAUUUUCCUCUAAUGAUGAGUUGUGGGCUGGCAAAGUCUGUGCGCUUAAGGUUAGCAUAGAAUUUGCGAACCCACUCCUUAUUAGCUUUGCAUGGAGUGCGAAUGAAGCAUGACCAUUCGGAGGUGUGAAGACUGGCACAGAAAUCUGGGAGCUUCUCAGCCAAUUUUUCUUCGUUGAUCCCUUUUUCUAGCACUAUCCUUUUGUUGAUGAGGUUGUCAUAAUAUCUACGAUGACAGUCAGUCGACAUGAAAUGAGAUUCAUCAAAUGUUUCCUCAAUCUCCUCCUCAAUUUCAUGUUGUUGUUGGGCAUUUUUGCUCAUGUUCGGGUCCAUUUUAGCGCAAAGUACCUUCAUAAAAUCAAAACAAAGUUAGUCGGGCAAUAGAAUCAUGUUAGGAUAAAGAAUCAGGUUGAACGGGCCCGGGAGGGACUUGCUGCAAAGCUACUGGAAUUGUGCAAUCUGCCCAGCUUUCGCAUCUGUAAAACAGUUACCGCAUGAGCGGUUUCGCUUCUGUGGAAUUUUGACCGCAUCCGCGGUUUUACCUAGUUUGGCCUCAAUCGCACCUGCGAAAAAAUUAUCGUAGGUGCGAUACUGCAUUUGCGGAACAUUAAUCACAUCUGCGGUGUUCGUCAAAUUUUUCAACUGCCCAAAUUUUUUUCAUUUUUCAAUUUUAAACCCGAUAUUAGCACCUAAUUUAUACUCAAGAUUUCUAAAUUACUGCAGUACAUGAAACUCUGAUUCUAAUGAGACUGACUUUGUGGUACUUAGCAAGAAAAUUUCUUUUAAACCUUUUGUCGAACACCUUGCAAGCAGUGUAAAAAGACCUUUUCUUUACACAAUUUGGGUACUCAGAUUUCCCACAAUUUUUAUUCGAUACUAACAAUGCACACACAUGAAUCUCUCAAUCAAUUUUCCUCACCCUAUUUUCACACAAAUCAGAGGGGAAUGGGGAACACAGCCAUGGCAGGCCUUAAGCACAGAAGAUGGAGAGAAGAGAAGACAAAGGGAGAGAGGAGUAGAUGAGAACUAAGAGAAAAUACCUGAGUAUCGUGUGAGUGCAGUAGAAUUCGCAAGCAAUGGAGGUUUUGGAGUGUGUUAGAGAUGGGGGAGUUUAGGGCUGGGGGGAGCAGUGUUCAUAGAAUACCUGAUGAAAUGAGAUUUCUAAUUUUUAAAACCUGCUCGAUUGCCGCAUUUGCGGUUAUUUUCCGCAUCUGCGGCGCUGCUUAUGCGGCCACUGGCCACUUCUACGAUAUGAAGCGCAUCUGCGGUUGGAAACCCACUUCUACGAGAACUCUUCUGCGGUCAAAUAUCCACAGAUGCGGUUACACCAGAAGAUUGAUGUACAGAUUCUGCAGCUACUGGUUUUAGCCCUCUGGAUCACUUCGACCUGCUCAAAUCACCUCCAAAAAAUCUAAAACUUGGCAGAUUAGUUACAAAUAAUAUUCUAAGCUAUUUAAAAAAAAAGAAAAUUUCAAAAAAUGACCAGUUUUUCUGAAAAACACACGAUGUGUUGCCUCCCACCAAGCGCCGCAUUUAACGUCGUGGAAUGACGCAACUCAACUUUAUCACUUUUCUCGCCACUUGGAUGAUAUGAACUUUGCACCUACCUUGGAAUCAAGCUUGUGACCAUGAGCGAUGGGGGGGGGUGGUAAGUCGAUGAUCAAGCCAAGCCUUAAAUUCUUCAUUUUGCACUUAUUGGCUCUCAUGUGAGGAAUGUCAUUUUGCUUUCUUGUUCCCUCAAAUUGUAGGAUGUAUGGUAUGAGUUUUUCCUCCUUGCAUUCCUUCAUUGAUUCGUGUAGUUCAACUUCCAUAUCACCACACAAUUCAAAUGUUGAAAAAUGCUUGGAAUGUGACUUCAAACCUCCAACUUGUAAUUUUUUUCGGGAUUUGACAUCCUCUUUUCCCCUGGACUAGGGCCAAUCUCAACAAAAUUUUCAUUUACAUCGGUUGACUCUAAUUUCAUAAUUUUCUUGGCAUCACUAACAAUCAUGGAGUCGGUUGGUGGAUGUUCAAUUCUUGAUUCCUCAAAGUAAAGCUCAUUUUCUUCCUCGGAAUUGGACUCUUCUUGGCUUCCUUCCACACUCUUAAGUUGGUGGGCAUAGUGAGCCUCAACCGACAUUUUCAUUUGAGCUUCCAAAGCGUGGAUAUGUUCAUCAUUGUGAGCCAAGCCUUGUUUCACGUCCUCGAGUUCAAAGUUAUGCUUCUCCUCAUUUUCAAGAAUGGUCUCCAACAUGAGCAUCAUCUUCUCGGGAAUCUAAGCAACAAGAGGUCCACUCGGGCAUCUAAACCCCCAAUAAUCACCACACAAGCCCGAUAUAUGCGGUCCACAACAAUAGUAUCGCCUACCGGGGUAGACAUAUGAACAGAUGAAACAAGAGACUCGUGGGGUGUAUCCAAAUAAUGAGCAAAAUAUGAUGACACAUAUGAAAAAGUGGAUCCAAGGUUAAAUAAUAUAGACGCAUAUCGGUGGAAGACUGAGACAAAACCUGUAAUCACAGCAUCUGAAACAAUAGCAUAUGGUCUUGCUGUGAGUGCAUAAAAACGAGCCUGACCACCACCUAAUCGUCCUCACCCUCUAGGGUGACCCCUAGCUGACUGACCUGCACCCCGAGCUAGCUGGGCGGGUGGUGACGUCCAAAUCCACUACUAAAAAGUAAAUGACACGGUCGCAAGCAAUAUAAUUUACCCAACUAUGAGUCAGGGUCGAAUCCCACAGAGAACAAUAUGUAGGUGAUUAGGAAUGUAUGAGAAUUCUCACUUAUCGCGCAAUGCCAAACACUAAGAAUUGAUUUGAGAAAAUGUUUUAUAUCUAAAUGCUAAAAUGUAAACUAACCUAGAAAGCAAGUAAAAUGAUCAAUGGCUACAAGUAUGGAUGCAUCGGGAAUUACACUCAAGUAAUGAUCCAAUGUAUUUCACGAUUUUACAAAUAUGAGUGAGUCUAUGUUAAUUAGCCAUGGAUAAUAAUUCUUAAUUAGCUUCUCCCGAAGACUAACAAGACUUCCUAAUUGAAUUAUCCCUAAAACAAUUAAGAGAUUAAGCACACCCGGAAUGGCUUCAAGUAGUUCAAUCCUAGACCUAGGUAGAAUCUAUAAAAUGAGGGUUAAAACCUCAUGUUCUUGUUAAUUAAUCUUUCCCAACCCCAAAUUAUCUUUUCCAAAAUUAAUUCGGAGUUAAUGGGCGAGUCCUAGGGUUAGCUAAUCCCUUUGGAAACAUUAAAGAACAAGAAUAAUUAAAGAAACAACAACUCACUUCGUAAAAAGAUAAAAAUCAUUCAAUAUAUAAGCACCACAAGGUAUUUAAUCCAUACUUUAAACAUGAAUAUUUCCAUACACAAGAUUCAAGUGUUGGAUAAAAUACUACACACUUAAAUAUUCAAUACAAAGCAAGGAAAUGAAUAAAUAAACAUAAAUGGGUAAGAAAUCCUUAACCACAAGCUUGAAAUCAUCAAUACCCAAGUGUGUGUGCAAACCCUAGCUUCAAGACUUGUUCUUCUCUAGUCUAUGCAACUGAAAAUAAGCCAAAGAUCUCCAAAGAUCUGCUUGGACGAGUAUAAAAAUAGUUUGGGAAUAAGAAAAUAUGAAAUGCCUAAUUUGCCCUGGUUUGAUGUCUGUUGACCGAAUCUGCGGAUGAAUUUACUUAGAUGUGGUUCCACAUAUGCAGAUACCUUAUCACAGAAGCGGAAUAAUGAAAUAUGCUUGACACCGCAGAUGCGGACUCCAAAAGCACAGAUGCGCUAUCGCAGAAGCGGAAAACCACUCACAGAUGCGGUUCCUGAGAAAAGACCCAGCUCCGCAGAUGCGUGUCCACUCCCGCAGAUGCGAGGUCGCUUCUGCGACCACUCUUCCGCAGAUGCGGAGUCACUAGAGAAUUUUGCAUUGUCCUCACCCUCUUUUGCUCAAUUCCACUUCAAUUCAAUUCGAAUCACUUUGUAGUAUCAUUUACCUUAAAAUCUAACAAUACACACCAUAAACGACCUCAUAUUAUAGUUAAAAGAUAUAAAAGCUAAGGAAAAUAGACUAGAUUGAUUGGUAAAAUCACCACUCAUCAGCGGGCGGGGAAGUAACUGGUGCUGAAGUCGAAGGCUGACUCCUUUGCUGGGAUGAACCUCCCAUAAGGCGGGGACAAAUCCUCUUGAUAUGACCCAAAUCUCUAUACUCAAAGCAACCUCUACCGGCCACUAGCAAUGGGGACUGAAGGGAUCCCCGAGCACCAAAAUACCCACUAGAAGAAUCAGGCAUAGAUGAACCCUGAACCAAUGGUGCAUGAGUCGAACUCUGAGAUGGAAGGGCACUGAGAGAUAAGUGGCCCUGAUGUGAACUGUGAGAACCUUGGCCAGAUGAUCCACCACGGUGACCCGAACGAGCUGGCUGAGCAUGUCUAAAUAGAUGACCUCUGCGUGCUGGAGCUGACCUCCAGAAGGAACACCACCAAAACUACCAAAUCCCUGAGGCCUCUUGGCCUCCCUCUCAACUCGCUCCUGGAAGCGAACUGACUUUAUCUCUUUGGCAAUGUCAACCACCUCCUCAAAAGAAGCGCCAGACACCCUCUCUCUAGUCAGAAAAACCUGCAGCUGAUAAGUGAGGCCAUCAACGAACCUCAUGAUCCUCUCCAUAUCCGUGGGAACUAGCCAGAUAGCAUGACGGGCCAACUCAGAAAAUCUCAUCUCAUACUGCGUCACAGUCAUAUCCUCCUGACACAACUUCUCGAAUUGUCUGUGCAGCUCCUCUCUACGGGACUGUGAUACAUACUUCGCUAGGAAGACAAUGGAGAACUGAUGCCAGGUAAGGGGCGCUGCACCAAUAGGCCUACGCCUCUCAUAAGCCUCCCACCAAGUAAAGGCACCACCAGAAAAUUGAAAGGUAGUAAAUGAAAACCCACUAGUCUCCAGAAUACCUGUUGUACGUAGAAUCCUCUAACACUUGUCCAAGAAACCCUGGGCAUACUUGCCCUCUGCACCACUGAAAUUCAGAGGAUGAAGUCUACCAAACCUCUCUAAUCGACGCUGCUCAUCAUUAGAAAAAAUUGGUACCACAAAAUCCUGAGCAGGUGCAACCGACUGGGCUGGUGGUGCCUCUAGUGUCUGCAAUACCUGAGCAACCUGCUCGGGUGUGCAAGCGGUGGGAGUCUGAGUGCCUCCCUCGACUUGAGAAGUAUUUGCUAUAGCAAAAAUGGCGACCGCCUAGGAAAGACUGUACAUACGGUCGAAAUCUGAGUUAAGUACUCCUAAAGACUUGGAUAACAAUAGGCACAAUCGGCGCCUGAGUUGGUCCUGUUAGAGCGUCCACAACUGGGACCUAAUCAUGAACUGGGGUGGCUGGUGGAUCUGCAGGUGCUGUCCUAACUGCUGUACGGGCUAUGCCCCUGCCCAUACCACAGCCUCGACCGUGACCUCGGCCUCUAGUAUCCCCAAAUGGUAGUACUGGUGGCCAUCCGUCCUGACCGGUAGCACGUGUCCUCACCAUUUGUGAGAGAAUAGAAUAACAUAAGUUUAGUUACCAGAAUCAACAGAUUCGCAUGACAAAAAUUUAAGAAUGUGAAGUUUCCUAAAGCUUUUGUAGUCUCUCGAAGAUAAGUACAAAUGUCUCCAUACCGAUCCGCGUGACUCUACCAAACUUGCUCCUGACCCGUGAGACCUAUGUAACCUAGGCUCUAAUACUAACUUGUCACGACCCCAAAACCAACCCGGUCGUGAUGACACCUAUCAUGAAACUAGGCCAGCCAAACCAUUUUCAAAGUAGUUCAAUAUUUCAUAAAACUUAAAUAACAACCUUUUUCAACUGAAAUUCCAUAAUAAAAUAUAAAGCCAAAAACCAAAAUGCGGAAAAUAAAAUCCCGACCUCGGGUGUCACUAAGUCAUGAGCAAUACUACAAUUGUUCCGAAAACAUAACAAGAUCAAAAUAGUCUGAAAGUAGCCAAAGUAUACUAGAAGGAAGAUAAAGAAGGAGAAAGGCGGGACUGUGAUAGCCACGUAGCUACCUCACUAUCUCCGGUGAUAAUCCAAACUGGAAUAGUCAACAAUCGCUACCGUGACCUGAGAUACCUGGAUCUGUACACAAGGUGCAGAGGAUAACGUGAGUACACCAACUCAGUAAGUAACAAGUCCAAACUAUGGACUGAUAGCUAGUGACGAACUAAACCGCAUCAAUUAUAACACAUUUAAAUUGUAUUAUAAGGUAGGCAUGCUGGAAAUUCAAUUAUUCAACUCAACAGUAAAGCAAAAUACCAAUCCGAACAAUGUGAAGUAUAAAGCUCAGCAAAUAUCUACAUGUCAAUGCCAGAAAUAUAUGCAAAUGCAACGUUUGCUCCCACUCUCAAUUGCUCAACCACUCGGUAUCACAUAUAUCCGACCCAGGGAAAUCCAUCCCGGAAUAUAUACAACACUGACUUCAAGUCAACCAGUAUCAAGGAACAAGGGUAAUCUGACCCUGAGGAGAAAUCCAUCUCCAGGUAUCAAUACUUCGGACAAAUCCAUGUCUAGGAAAUUUCAUCCCUCAAUAAUAUCAUCCGCGCUCACUGGGGGUGUAUAGACUCCGGAGGGGCAUAAUCAAUAAUCUGCUAUGGCAUGCAGCCCGAUCCUAUAACUUUCACUCAUAAUCAGGCUCUUGGCCUCACUCAGUCAUCACUCUUCAGUCUCACACACAUGGGCUCACAAUUCCAUGAAACUAGCCUGAAACAAUGAUAUGAUGUGCCAAAUAAUAACAACUGAGAUAGAGACAUGAUAUGAUAUGCAUGAACAAGACUGAGUACAGAAGAUUAAUGAAACUAAUGAGAUGAUAGCAGGAAACGACCACUCGGGUCUCAACAGUAUCGGCGUGAAGCCCUAACAUGGUAAUUAGUAUGAUUUACAACUUAUUAACUUAAUCUCAUAAUCACAAUGCGUAUAUCAGCAAGAAAGAGUCAGUAAGUGGUGCCAUAGAAUGAACCAGGCCACAAUUCUAACAGUGCAUGCCCACACGCCCGUCACUUGGCAUUUGUGUCACCUCAAUAUUUAAUCAUAUAACACAUAGUUCGGGGUUUUGAACCCUCAAAACCAAGUUUGGAACAGUUAUUUACCUCAAAUGAAGCCAAAUCCUACUCCGCUACACCUCUGCCUCUGGAAUCGGCCUCCAAAUGUCUCGAAUCUAACCAAAAGCAAUACAACGCAAUCAAUAUAGGCCAAAGAAUCAAUUCCAAACGAAAAACUAUCGAUUCAAUCCAAAAUCCCGAAAUUCACCCAAACCCGGCCCCCGGGCCCACAUCUAGGAAUCCGACAAAAAUCACAAAACUAGAAACUCCUUCCACUCACGAGUUCAUAUAUACAAGAUUUAUCAAAAUCCGACUCCAUUUGACCCCUCAAAUGCUCAAUCAAAGAUCUCCAAAACUCAAGCCCUAGCCCCUUCAACUUCACUCCAAAUUCCCACUAAUUCCAUGAUUAAACAGUAGAAAAAUCAUAACAAACACAAAUAAUAAAGCCCAAGUAACUUACCCAACUGAAAAUCCUUCAUUCCUCUUGAAAAUCGCUGCCUAAAACUCAAAUCCGGCCAAAAAUGGUGAAGAACGACCAAAAAUUAGCGAAUGAGCCUUUAUAUAUAUUCUACCCAGCACUUCCGCAUACGCGGUCCCCAUUACGCAUCUACGGGGCCGCAUCUGCACAAAAUUCUUCGCUUCUGCGGAAUCUCAUUAAAAGUCUAUUUCCGCUUUUGCAAUUGCCUGACCGCACCUGCGGUCAUCACAAAUGCGGGGACCAAACCACACCUGCGACCCUGGCUGCGCACUCUGCCCUACAUAACCACUUCUGCGGACCUCGCACCUGCGGUCCCCAAUCCGCAGGUACAGAAAUGACAGAAGCAACAACUUCAACUGUUCAAACCAAGUUCCAAUCCUUCUGUUAACCAUCCGAAUUAAUCCCGAGGCCUUCGGGAACUCAACCAAAAAUACCAAUAUGUAAUAUACCAUUAUUAAAACUUAUUCAAACCUUUGGAACACUCCAAACAACAUCAAACACUAAAUUACCCUCGGAUUUAAGCCUAAGAACUCCUAAACUUCCGAAUUCCGUAAACAAUGGCGAAACCUAUCAAACCUGGUCCGAGUGACUUGAAGCUUUGCACACACGUCACAAAUGACACUACGGACCUAAUCCAAUUUCAAAAAUUUACUUCCGACCCCGAUAUCAAAAUUUCCACUGUCGACCGAGAAAUGUCAAAAUUCUAAUUUCGUCAAUUCAAGCCCUAAUCUACCACGACCUCCAAAUUACAUUCCAAACACGCUUUUAAGUCCAAGAUCACCUAACGGAGCUAUCCGGACCAUCAGAAUUUAUAAGUCAACAUCCGGUUGACUUUUUCCAACUUAACUUCAAAAUGGGAGACUGAGUGUCUUAUUCCUCUCCAAAACCACUCCGAACCCGAACCAAUCAACCCGAUACCACACAAUAUUGCUAAACAACACAUAAAGAAGCAGAAAUGGAAAAAGCGGAACUAUAACUCAUGAAAUAACCGACCGGGUCGUUACACAUGUGCAUUAACUUUGGUUAAUGUAAUAUUUUACCUUGGGGGUUACGUAGGUCACAAGAGUUACCACCGAAAUUCUCGGCAAGGUCGUGAUGUAACCUAACCCUAAACUGAACAAGCAUAACCAACAAAUUCAUACACUAUAGAGACAUAAACAAGUAUAAACAUGGAUAGUACCAUAAAAUGAGUCUAAAUCUGAUAAAACAUAAGUGUGGAAUAUUAAAAUAUAACCUCCAACGAAUGCUAGCACAAGUCAUAAGCAACUAAAAAUGGGAAAAUACAAUAAUCUCAAAACACAUAACUGUCUGUAAUAAAGGACAAUAUACAUAUGAAGAUAAGGAAAAUAGAGGCAGGAGUAGCAACUUGCUGGUGCCAUGCUUUCCUUCAUUUGUUAUUUUCAUUCGAAUUUCUUCUAAUUUAAAAAUUUACAUAAAGAGUAUUUGGCGAAGCAAAAUUUAACUACCUAAUGAAGUAAAAAAUUUGGGCAAAACAACAAGACCACGUAGAAUACAUUUAUACAAAUAAGAAAAAAGAACCUUCUUGAAAAAUAAUUUCUUUAUUUACUAUUUCAUUGUGUAUAUUAAUGAAUUAGGUACAUUAGUUGAUUCAUGCUUGAAGAUUAGAAAUUACUAUUGGAUGUACUCCCAAAGUCGGCUAAAAUUUACUUUUCAAUUGCUGUCUCUUGUAAAUGAAGCGGAUAUAUNNNNNNNNNNNNNNNNNNNNNNNNNAAAAAUGAUGAAUUUUAUAACCGCACGUAGCAUGGUCAAAUUUACUAGUUGCAUCAAUAAGAGAGUAAUAUCAUAAAUGUAUAAUAAUGACUCAGCUCUUACAUCAAAUAGACACUUCCUGAGUGUCCCACAACCUACAAACAAGCCUCAAGCAUGUGUAAAAUGCACCAAAAAAUGUAUAUAGACGAUAUCUAUGAACAAAUCAUGUAAAAAGCAUUAAUAGGCAUAGAGGAUUCACUUAAAAAAUAAAGCUUUCACUUUUAUGAUCAAACUCAUCAAUUGUAUCAUAAUCAAAAUAGGAAACCUAUGGAUCCCUAAACCUAGACGCACACUCUUGGUGGCAUUCUGGUGUUUAGUGUCUAAUAAACAAACCUUAUCCAUACGCAACAAAAAUAUAAAUCUAUAUGCCCUAUAAAAACAUUAUAUGACGUGUCAAGAUUGAUGCCUCAGCAGGAACGUGAAUCGACACGCCCUAAGCGAUAACUCAAAAUAUAAACGUGAAUUUGCAUGCUCUAACAGCUCAACAUCUCAAAACAUUCUCAAAUAAGUAACAAGAGCAAGUAUAUAUUCUAACAAGGUGCGUAUAUGAAAUAGUGUAUGCCUAUACAAUUCUACCAUGUAAAGAAAGUAUAUGAAAUCCAUAAUGUCUAAAUUAACAUGCGAAGGAUGCCUAUAACAUUAUUCUAGCAUGAAUAAGAUGCUCAGAUAGACAUACAAACAAGUAAAUCAUAUCACAAGCAGAACAUGUAUCAAAACAAGGCUUAAAAGACUAAAAUAUAGCCCAAACAUAGUACCACCUCGAUAUUCGCUUGUUAUCUCCUAUGUACGUCACCCCUAAUAUGUAGCAUAUAGGAAAUAAGUCCAUUCUUUGAAAAAUUUCCUCAAGUAAAAAUUAGUCAGGGUACUUAACUUCUUCGAAAUAAGGUUUAACCUUCAAAAAUAUCUGUUGCUUUCUCUGUGUUUCCAAAUUGCAUAAUGAAGUAUCACCACUAUGUUUAAAUGACUAAAAAAGUAACUCAUUUUAGACUAUUUGCUAUAUAUAGAUGCUUUUCAAACUAAAUCUUGCAUGUAACAAAAAUGGGAUCCCUUCGCUCGGGUUAACUUAUAAGGGGUUUCCUCUUGAGUAACCUAUUUCAUCUCUUAAAUUCUUUUAGAUCUAUGAAUUGACAAACAACCCUUUGUCUGAUGGAGCGAUAUUAUCUUAAGUAUACUUUUAUAAUAUUUGUUCUGGUAAUGCUAUCCAAAAAAACAAGUGGCUUCUUUCCAAAGGAAAAAAGACAAAAUGAUAGACGUGUUAAAAAGAUCAAACUGAUUUUAGUCAGUUUAAACAAAAAACAGAGAUUUGUUGUGCAAUAUGCCGUAGGAUGUGGAUUUAGUUAUUAGAUGAAAUAAUUACUUUGAACCAUAAAUAGUACAGAUGUGCAUGAUAUAGUGGAUCACCACAAACUUCGUUGUAACUAACCCUUCAACAAAUUAGGAAGUUAAUAAAGCACGAAAAGGAGAAAACUUAGUAGGAAGGAGAUGUUUACCUUGAAAAUACAGAGUAACAAUUAAAUUUGAUUAGUGGUUUUAAAGAUAUGUGAUUUAGCUCAAUACCAAUUAAUAAUCAAGAAAUAUGAAGUAGAAAUGAAAGAUAAAGUGAAUCAAACCAAUGUUACUUAGCAGCUGUGACCUCGAACUUAGUGACCUCGAGGUGUCUUAGGGUAGUAAGAGCAAUUAAGUAAUAAAAAUAAAGUAAGAACAAUGGAGCUAAAUUAAAGGACAAUGCUGAUGAACAGUAGGGGAAAAGAUAGAAAGUAUAUUCUUCUCUCAGUCAUUAUAAGAUAUCUUACAAAUGAUUGGGGUCCCCUUUAUAUAAUAGGGGAGCCCUAAAUAAGGAAUAUUUCUAUUUACAAUAAGAAAUAUUUUUGGUACAACUGUCUAACCGCCUAGUAUGGAGUAGUACAAUCAUAUUCUCGGAUUCGCGCCAUGACUUUGGGGAUAUGGCAAGAAUCUAACUUGUUUUGGUACAAAUCCAUAACGGUACUAUUUCGUGGUCGAGCACACUCGACCUCAGUAUGCAUCAUGCUCCUACCUUGAACUCAGGUCUGGUCCAUCAAGCUCGAACUUGAUCUUACCCGGACUCGGACUUUGGACGACCUCUCAAGCAUAUAGAUCGGAUGCAUUCGAUCUCGACCGUAUAAAGAUAAUCCCCACAUUUCUUAGAGUAAGAUGAUAAGAAACGUUUUUGAUCCUCGUUUUCCCAAAGUUUUUAGUGAUGAUAUCAUUUCUAUGAUGCAGGUGUUCGAAUUGACCGAAACAUCCCGUUGGUCCACUUCCCCAAAAAUGUUAAAUGCACGCCAGUAUUGGUCGGCCACUAGUGUCGCCGAACCAUCGUUUCCCUUCUAUAAACAUGAGGCGAUUCCUCUGAGUAAAGAACUUUACUCUUUAUUCACAUCUUUCCCAUCUUCAUCUCUUUCUCUAAUCGCCCGUUUCCACCGCCUCUUUAAGCGCCGAAAAACGCCAAGCUCUUGCAAGAAAUACCACAUCCUUGUGCAACUAGUAUUCUUUAGCUUACAACCAUGGCUAAAACUUCCAAAAAGGUCCCUAUAGAGGAUAAAACAUCAUCUUCUUCUGCUUCCCAGCCAGCCAAACCAGUGGUGCCACCAACUCUUGAGGAAAUCACUCCCGAUCUUUGCAUAAUUAAGAAAUACUUUAGUAUCGAGAAUCCCCGACGUCCCAGGCUGAUGCGAGCAUGCAUCUCGAUAUAUUAGCUUGAUAUCGAAGAAGCUCAUUAAGGAUGUAAAGAAGGACUGUGGCUGGGGAGACGAGGUCGUGAUUCAGAUCCCGAGACCCGGGGAAAACAUUACUACCCACGUGAAGGGUUUUUUAAGUGUUUGUACUUGCCCCUUCACACUGGGUCCCCUCGAUCCGGUGGUGACUAACCUCUGCAAAACAUACUAAGUCACCCUCGGUCAGAUUCACCCCUCUUUUUGGCAUGUCGUGAUCAUGUUACUGUAUUUUUCCGAGAAGGCCAAGGGGUUGGAAAUCACCCUCAUCCACCUGAUUUGAUUAUAUCGGCUUUAGUUAUUUCGAGGGCUUAUCAAGCUGCAGCUUUGAACAAUGAAAGACUUCUUUGCUAGUACUGAUGAAACCAAAGAUCGAGGUUGGAUGAGCCGGUUUGUCAGAGUAAGAACCUCGGAUUUCAUCCCCGAGGAUAAAAUGCCGUUCCCGGAGAGGUAGAACUUCAAUCAUAAGUGGAGUUCAUUUUCCCAUUAUCUAUUCAUAUUCUACUUUCACAUUUCAUAAUGUAUUUAUCCUUCUUUUGGCAGCCAAUGCCAGGGUGCCCCCAGCGGUGCCCGACCUCGAGGAUUGGGUCAGAAAGUUAGCUGCCACCUCUUCCUACGAUGAGCGCAAGUGGCGUGAAUUAUCGAAGGGCCAGUGAGAGGCCAGGAACCAUGUUGAGUGCUUUUCCCAAGUUUCAAACACUCUUCGUAUAUUGUUGGCGUCAACUUACUAACGUUCACUUGCGUAGACCUUGGUGAUGCAUGCGAGACGAGGCCGGUUCCACCCGGGGAAAAUACCAAGCCUUCGAUUCCAAAAUCGGAUAGGGACAACAAAAGGAAAAGGGUUUCGAAGCCUGAAGAUCCUCAAGAUAAGAAAACCCAUGCUCGAAGGCUACGGAAAAGGUUUGCUCAAAUUGGUGCAUAUUCGACCCAUGAUUCCCGGAUGAUGAAGAAAAUGACGGUGAGGAGUCGGCGUUGGUACCUUGAACUAGGAAACCGAUCUAGUCUGCCAAACCUUCCGAGCUUGAAACCUAAUCUCGUGGUAAGGGAACCCCAAAGAAAGAUGCGGGCAAGGCCCCCGUGUCCCGGGAGGUCGAGAUUGUCCCUCCGUCUUCAAUAACUAUCCUAGAGGGGGUAAAUGCUGAGACCCCCAAAGCUAGUGAGAACGCCCUGAGUGAAUAGCUCGGGGCCGCGACAACACUCACUCCAUUUCUUUGCCAAAUUAUUCCGAGGGUGCGAUUAAAGAAGCCAACACUCUGCGUAUUCCCGAUCCGAGCAAGGUCAUCGAGGACGAUCCUUUUUAGGGUUGCUACAAUGGGAUUAAGGAUUCCAAUGACCUUAAUGAUGCAUUCACCAUCUUCAAAGAGACUCAACAUCUCCUCUCCCGGGUAAGUAUUUACUUCUAUUAUUGUAAUUUUCUCUUUCUUUUUCCUUUGACUGAUAUGUCUCUAUUUCAUGUAUAGGCCAUUGUAAAGUUUAGAGAUAAGCUGAGCCAAUGUGAGGCUGAGCUGAAGAAUGUUUUGAGCAAAAAGAAAGCCUGAGGCUCCUCUGUAGCUAAAAGGAAGAGGAGCUUAAGCAUCUUGAGACCGCAUUGGCCAAAGCUCAAAAAAGCGAGUUUGAGCUAGAUGAGCAGAUAACUAUGAUUUUAAUAGAGUUUGUCCUUCUUGGCCCUACUUCGAAGGCUAACAUUUCGAUAUCUCACCUGCAACAAAGCUAGAGAAGAUUAGGCGGCUCGGGGGCGAUGUUGAUCAAGUUAGAGAUGAUUGUCAUCAGUGGAAGAAAAACAUGGAUUAGCUCGCGAUAAACAAGCUGCUACAACCCAACUGGCCUCGGCUGAAACUUAGCUCCGAGGCAUUGAAGCGAAGGGUCUGUCUUAGGCCAAGAAAAUCGAGGAGUUAAAGGCUGAGCUAGCUAGAGCCCGGGCCAAAGCUGUAUAGGCUAAGGCUGAAGCUGACAAGACGCAAGCUGUGAUGAGUUGUGAUUUUACCACUCAUUCUAGUCUCUUUUCUUUAGUUUUUAUAUCCUUCAACUAUAAUCUGGGGUCGUUUAUGGUGUAUAUGGUAAGAUUUUUAGGUAAAUGAUGCCAUGAAGUUAUUUGAAUUUAUUUGAAGUGGAAUUGAGCAAAAAAAGGGUGAAAACAUUGCACAACUCUCCUGUAAUUCUGCAUCUGCGGAAGAGUGGUCGGAGAAGCGACCCCGCAUCUGCGAGAAACAGAACGCAUCUGGGGAGCUGAGCUACAUUGCCAGAAAUCACAUCUGCUAGUAGAGAACCACUGAAGCGGUUGCGCAUCUACGCUUAGGAUCCUGUAUCUGCGGUAUGAGAAGUUCCUUCAAUUUUCCGCUUCUGCAUUAAGAUAUCCGCUUAUGCCGAGCCUCACUUGCGAGGAUUCUUUCACAGGUGCGGUCAACGGGCAUCAGAACUGGACUGGAAUGACAUUUCAUAUUUUCUCAAUUCCAAACCCACAAAUACACGACCAAGCCUAUUGGGAAUAGAUCUUUGGCUUAUUUUCAGUCUCUAAGACUAGAGAGAACAAGUUCUGGAAGCUAGGAUUUGCACACACACUUUGGUCUUGAAGGUUUGAAGCUUUUGGUUGAGAAUUUGUUGCCCAUUUAUGUUCAUUCCUUCAUUUCCUUGCUUUGUAUUGUAUAUCUAAGUGUGUAGUAUUUAUUCCGACACUUGAAUCUUGUUUAUGGAAAUAUUCAUGUUUAAAGUGUAGAUUAAACAACUUGUUGUGCUUAUGUAUUGAAAGAUUUUUAAUCUUUCAUGAAUUGAGUUACUAUUUCUUUAAUUAUUCUUGUUCUUUAAUGUUUCCAAAGGGAUUAGCUAACCCUAUGACUCACCCAUUAACUUCGAAAUAAUUUUGGAAAAGAUUAUUUGGGGUUGGGAAAGAUUAAUUAACAAUAACUUGAGGAUUUAACCCUCAUUUUAUAGAUUCUACCUAGGAAUAGGAUUGAACUACUUGUAGCCAUAAUCGAGUGUUCUUAAUCUCCUAAUUAUUUUAGGGAUAAUUCAAUUAGUAAGUCUUUGGAAGAAGCUAAUAUAGAAUUAUUACCCGAGGCUAAUUAACAUAAACUAGCUCAUAUUUGUAAAAUCAUGAAAUACAUUGGAUCGUUACUUAAGUGUAAUUCCCCGUGUAUCCAUACUUGUAGCCAUUGAUCAUUUUACUUGCUUUCUGGGUUAAUUUAUAUUUUUUGCAUUUUGGUAUAAAUAUUUUCUAAAAACAAUUCUAAGUGUUUGGCAUUGCAUAACAAGUGAUAAUUCUCUUAUAUUCCUAAUCGCCUACAUAUUAUUCUCUGUGGGAUUUGACCCCGACUCAUAGUUGGGUAAACUAUAUUGCAUGCCACCAUGUCCAUUUACUUUUUAGUAGUGAAUUUUGACAUCAUCAAAAUUGGCAUCAUUACAGGGGAACAAUUUGGCGUAAUUUACGUUAUUUGAGAAAUAAGCGUAAGUGCUUUGGUCCAAACUUGUGAAUAUUUGUGUAAUUAAUUUUUUUUACCUUGGUAUAUUUUUCUUGUUUGUUUCUUGUUUAUUUUCUUAGUUUUUGAAAAAAAUAUGGCAUCAUAUAAUAAAAUGGGUCGGAUGGUAGUUGUUCAUACUUUGAUGACCCUGUCCUUAUUGUGGAGGACCACACAUGGAAAAAUUGUUUAAAUUCUCACGGGGUUGGAUUGUGUGCACAAUCUCAAAUACAUGAGUGGAGUAUUGUGAUAAGUGUGGUCGUCAAAAUAAUCAUUCGGAUGACUGUGAUUGUUUGUCCUUCCCUUCCCCAAGCCCCCGCUAUGAUAAUUCUAAUUUUUGUGAUGAAAAUGAUAGGGCCAUGGAAGUGAAAGAAAUUAAGCAUGUUAAAAUGGAGAGUUCAAGCUCAUGUUAGAAUCUCUAAUUGAAGGAGAAAACAAAGAACAAAGUUCCUUGGAGGAGCUUUUGGAAAAUAGUCUCCAAAAUGACUUGGCACUUAAAAGGUUGAACUUGCAAAUGGAAGAAAUGCUUGAAGCUUUAGAGGUCCAAAAAGCCUUGAAUGUUAAUGAUAGCCAAGAAUCUUCCUUGGAGGUUGAAGCCGAAAAUACUUCCUUGGAACUUGAUCAAAACCAAGAAGAACUCUCAAACACUCAAAAUGAGAAGAUGAUGCUCAUGUUGGAAACCAUUCUUGAAAAUGAGGAGAAGCACAACUUUGAACUCGAGGACUUGAAACAUGGCUUGACUCACAAUGAUGAGCAUAUCCACACUUUGGAAGAUCAAAUGAAGAUAUUGGUUGAGGCUCACUAUGCCCACCAACAUGAGAGUGUGGAAAGAAGUCAAGAAGAGUCUGAUGAUGGGGAAGAAAGUGAGCUCUACUUUGAGUAAUCAAGAAUUGAACAUCCGCCAACCGACUCCAUGAGUGUUAGUGAUGCCAAGAAAAAUAUGAAAUUAGAGUCAACCGAUGUGCAUGAAAAUAUGAUUCAGAUUGACUCUAAUCCGGGGGAAAAGAGGAUGUCAAAAUCCAGAAAUAACUAUAAUUUGGAGGUUUGAUGUCACAAUCCAAGCAUUUUUCAACAUUGAAAUUGUAUGGUGAUAUGGGAAUUGAACUACACGAGUUAAUGGGGGAUUGCGCGGAGGAAAGACAAAUGCCAUACAUCUUACAAUUUGAGGGAACAAGAAGGCAAAAUGACAUUCCUCACAUGAAAGCCCAGAGGUGCGAAAUGAAGAAAUUGAUGCUUGGCUUGAUCAUCUACUUACUACUCCCACCGCUCGUGGUCACAAGCUUGAUUCCAAGUUGGGUGCCCAAUUCAUAUCGUGCAAGUGGCGAGAAAAGUGGUAAAGUUAAUUUGCGUCGUGCCACGACGUUAAAUGCGGCGCUUGGUGGGAGGCAACCCAUCCUUUUUUUUAAUCUGCCAAGUUUAUUUUGGACUAAUCUGCCAAGUUUCAAAUAUUUUGGAGUUAAAUUAAGGAGUUUGGGAUGUUCGAAUGGCACAAAACAGUAACUGCCCAGAAUUGGUCACUGGAACCUGUUGUAACCACACAUGCAGAAAAUUCACGUAGGUGCGCUACCGCAAAAGCGGUUUUCCAGUCACAGAUGCGCAUGCUUCAUAGAUAUGGUCCGUUUGACGCAGAAGCGACUGCGUAGAAGCGUGAAAUAAAUCGCAAGUGCGGAAAAUCAGGCAACAUUUGUUAAUUGAACCCUCAUUUCAUCAGGUAUGUUCUGAACUUUUUCCCCCAAAACCCAAAAUUCCCUCUCCUCUCUCACACUACUGAUCUUCACACAACUGAUCUCACUCAAAUUUCUGAAGCACAAGACCAUGCAGGUAACUUGGCUCUCAUCUACUCCUCUCUUUUGCUUCUCUUUUCGUUUUCUUCUUCUUCUUUAAAUGUGGGAGCCCAUUGUGAUACAGUCCCAUUUUCUUUCUCUUUCUUUUUUUCUGUUUAAUCGUUAUUAGUUUUAGGAAGUGAGGGAAAUUGGUUGAGAGUAGGUUUGUGUGUGCUGCUAAUGAAGAAGAACAAAUUGUUGGGAAAUCUAUUAACCAAAUUUGUGUGAAAAUAGCAUAAACUCUCACUGCAUGCAAUGUGUUUGAUAAAUUGUCCAAAAGAAAAUUGUAUUUUAAGUACCACAAAAUCAGUCUUAAUGGAGUCAUAGGUUCUUGUAUUGCGCCAAUUUAGAAGUCUUGAGUAUAAAAUAGGUGCCAAAAUCAGGUUUAAGAAUUGAAAAGGUUGAAAAAUUCUGGGUGUUGGAACCCUUGGACGAACACCGCAGAUGCAGCCUCACACCUACGUUGAUUAUUCUGCAGGUGCAAUUUUUGGCAUAUUGAGCAAAACCGCAGAAGCGGAGUAAAACUCGUAGAUGUGGGACCGCACCUGCGAUGGUCUUUCUGCAGGUGAAGAAACUGGGCAGAUUAUGCAAUUCCAGUAGCUUUUCAACUGAAGCUUCCCGGGCCCGUUCAAUUUGAUUCUUUGUCCUAAUUGCAUUGUUUUAAUUUCAUAACAUGAUUAUUGCCCGACUAACAUUGUUUUGAUUUUGUGAAGGUACUUUGAGCUAAAAUGGACCCAAACAUGAACAAAAAUGCUCCGCGACAUCAUGAAAUUGAGGAGGAGGCUGAUGGACCAUUUGACAACUCACACUUCAUGUCGGGUGAUUGUCACCAUAGAUGUUAUGACAACCUCAUCACCAAAAAUAUAGUGCUAGAAAAAGGGAUCACCGAGGAGAAAUUGGUCGAUCUACUCCCAUAAUUCUAUGGCCAACUACAAACCUCUGGAUGGUCAUGCUUCAUUCCCACUCCAUGGAAUGCCAAUGAGGAGCGGGUUCGCGAAUUUUACGCCAAUCAUAAGCAUACAAACUUUGCUGAGCCACAACUUACAAUAAGGGGUACGACCGUGAGGUUUGGAUUGAGCAAAUUAAUGAAACACUCGGGAUUCCUAACCACCCACUCGAGCUAGUGCUAUAAGGAGAUCGUUGCAACAACACAGAAUGGCUUGUGUCUAAGCUCUAUCCUGCAAGCAUGAGAGAAAAAUGGGCCAACAAUAGGAGGGGUUUGAAAUCGGUCGGCUUCACCACUGAACCAAAGAUAUGGCUCUAUAUCCUCCGUAACAGGUAUCACCCUGUGGGAAUGUUUCUGAUGUAUCAUACACUAGAGCCCUGAUCAUUGCAUGCCUUCUUGACAUCAUUCCUGUGAAUGUUGGUCACUAUAUAUUGAGAGAGCUGAGAGAGUACUUGCACGAUGAUAGCUCAGGGUUGAUGUUUCCUUCACUGAUCACGGAGUUGUGUAGGCGGGCAGAGGUUGAGGUUCGUAGCACCGAUCGUUGGUUGCCCACCGACAAACCUCUUCAUCCAUCGAGAGUAAUGGGGGAGGUGAGUGUAGUAAAAAGUAAGAAAAGGAAAGUCACCACUACUAUUGCUGGUACAGAGUCAUCCUCACAGGCAGUUGCACCUGAGGGACCAUUUGGGUGCUAAACUCCCAGCUAGUAUAAAUUCGGGAGUUAGUGUCAAAGCACCCUAGUGGGCCCUCAUCCUCCCAGCCUGGGCCCGAGUACUUCACCAGGGACAACUUGAAGAACUACUUAGAUACACAAAAAAGGCAGGUAGAGUCUCAGGAGAGAAUAACAGCAUCUGUUGGCAUACUCAAGACAGAUUAUGACAACUUGGCCAAGGCACAUGUAGAUCUUUUGUCAGACUUCCAUAAGGAGAAGAUGAAGAACAAGAAGAAGGGCAAAUUUAUGAUCAAGAUGUGGAGAGGCAUAAAGGCCAUCUUCAAAUGGGGGCAGCCGAAUAGGAAGAUGCCAGUAGAGGGUAAAGAUGAUAGCAAGGAGUAUUCCUUCAUGUCAGAUGCUGCUAGUGAUGAUGCUAAUGAGACAGAUGAUGAAGAGGCCGAGAGUUCUUCACGGUAGUGAUCAGCCUUCCUCCCGCAGUCUGCUAGUCUGAUGCAGACCUCAGGGAGACCCUCAAACUACUUUUAUUUUAAUUUUGAUAUUGUGUAGUGAGAACACUACAAUGUUAUUAGUUGGGGGUUGCUUUAGGGAGUGAAUUUUGUUUAUGCAUUGCUACUUUGACUUGUGCCCUUGCCAGGAUUAUUCUGUUGUAUGGAUAUUGUGUGCCCUUGCUGGGCUUGUUUUUUUAUUGCUUAUCAUGUGGUCUUGUCAAGCAUAGUCGUGAGUAGCUAUAUAUGUGCAAAUUAGUCACUUUUGUUGUCCUAUUUUAUUGUUUUCUUUCUUUCUUUAUUUUUUCAGUAGCUUUCAUUAUUUUAUUUCUUUAGUAGUAUUUCCUUCGGUUUUCUUUAUGCUACUAUUCUUUCUCGAGGAACAUUUUUGUGUUGAACCAAGUGGCAUUUCUCUAUGAUGGAUGGCGUGACGACUUUCUUAAGGGAAUUAGUCUUGUUUUGUUGUGUGGAGACUUUUGGAUCAUUUGGUACUAAUAGAAUUAGUCUAUUGCAUGUGAAAUAUAAAUUAAGAAUACCCUUCCGAAUUUUGGUUUUAAAUUGAAAAGUAAAUGCAUGGGAAUGAAUAAUUUCUAUGAUAACUUUUUGGCUCUUUUAGUGACUCUUUACCCACUAAUUGGCAUGAUAUUGCUCUAAAUGCUCUUAAAAAAAGUGAAAUAAAAUAGUCUUUACUAGUUCAUGUGCCAUGUGUAUUAGUUUGUGUUAGAAAUAAUUCUUGUGUUUACUUAUAUCAUCUAGAACUUGCCCGGUUGGUCUUUCAAUGCUAAUGUUGGUUAGUUGAUCUUUCAAUGCUAAUGUUAGUUAUGUUUGGUCGGAGGGAUGACCUUAGGAAUAUCUUUGUGAUCUUUGAAAAAUCUCUUUAGAUUUUCGAACCUACCACUACAUAAAUAUUAUCACUAGCUUACCCCAUUUGCACCUUUAACCUUUUCUUUGGACACCUCAUUUCAAACUUUUACCCUUUUGUCAAAUAAUUCCAUCUUUUGAACCCGUCCCUCCUUGAAUAUUGAGAAUGAGGCUAAAUGCCUAAGUUGGGGGUGUUGGUGUCAAAGUGGAAAUUGGUAAGGUUGUACAUUGAAGUAUAAUUACUCAAGAUCCAAAAGGAAAUAGUUAUAUAUAUAUAUAUAUAUAUAUAUAUAUAUGUGUGUGUGUGUGUAUGUGUGUGUGUUAUAAAUAUGGAGUCUUGAGAAAAUUAGAGAGAAACUUUAAGGUGUUUCUCUGUUGGUAGUUAGAUGCCAAUAAAGGCUAUGUGGUUUAAAAAGAAGCAAAAUACAAAAAGAACGACAAAUGUGAGUAGUGUUCAAGGAGGGUGUAGUCACUUGUAUCCCAAAUGCUUAACCUACCCUUUCCUAAAGCUACAUUACAAGCUUNNNNNNNNNNNNNNNNNNNNNNNNNNNNNNNNNNNNNNNNNNNNNNNNNNNNNNNNNNNNNNNNNNNNNNNNNNNNNNNNNNNNNNNNNNNNNNNNNNNNNNNNNNNNNNNNNNNNNNNNNNNNNNNNNNNNNNNNNNNNNNNNNNNNNNNNNNNNNNNNNNNNNNNNNNNNNNNNNNNNNNNNNNNNNNNNNNNNNNNNNNNNNNNNNNNNNNNNNNNNNNNNNNNNNNNNNNNNNNNNNNNNNNNNNNNNNNNNNNNNNNNNNNNNNNNNNNNNNNNNNNNNNNNNNNNNNNNNNNNNNNNNNNNNNNNNNNNNNNNNNNNNNNNNNNNNNNNNNNNNNNNNNNNNNNNNNNNNNNNNNNNNNNNNNNNNNNNNNNNNNNNNNNNNNNNNNNNNNNNNNNNNNNNNNNNNNNNNNNNNNNNNNNNNNNNNNNNNNNNNNNNNNNNNNNNNNNNNNNNNNNNNNNNNNNNNNNNNNNNNNNNNNNNNNNNNNNNNNNNNNNNNNNNNNNNNNNNNNNNNNNNNNNNNNNNNNNNNNNNNNNNNNNNNNNNNNNUUGUAAAUAUGUUGAUUUUAGGACUUUUUUUUGUAUCCGGAAUUGAGUAAAUGGAGCAUAUGUAGUAGAUUAGUGCUUUUGAAUCACUUCUUGAGGCCUUUUGUUGUCACUUGAUUACUUUGAAAAUCCUUUGCAUUUCUUGAAAGUGUUUUUAAAUGAGGGAGUUAUUUGGUUAUUAUUCGCGUGCUUGAGCCUAAUUAUUAGUUCCAACCAAAUCCAUAAGUAUGGUGCUUAAUUGCAGAAUGUGAUUGUAAAUAAUAGAAUUACUACUUGUGCUUUAAAUGGUAAAACCUCAUUGAAGUGUUGGUUUUGAUUUGCUUGAGGACAAGCAAAAGCUUUAAGUUGGGGGUGUUGAUGAGUGGUGAUUUUACCACUCAUUCUAGUCUCUUUUCUUUAGUUUUUAUGUCCUUUAACUAUAAUAUGAUGUCUUUUAUGAUGUGCAUUGUUAGAUUUUCAGGAAAAUGAUGCCAUGAAGUGAUUUGAUUUCAAUUGAAGUGAAAUUGAGCAAAAAACGGGUGAAAACAAUGCAAAACUCUCCUGUAAUUCUGCGUUUGCGGAAAAGUGGUUGCAGAAGCGACCCCGCAUCUGCGAGAAAUGGAAUGCAUCUCCGGAACUGAGCUACUUUGCCAGAAAUUGCAUCUGCAAGUAGAGAACCGAAGAAGUGGUUACGCAUCAGCGCUUAGGAGCUCGCAUCUACAGUACCAGAAGUUCAUUAAAUUUUCGCUUCUGCAUUAAGAUAUCCGCUUAUGCGUAGCCGCACCUGCGAGGAUUCUUCCGCAGGUACGGUCAACGGGCAUCAGAACUGGACUGGAAUGACAUUUCAUAUUUUCUCAAUUCCAAACCCACAAAUACACGACCAAGCCUAUUAGGAACAUAUCUUUGUCUUAUUUUCAGUCUCUAAGACUAAAGAGAACAAGUUUUGGAAGCUAGGGUUUGCACACACACUUUAGUCUUGACUAUUUGAAGCUUUUGGUUGAGAAUUUCUUACCUAUUUAUGUUCAUUCCUUCGUUUCCUUGCUUUGUAUUGUAUAUAUAUAUGUGUGUAGUAUUUAUUCAAAUACUUGAAUCUUGUUUAUGGAAAUAUUCAUGUUUAAACUGUGGAUUAAAUAGCUUGUUGUGCUUAUGUAUUGAAUGAUUUUUUAUCUUUUAUGAAGUGAGUUAUUGUUUCUUUAAUUAUUCUUAUUAAUUAAUGUUUUUAAAGGGAUUAUCUAACCCUAGAACUCGCCCAUUAACUUCAAAUUAAUUUUGGGAAAGAAAAUUUGGGGUUGGGAAAGAUUAAUUAACAAGAACUUGAGUCUUUAAUCCUCAUUUUAUAGAUUCUACCUAGGGAUAGGAUUGAACUACUUGUAGUCAUAAUCGGGUGUGCUUAAUCUCCUAAUUGUUUUAGGGAUAAUUCAAUUAGGAAGUCUUGUUAACCUUUGGAAGAAGCUAAUAUAGAAUUAUUACGCGAGGCUAAUUAACAUAAACUCGCUCAUAUUUGUAAAAUCAUGAAAUACAUUGGACCUUUACUUGAGUGUAAUUCCCCAUGUAUCCAUUCUUGUAGCCAUUGAUCAUUUUACCUACUUUCUAUGUUAGUUUACAUUUUUUUGCCUUUAGGUAUAAAUAUUUUCUAAAUACAAUUCUAAGUGUUUGGCAUUGCAUAACAAGUGAUAAUUCUCUUACAUUCCUAAUCGCCUACAUAUUUUUCUUUGUGGGAUUUGACCCCGACUCAUAGUUAGGUAAAUUAUAUUGCAUGCGACCGUGUCCAUUUACUUUUUAGUAGUGUAUUUAGACAUCAUCAAAAUUGGUGCCAUUGCCAGGGAUUAGCGUGCUUGAGCCUAAACGGAAGGCAUAUGCGGAUUGAAGUGAUUUGAAUUCUAUUGGAGUGGAAUUGACCAAAAAAAGGGUGAAAACAAUGCAAAACUCUCCUGUAAUUCUUCAUCUGCAGAAGAGUGAUCGCAGAAGCGACCCCACAUCUGCAUAGCUGAGCUACUUGGCCAUAAAUCACAUCUGCGAGUAGAGAACCGCAGAAGCGGUUGCGCAUCUGCACUUAGGAUCCCGCAUCUGCGGUACUAGAAGUUCCUUCAAUUUUCCGCUUCUGUGUUAAGACAUCAGCUUAUGCGGAGCCGCACCUGUGAGGAUUCUUCCGCUGGUGCGGUCAACGGGCAUCAGAACUGGACGGGAAUGACAUUUCACAUUUUCUCAAUUCCAAACCCACAAAUACACGACCAAGCCUAUUGGGGACAAAUAUUUGGCUUAUUUUCAGUCUCUAAGAGUAGAGAGAACAAGUCUUGGAUGCUAGCGUUUGCACACACACUUUGUUCUUGAAGAUUUGAAGUUUUUGGUUGGGAAUUUCUUACCCAUUUAUGUUCAUUCAUUCAUUUCCUUGAUUUGUAUUGUAUAUCUAAGUGUGUAGUAUUUAUUCCAACACUUUAAUCUUGUUUAUGGAAAUAUUCAUAUUUAAUGUGUGGAUUAAAUUGCUUGUUGUGCUUAUGUGUUGAAUGAUCUUUUAUCUUUUAUGAAGUGAGUUAUUGUUUCUUUAAUUAUUCUUGUUCUUUAAUGUUUACAAAGUUAUUAGCUAACCCUAGGACUCACCCAUUAACUUUGAAUUAGUUUUGGGAAAGAGUAUUUGGGGUUGGAAAAGAUUAACUAAUAAGAACUUGAGGCUUUAACCCUCAUUUUAUAGAUUCUACCUAGGGUAGGAUUGAACUACUUGUAGCCAGAAUCGGGUGUGCUUCAUCUCCUAAUUGUUUUAGGUAUAAUUCAAUUAGGAAGUCUUGUUAGUCUUUUGAAGAAGCUAAUAUAGAAUUAUUACCUGAUGCUAAUUAACAUAAGCUCUCUCAUAUUUGUAAAAUCAUGAAAUACAUUGUACCGUUACUUGAAUAUAAUUCCUCGUGUAUCCAUACUAGUAGCCAUUGAUCAUUUUACUUGCUUUCUAGGUUAGUUUACAUUUUUGCAUUUAGGUAUAAAUAUUUUGUAAAAACAAUUCUAAGUGUUUGGCAUUGUAUAACAAGUGAUAAUUCUCUUACAUUCCUAAUCGCCUACAUAUUGUUCUCUGGGGGAUUCGACCCCGACUCAUAGUUGGAUAAAUUAUAUUGCAUGCAACCGUGUCCAUUUAUUUUUAGUAGUCGAUUUGGUCGUCAUCAUGAUGCGGCUGAUAAAUCCAUUGCCAUAUACUUGAGGGAAGCCACGGCCGUUACAAGUGAGUUGAGGGAGGCCUCCGACUAGGGAAAACGGAGCAAUGAAUUGGCUAAGUGCCUAGCCUGGAGGGAGACUCUCGAAGAAAUCCAUGCCCGAGGGUUCAACCCUGCCUAGGAGAUAGCCGAGGCGAAUACGUGGCAAACCGAUGAUAUGUUUCUUGUCUCCUCCGAUGAAGAGGAUGUAACGAGUGGCUUCGGGGACGAGGAAAGUGAAGAAGAUGUUCCCGAGGGAGAAGAGACUCUCGAAGAUAGAGCAGCUGAAGAUGCAGUUUUUGAAGAUGACGCACCUGGGGUGUGACCCCGACAUUAGAUUAGGUUUUCUUUUUUGUGCAAGGUCCCCUUAUGGGCAUUGUAAAUAUGUUUUGUAAAUUUCCCUUAUGAGCACAAAGUAUCUUUUUUCUCUAUCCUCGACUUGUGUUGAAUUUCAUUUUGUCCUCGUUUGUGAAAAAUUUUGAUGAUUCAAAUACUCAGCUCGAGUAUCGGUUCAGACUCGUAGUACACCCUUAUAUUUUUAUUACUCAAUAUAAUUGUGAUGACCCGAAAGGUCAUCCCUUGCUUUAUAAGUCAAAACUAUGUUUAGAUGUCUUAAAACCUCCUUUUGUCUCACCUAAAUUUGCGUGCGUAGUUCGGGUGCAUUUUUGGAAAGCUUCUAUGUGAAAUGUAAGAAAAAAAUUAAUUUUUACCUUUAAAAUUGAUUAGAGUUGACUUUGGUCAACAUUCUUGGUGAACAAACUCGGACCCGUGAUUCGACGGUCCCGUAGAGUACGUAGUAAAAUAUGGGACUUGGGUAUAUGCCCGGAAUCGAAUUCCGAGAUCUCUAGCCCAAGAAAAGAAUUUUUAAAGAAAAUUGUUUGAUGGAAAAUAUAAAGUCUUUUAGAAGUUAAAUGAUGCGUGUUUUUGAUGGUAUCGGACCCACAUUUUGGUUUUGGAGCCCGGUACAGGUUUAAAAUAAUAAUUAAGUUGAAUCUGUGAAAUUAGAAUCGGAGUUGAUUUGGUAUAAAUCGGAUCUUUAGUUCAUAAAAUAUAAAUUUCAAUGUUCUUAAGGAAAUUCAUGAAUUUGAGGUCAAAUUCGUAGUUGUUGAUGUUAUUUUGAUGAUUUGAUCGCACAAGCAAGUCCGUGUGAUUUUUUAAACUUGCGUGUAUGUUUGGUUUGGAGCCCCGAGGGCUCGGGUGAGUUUUGGAUAGGCCACGGGGUGAUUUGGACUUAGGAAAUUUGCAGCUGUGUAUCUGGUAGUUUUGCACAGGCCUCUAAUCUCACAAUUGCGAGAUCACGCUUCGCAAUUGCAAAGUGGUCAGGCCUGGGAAAUGCGACCAAAUUGUCGCAAUUGCGAAGCAGGCCUGGGCAAACCCUCAUCGCAAAUGCAAAGUUUGGGCUGGGAAUUGCGAAGGGACCUCUGUCGCAAAUGCGAAGGUAGUAGAAAUUCUCAAGGUUUGCAAUUGUGAACCCUUGAUCGCAAUUGCGACAUCUGCGACAUGUUAAGUGGGAUUUUGAUGGGAUUCUUCAUCAUUUUACAACGUUCUCAAACCCUAAACAUCCUUGGAUUAUUUUUCAAAGGCUCAAUCUUCUCCAAAUCAUAAGUAAGUGAUUUCUAACUCAUCUUCUUCCAUCUAAUCCAUCUUUUUAUAUGAUUUCACUUCAAAAUGUAGGGUUUUUCAUGGGAAAUUGGGUGUUUUGGAUAGAAAUUAGGAUUUUCUAAUUUUGGGAUUUGGACCUCAAUUUGAGGUCCGAUUUCAAAACUAAUUGCAUAUUUGUGUUCGUGAGUGAAUAAGUGAUCGGGUUUUGGUUCAAACUUCGGGUUUUGACUAAGCUUACCCGGGGUUGAUUUUUGACUUUUUGGGGAAAACAAUGGAAAAUCUAUUUCCAUGCAUUAGAAUUAGUUUAUUUAGCAUUUAUUAACUUUAUUAAGUAAAUUAUGACUAGAUACAAGCGAAUUGGAAGUGGAACUAAGAGGUAAAGCGGUAAUUGAGGCUUAAUCAUGUCCGUGUAAUCGAGGUAAGUGUUUGGCCUAACCUUAGCUUGAGGGAACAUGAGUUGUGGUCUUAUUUGCUAUGUGUUAGUAUAGGUGUGGUGAUGAGUAUCUAUACGUUGGUGUCAAGCAUGCCCGUGAGUCUAAUAUCAUAAUUGUUGUGACUCUAUUAUGUAUCGAUCAUGCUCAAAUUGAUGAUUAUUAAUGUUGAACAAAGGUUAUGAAAGUUUCUUGGUAAUUGACUAUUAUUGAGUAUUGACUCAAGUUGAGUUUCAUUUUGUAAAGUAACUAUUGAUAGCGAGAUUGGUUAUAGCUGAAUCCCUUGCCAGGAUGUUGUUGUUGAUUCCCUUGCCGGGACAUAUUGUUUGGGUAAGGAAGAGUGUAAAGCACGAAGGGUGAUGCCGUGUCGAUAUUAUGAGUGUUAAUGCACGAAGGGUGAUGUCGUGCCAUGAUUUGAGAGUUCACGAAGGGUGAUGUCGUGCCGAUAGUGUGAGGAAUAAUGCACGAAGGGUAUGCACGAAGGGUGAUGUCGUGCCAUGAUUAUGAGAGAUAAUGCACGAAGGGUGAUGCCGUGCACGUGUUACCGUUUCAUUAUUGUUGUAGAGUUAGAUAUGAUGUUCAUUAUGCUCCUUUAUUGAUGAUUCUUUAUUGGCUUAUUGUUAGAAUCUCAUAUUCAUCGUAGCAUGUCACCUUCCCACCUUAUUCUAUUGAUUCCUGUUACUAUGAUUCUAUUUGUACAUGAUUUAACUGCACAUGUAUAUAUAUGAUUGUCGUGUCAUGGCCUUGUCACUACUUCGCCGAGGUUAGGCUCGACACUUACUUAGUACAUGGGGUCGGUUGUACUGAUACUACACUCUGUACUUUUUUGUGCAGAUUUCGGUACCGGACCCGGUGAGUAGCUGAGGUAGCUGCCUUCAGUCCAGGGAGACCAAGGUAGCUCUGCUGGCGUCCGCAAAGCCUACAGUCCCCCUUCCCUAUUUUAUCUUUCUGCUGUCUCUUUCAUUCCAAGAAUAGUUGUACUUUUCUUUCCAUACUUGUGUUUGUAGUAAAAUUUUUAGUUGUUCAUGAAGUUGUGACACCAGAUCCGUGGGUAUACAUGUAUUGGAUUAUUUGAUCAUGUUAUAACUCUUCCGCAAUUAUCAUCUGUUUAACUUUAGUUUUUGUUUAUAUCUGUUUGAAUUGAUUGCUAAUGUGUUAAAAUCUUAAUAGUUGGCUUGCCUAGCUUUCAAGAGUAGGCGCCAUCACGACUCCCGAAGGUGGAAAAUUCGGGUCAUGACAAUAACACCCCUUAAUGUUUUAGAUGGUCCUCGAGCUAAGCUUAAAUUAAUUUGAUGCGAGCUCAGAACAACGAGACUCGAGCUCAGAACAAUCAGACUCUUGGGUCCGAGUUGAGUGAGAACGAAGUCUCGGACUCCUAUAUGCUUUUGGCUUUUAAGCUCUUUUAAGCUGGCCCUUAGGCUCUUAUAUAUCAGCCCUUAGGCUCUUUUAAAAUUGGCCCUUAGUCUCUUUAAGUUGGGCCGUCUCGGCCUCUAAAAUGGCUAUAUAAUUUUUCCCUCAUUUUGGCUAAAAGACUUAGUGAAAAUUUAAUUAUGCCAUAGUACGUGUUUUCGUACCCAUUGGGUUUUUCGAAUGUUUGACGUAUCAGAACCUUAUUAGUAAUUUGUUUGUGUAAACAUAACUGAAUAUCUCUUGAGGUAUUUCUGAAGGAUAGGGUUAUCAAAGCCCUUGGAUUAAUUGAGGGCUAGAUUUAUUAAGGCCCUCAAAUUUUUGGGGGCUGAAUUUAUCGAAGCCCUUCAUAUUUUGCUUUUGCAUAGGGUAGCCUGAUUUAGCUGGUUUUACAAUAUUUGAAAGCCUUCAAUUUAUAGUGGAAGUCGGACGUCUCGGAGCUGCAUUAUUUUGGCCGUAGCCUUUAUAUGAUCGUUGUCUUUAGUGUGGCUGUAACCUUCGUGUAUGUCACUUGGACUUGUUUCCUGAUAAAUUUCCGAACUUGUUCGGAGAGUUAGUACCCGAGUAUAUUAGCCUUGGUCUUUGCUUCGGGGGCGUGCCUCUUUGAGGUCUUAUGAGUCUGAGUUUCUGAUGACUCAGAUGUACUGCCUGUCGAUGACAGUUCCCGAGUAUUCGGGGGUGCUUUUAUGCUUUGGCUCUUGAGCCGUUUCGCAUAAGAUUAUAAGUGUAGAGCUCGUAUAAUAGUAGACUUUCUUUGAGACACAAGGUGUUUUGAUAUUAACCGAAUGCUUCUUCAAAUAACUAAUACAAGUGUACAUGCUUUGCCGUUGAGGCUCGACUAUUCUAUAUGGACACAGUUCAUUUGACCGUUUGGCCCAUUACAAAGUUCUCCUAUCGAGGCCCUCUUAGGCGUGAAGCAUUUUCCUCAAAAUAUAACCAUCCGAGGGUGAAGCCCCCUAGUAUUCGAGGUUAGUUGAAAAGAAUCCUUGGAUACUGUUGAGUUUACCUUAGGUAGCACAUAGCUGUUGCCUUGUUAAAAAACUUGAUGGUAAAACCCAUUUGGGACAAAAUCCAAUCUAAGGGAAAAAGUGUGCAAUGCAUGCUUUAAAACCUAAGGUCUUCGUGUAAAAAACUAUACCUUCGACAUCGUAUGCCUUCGAUCCAAGAUCUAUAAUGAGUUAGUUUUAAAAAAAGAUAAAGUCGUACCUUAGUAGUAGUUGAGCAAUGGUAUGUUCCAAUUGUUUAGCAGUUGUUGACCUUUCAUUGUGCUAAGUUUGUAAGAUCCUUUAUCGACAACUUAGAGGACUCAGUACGGUCCUUCCCAACUCGGGCCUAGUUUCCCUUCAUUUGGGUCUCGAGUAUUGAGGGUGAAUUUCCAUAGGAAUAAGUCCCUGAUUCCAAAAUGUCGAAGGUUGGUUCUUCUAUUGUAGUAUCUUUCGAUUCUUUGCUGCGCGGCCAUCCGAACAAGCGCUGCUUCUCAAUUUUUCAUCUAAUAAUUUGAGGCUUGCAUUCAUGGCCUCGUGGUUUGACUCCUCCGAUGCAUAUCGACAUCUAGUGCUGGGUUCCCCGACCUCAACGCGGAUGAGGGCCUCAAAACUAUAUACUAGAGAAAAUGGGGUGGCCCCCAUGCCAGACUACGAUGUUGUCCUAUGCGCCCAAAGGACCUCAGGUAAAACUUCUCUCCAUUUUCCUUUCGCAUCAUCUAAUCUUUUCAUCAAGUUCUAAAUGAUAGUUUUAUUUGUUAACUUGGCUUGUCCGUUUCCGGUUGGAUGGUACAGUGUCGAUAAAAUCCUCUUUAUUUUAUGCGCUUCUAGGAACUCCGUUACCUUGCUACCUAUGAAUUUCUUUCUGUUGCCACACACAAUCUCGGCGGGUAUCCCGAAUCGACAUAUGAUAUGGUCCCAGAUAAAGUCGUUGACUUCGUUUUCUCUAACCUUCUCGAAGGCUGUGCUUCCACCCACUUAGAAAAAUAAUCAGUCAUAAACAAAAUGAAUUUAGAUUUACAUGGAGCUGUUGGUAGAAGGCCGACUAUAUCCAUUCCCCAUUUCAUGAAUGGCCACGAGGAUAAGAUUAAACGAAGUCAUUCUCCGGGCUAAUGCAUCAUUGGUGGAUAUCGUUGACACUAGUCACAUUUUUGAAAAAUUCCUUAGUAUUUUUUUCCAUGCUGUCCCAAUAGUAUCUUGCUCUGAUAAUUUUGUGGACCAAAGAUUCAGCACCAGAAUGGUUCUCACAAGUGGCUUCGUGGAUUUCUCGUAGAACAUUAUCAGUGUCCCCUGGCCCCAAGCACACUGCCAAUGGUCCAUCGAAUGUUCUUCAGUACAACUUUCCAUCUUUAUCUAAUGCAAACCUAGCAGCCUUGGCUCAUCGGGCCCUCGAUUCUUUGUGGCCUGAUGGGAGCUUUCGAUUCUUCAAAUAGUCGAUAUACUUGUUUCUCCAGUCCCAUGUUAAACUUGUUGAAUAUAUCUCGGCAUGGCCCUCUUCAACCACAGACUUUUAGUUGGACGAUAGUCCCCGGGACAAUGUCAUUUUCUUCCAUGGAAGAUCCCAAAUUUGCAAGUGCAUCAGCCUCACUACUUUGUUCUCGAGGUACGUGAUCUAGCGUCCACUCCUAGAAGUGGUAUAAAAUUACCUGUAACUUAUCCAGGUACCGCUGCAUUCUAUCCUCCCUAACCUCGAAAAUCUUGUUUACCUGAUUUACCACCAAUAGAGAAUCACACUUAGCUUCGAUGAUUUCUACUCCCAAGCUUUUGGCUAGCUCAAGACCUACAAUCAUGGCCUCAUACUCGGCUUCAUUGUUAGUUAAUACAGAAGUUUUGAUAGAUUGCCUAAUGGUAUCACCCGUGGGUGGCUUUAAAACAAUGCCAAGCCCGGACCCCUUCACAUUUGAGGCACCGUCCGUGAAAAGGGUCCAUACCUCCGAUGUUGUACUCAAGCUUAGCAGGAGUUCUUUCUCCACUUCGGGCACGAGGGUUGGCGUAAAAUUGGCCACGAAGUCAGCUAGAAUCUGAGACUUGAUGGCCGUUCAGGGUUGAUAUUUGAUAUCGUACCCGCUAAGUUCGAUGGCCCAUUUGGCCAAUUGGCCUGAUAGCUCGGGCUUAUGCAAAACAUUUCGAAGGGGUAAUAUAUAUAGUACACAUAUAGGAUGACAUUGAAAAUAUGGUUUUAACUAUCGAGAUGCGCUUAUCAAUGCAAGUGCUAAUUUUUCUAAGUGAGGGUACCUAGCUUCAGCAUCUCCUAGAGUUCAACUUAAAUAAUAAAUAGGAAAUUUCAUACCUUGCUCUUCUCGAACUAGUACCCCAUUUACCACUAUCUCAGAUACUGCCAAGUAUAGAUAAAGUUUUUCAUCUACCUUCGGGGUGUGAAGCAAAGGUGGGCUCGAUAGAUAUCGCUUUAGUUCAUCUAAGUUUUGUUGACAUUCCGGGGUCCAUGCGAAAUCCUUUUUAUUUUUGAGCAAGGAAAAGAACCGAUGAUUCCGAUCUGAUGACCUCAAGAUGAAUUGACCUAGAGAAGCUAUUCAACCUGUUAACCUUUAAAUGGCCUUCACACUAUCCAUGACCGUGAUGUCCUCGAUGGCCUAGAUAUUAUCGAGGUUAAUUUCAAUAACACAAUUCGACACCAUGAAACCGAGGAACUUACCCGAGCCUACUUCGAAGGCACAUUUUUUCUGGGUUGAGCUUCAUUUUGUAUUUUCUCAAGAUUUUGAACGUUUCCUGCAAGUAAGUCAAAUAGUCAUCUGUGCGUAGGGACUUAACCAACAUAUCAUCAAUGUAAACUUCCAUUGUUUUACCUAUUUGUUCUUCAAACAUUUUGUUAACUAGGCAUUGGUAUGUAGCUCCUGCAUUUUUUAGCCCGAAAGGCAUUACAUUAUAACAAUAAGUCUCAAAUUUUGAAAUAAUCGAAGCCUUUUCCUGGUCCUCUAGGUUCAUUUAAAUCUGAUUGUACCCAUAGUAGGCAUCGAGAAAAGUCAAGAUCUCAUGGCAGGCCGUGGCAUUGAUCAUACGAUCGAUGUUGGGCAGUGGGAAAGAAUCUUUCAGACAUACCUUGAUCAAGUCCUUAUAAUAUAUGCACAUUCUACACUUGUCACCUUUUUUAGGAAUUACGACUACAUUGGCUAGCCACUCGGGGUACUUUACCUCCUGAAUAAAUCCUAUUUUAAGGAGCUUGGUUACCUCGUCCUUUAUGAAAGCAUGCUUUACCUCGGACUGAGGCCUCCUUUUUGCUUCACCGGUUUGAACCUAGGAUCAGUUCUUAGCCGAUGCAUGGUGAUCUCCGUUGGAAUCCGUGUCAUUUCUAAAUGGGACCAAGCAAAGCAAUCCAUAUUAUCAAUAAGAAAUUGAAUAAGUUUUUUCCUGAGUUCGAGAGUCGAUCAUGUUCCUAGGUAUACCUUUUUCUUGGGCAUGUAUUCGAUCAAAAUGACCUGGUCCAGCUCCUCGAUAGUUGAUUUGGUAGCAUCGGAUUCUUCGGGAACGACAAAAGUUCGGGGAGUAAGGAAAUCCUCAUCUUCAUCUUCGAUUACCUGUUGUUCUGAUUCCAUUGAGGCUGGAAGCGGUAAUUGUUAUUUGACCGCCUGUGUACCCCUGAUGCUUGAUUUAUCCAAGGUCAAAGGCUCUGGUAUCAGAACUACCCCCUCGAUCGCAAGCAUCUCCUUUGCAGCAUGUUGUUCUUAGUACACUAUUUUCACUCCUUCCUCUUUUGGGAACUUCAUCAUCUGGUGAAGAGUUGAAGGCACCACCCUCAUGUUGUGUAUCCAUGGUCUCCCGAGGAGCGCGUUAUACCUUAUAUCAUCUUCGAUAACAUGGAACUUUGUAUCUCGUAUGGCCCCGACUACAUUUACUAGCAAGAUAAUUUUUCCCUUAGUUGUUUCUCUUGCCAUGUUGAAGCCAUUUAGGACCCGAGAUGCAGGUACAAUCUAAUCAAGUAGGCGGAGUUGUUCCAUGACCCUCUAUCUGAUUAUGUUUGCCGAGCUAUCUAGAUCCACUAAAACACGUUUAACUUGAAUUUUAUUCAAAAGGAUAGAGAUUACCAGGGCGUCGUUGUGAGGCCGAGAUAUGCCUUCUACUUCCUUGUCAUAGAAUGAUAAGAUGUCCUAGGGCACAUAACUCUGAGUCCCUUUUUCUCUAGUGAUUGAUACUAUGGUGCGCUUGAGCACUGGUCGUUGAGGGACAUCGACUCCACCAAUGAUCAUGUGGAUUACAUGUUAUGGUUCUUCUUGUUCAUUUUUCCUUGCAUCUCUCUCCCUAAAGUGAUUCUUAGUCCGAUAACGUAGGCAUUCUUGAAGGUGGACCUCAUUGAAUAACCGAGCCACUUCUUCCCUUAGCUGCCUGCAAUCCUCUGUUCUAUGACCAUGUGUACCAUGAUACUUGCAUAUCAAGGGGCCUCAGCGGGGUCGGUGUGCUUAUCGAACCCGCUCUUACUCAUGAGUCCCCGAGAACUUUGACCUCGAUUGUUUCUCCGAUCGCUCCGGGGAGUGUUGCGGCUCAGGCCGUUGUUCCUUCGAUCGGCAUAUGGCUGUUAUCAUUCUUUGUUGAAUCUCGAUUCUUAGUAUGUAUCCUUCGGGGGAUUGGCUGCGAAUCUGUUAGGAUGAACUGAACCUGAGGGGGCUCCCAACUGGUCGUCCUCGACCCUGAACUUUGAUUGAUAACGAUUGUGCACAUCUGACCAUGUCACAACUGGAUAUUCGAUCAAGUUCUGCUUUAAUUGUCGAGAAGCGAUUAAGCUCCUUUUAUUCAGACCCUGCAUAACGGCCUGUACUGCCCAGUCAUCGAAGACAGGUGGUAACUCCAUUCUUUCCAUCUGAAAUUGGGACACGAACUAUCUGAGCAUCUCGUUGUUCCUUUGCUUUAUUUUGAAGACGUCCGAUGUUCUGGUGGCCACCUUUAUGGCCCCGGCAUGUGCUUUCACAAAGGCAUCUACUAGCAUAGCAAAUGAAUCUAUGGAGUUAGGAGCCAAGUUAUGAUACCAAAUCAUGGCUCCUUUUGAUAGUGUUUCCCCAAACUUUUUCAACAAAACUUACUCAAUUUCAUUGUCAUUCAAAUCAUUUUCUUUGAUCCCGCAAGUGUAUGAAGUAAUAUGCUCGUUAGGGUCGGUUGUCCUGUUAUAUUUGGGUAUAUCGGGCAUGCAAAACUUCUUGGGGAUGGGCAUCGGAGGCGCGCUUGGGGAGGGGGGGUUUGUUUGAACUUUUUGGCGUCUAAACCUUUGAAAACUGGAAAUGCUCCCGGUAUUUGGUCUACCCGGGAGUUAUAAGUUUCCACCUUCUUGUCAUUUUCUUUAAUUUUCUUUUCUCUAGACUCAAUCUUCUUUGUUAGUUCCUCGAGCAUUUUCAUAAUCGCAGGGUUAGUCCUCGAGCCUCUUUCAUCGGGCCUCUAUAACAUUGGUUCAGUACACCAAGUGUUUACUGGUUUGGCUGUGUUUAGAGUUCUAUUCUGGCUCUGAAGUUGAGCGAUGGCGAUUUCUGAGCUUGCAGCAUCUCGAAUAUCAAUUGGAGGUUGACUCCCCCGUCUUCCAUACCCUGUGUUCUUUGGCCUCCGGACCAUGCUUCGUUGUGUAUAUUUGCUUGAGGGUCCGCAUCUAGAUUUGCAUUCAAAGCAAUGUGCGAACUAACAUCAAAAGGUUCCACAUUUCUUCUCCAAGACCUUCGUUGUCGUGAAUGGGUGCAUUUUGUGAGCUAGACAUGUUUCAGCCUAAAUAUCAACAAAAUCUUGACAAGAAAAAGUGUAAAAACGGUAUGUGUAACGAGAAUCAACAAAGAAAUAAUCACUAUUAUCUUUAGCCUCAAGGUGGGCGUCAAACUGUUAACCUCGAAAAUAUAAGUAACAAUUCAAUUUGAUUAGUAGUUUUAAAAAUAUAUUAUUUAGUUCAAUACCAAUUAAUAAUCAACAAAUAUGAAGUUGAAAUGAAAGAUAGAAGUGAAUCAAACCAAUGUUACUUAGCAGCAGUGACCUCGAGCUUAGUGACCUCGAGGUGGCUUAGGGUAGUAAGAGCAAUUAAGUAAUAAAAAUAAAGUAAGAACAAUGGAGCUAAAGGAGAAUGCUGAUGAAUAGUAGGCAAAAAGGUAGAAAGUAUAUUCUUCUCUCAGUCAUUAUAAGAUAUCUUACAAAUUACUGGGGUCCCCUUUAUAUAACAGGGGAGCCCUAAAUAAGGAAUAUUUCUAUUUACAGUAAGGAAUAUUCUUGGUACAGCUGUCUAACUACCUAGUACGGAGUAGUACAAUCAUAUUCCGGGAUUCGCACCAUGACUUUGGGGAGAUGGGAGGAAUCUAACUUGUUCUUGUACAAAUCCAUAAUGGUACUAUUUCGAGGUCGAGCACACUCGACCUCGGUAUGCAUCAUGCUUCGCCCUCGAACUCGGGUCUGGUUCCUCGAGCUCGAACUUGAUCUUACCCGGACUCGGACUUCGGACGACCUCAUAAGCAUAUAGAUCGAAGGCAUUCGAUCUCAACCGUAUAUAGUAGGAACGCACACUUGCUUUAAUUUUUCAGAAUUUUAAAUCAAGUCUCAUACAUUGUACGAAACAUAGUCUGUUGUAAAAUUUCAAAUAUCUAUUUGUUUAUAGAUUUUAAUAAUUGUUUAGUAGAUUUUGAAAACAAGAUCUUCAAAUCUCAAAAAGAGCUCUAGAGUAGUUUUUGAUGUUUACUGACAAAACCUCAAAUUCAUUUCAAGUGAAAUGCUUGUCCAAAUACAAUUGCAACCUUUAAAAAUCAUUUUUCAUCUCAUCUUCAAAAACUCAUUUUUUCAAAUAUCUACUAAAUCUAUGGCCAAGUUGUAUUGGUGGAAAAAAUUACAUGACACGUAGACUGUCAGCAAAGUUGACGAGGCAUGAUACGUGAAACAUUGACAAAAGGAAUUAGCAAGUGCAGGAAAAGGCACGGAAGAAAUAGCUAUAGGGUUAUAUUGAAGAGCAAACCGAACCUAACAGCUGCAAGGAGGAAAACAAGAGCGGAAUGAAUAAAAGAAACAAAGAUGGAAAGAUACACAAACUAGAAGUAAAUAAGGAAGGAAAAUAAAUGCAGUUACAAGGAAUUUUUAGUCAUAAAUGUUACCGUUAUGAUUGCAUACCGUAACGGACAAUCAAUACAAUUAAUCCCACUAACAAGACCAAAUUAAGGGAAUUGUUGCAAUUGUACCCUCCUAUAUAAGGGUUGACAUUUCACUUGUAAAGGACACAUGAUCAUAACUAAAAUUCAUACUGUUAUUCUUUGCUUUAUUCUCCGAGCUUUAAGCCUUAAUAUUCAGGAGUGAUUAUUAGUUUAUGUCUUAUAUUCUCAAUCAAUUAUUUUCGUUCUUUGAUUCGUUGCUUCUAAAAUCAUUGGGAAAAGUGAAGUAAAUUUUGGUUAUCAGUAACUCGAGUUCUUCUAGACAUUGACUUUGACUGAGAAUUCUAUUUUUAGUUAAAUAAAUUGGUUCCGUUACCAGAAAUCUAAUAAUCUAUUCACUUUCCAAACUUCGUUUUUCAACAACCAAGUAUGUCAACCAUUAACGAAAAUGAUCAGCUGAACUAACAAUGUGGAACUCCACCACACCACACACCAACAGUAUCCCCUCGGCAAUCCCGUGAGAAUUCACCUGAAAGAUCUGCUUCGCGUGCUGAUGAUCAACAAAGAGACGACCAAACUGUAGAGCAUGAUGCUCUAAAGCAGUUGAUUACAGAACAUGUAAGCAGUGUUUUGCAGGCUUUUGUCAGAUGAUUACCUAAUGCAGCGCAAACUCCUCCGCUAGUUAACACGACAAAUUUGGAUAACCCGUGUUCAGGGCUUGAUUACUCAGGGAGUGGAGAAAUUCCUAAUGAAUCUCGUGGUGGAUGGUUAGGUACACCAAAUAAUUUUAAUUUACAAAGUUUAGUGCUAACCUUACUACCACACCUCAUUUUUCCUACCCCGGGAAGGGUAUAAGAGAGUUUUUUCAAUUUAAGUGACAAUCAAAAUGAAAUUAUUUAAUAAAAUCAGAGUUGCCACUUAGGAUAAUUCAUGGUGUCCAAAGUCACCGGUUUAAAAUUCCAAAUCGAGGAAAGAUUGACUCUGUUUUACAGUCCUCGAACACAGAAAUCUAGGUAAGGAUUUCUGUUAACCUGGAAGAAGGUGUUAGGCAUUUUUGGGUUCCAAGGUUUUAGCACGAUCGCUCAACUGUUAUAAUUGGCCUAUUCAUCUGACUUUACAACAUUUUUGAAACCUAUGUGCAUUUUAUCCCUUUUAACCUCUCUUAAUAAUCCAAUUACUAUACUAAUAAUUAUUUGAUUACAUGUUGCGAAUCAUGUCACGGGAACCGUACCCACGAUCUACAACAUGUUUAUUUUAAUAACAAGAUUAAAUUGUGGCCGGAUCACAUAAAUGUACCCCCGGAUUUUAGAAAUUAAGCGUCACGACCACGUCACGGGAACCGUACCUGUAACCAUGACAAUUGUUUAAUUAAUGCGCCUAAAGUAACUACGAUAGUUCGAAGCAUUUUCUAAACUAAAUUUGUAUUCAUGUGAGGGCCAUAUGUUAUGAAUUUUAUUUGUGUAUGGCGCACCUCCAAUUAUUUUAAAGAAAAGGUUUGUAUAUAUCUUUUGAUGGCAAACUAAAGAUAUUCCUAAUUAUCUAAUUUAAAAAAAACCAAGUACCACAACCACAUCACGGGAACCGUACCCGUAGUUGUAAUAGUUUAAUUACGUGCCUAAAGCUAACUACGAGAUUCAUUUUAAAUAUAUAGUUAUGAUAUUAAUGAGGGCCAUGGGUGAUUUAGUCGAAUAGCACACCUCAAUCUAUUUUAAAGAAGAGAAUCAUGUCCCAUACUUAUAAACAAAUAUAAACACAGUGUAUUUAGUCAACAUCAACUCAAACCAACAUGUUCCUAAGUUCCUUCAAAAUACUAUACAGAGAGUACAAUCCACGUGUUUCAUUAUUGGCAACUCACACCCUUUAGGACCUGACUUAUUCAUUGUCAAUAUCAUCACAAUUAAACUCACCUUAUGCUACAAUGCACACCACAAUUUAUCAUCACAAAUACGAGUGCUUUCCAUGAAUGUAACAAAUUAGCAUUUACAAGAUAACCUUGAGAUACUCACACUUCGACCAGAAGCCUAGUAAAAAAAUUCAAUAAGGCAACAAAAAGAAAAAGAAAACAAUGAGAAAGAGAGGUGUGUUGAAGACUAUCUAACUGUAGCAAAUGAAACAUGAGUGUGAAUGUGUGAGGGAUCUUGUACAGAAUGAAUGAACUAAGGCAUGUAUUCACUCUCUAAGGUUGGUUGUGUUUGUGUCACAGUAGCAGCAUGGUUGAAGGCACUGGAUUCAACAAUACCAGAUUUUAAUUUUUAAAAGCAAAUCCUAGCUUGAACUCACAAAUAUACAUGAAUAAAUUUCAGCAGAAAAUGCAUGAAAUAAUCCUUCAAAGUUCAUUAUAAUCUCAAGGCAGAACAUAGCAAACACAUGGAAUUGAUGUCAGAUGGCUAAUAUUCACAUUCAUUCUCAAUCUUUCACACGAGAAAACAACCAACAAUGUUUCGUAUAUUCAUGGCCUGGACUCAAAAAACAGAAAAAACACCACACUAGUCUAAACUUGCUAACUGGCAGAUUCAAACCAAUAGAAAGGGAGUGAUUGUCAGCCAGUCAUGGAGAAGAAACAGAGCAGGGGAUUAUGCAGGCCCAAAUCAAAUUGUGACAUCAGAGAGAUCAUGAUCGAAUGACGAAUUAAAUACACACAAACCACUAGGAUUGACUUGAUUAAGAUUCGAAGAUUCGUACAGUGUUUAGGAACUAAACGAAGCUAACCAAACCAAUGACGGACAACGAACACCAGAGAACAAUUUCAAAGAACUCAUUUUAACAUAUACAUAGCCAAACCAAACCAAAAAUACUCGUGAAAAUGGUAAACAAACAUAUUACGACCAACAGUCACCAAGAUUUUAAAAAGUUCCAAAACCAGCUUGGCUCAAGCUCUCAAUACAUUUUUUAAGCAAAUGCCAAAGAUAGGCUACAGGAGAUUAGAAAUGAACCUGAAUCAGUAAACAAUUCCGAUUAACUUUGCUGGAACGUUGAGUACAUGUGAAAUACAAUAGUUAAUAUCAGCACAACCAACAACAGAAUCAAGUAGAAAUCAGAAGCUCGUGACAGCAACAAACUCAACAACUCUCAAUCGAGCACCAUUUUCAAACAAACUCUAACCCAAAAAACGGAAUAUGUAUUUUUCUGAUUUUAUUUUCUGAAAAGUAAUCGAAAAUGAAAACCAAUUCAAAGAACAGUAAACAUUUAACUUUAUAUAUCUUUCUCUUGUUAUGGAAAACUAAACUAAAAAAAAUGGAAACGAAGAACAAGAAGAAUCUCUUUUUAAUCCUCGCCUUUCUGCCCAAGAAAAAUCCCUCCAAAUAUCCCUCCUCCUUUACAAAAUCGGAUCCGGUCCUUUUUGAAAACAAGCCCCUGAUGAAUGUGGGGCUUGGAUUGAGUGAAAUCAAUCCAACACCUCACACUCAUACAACGAUCGUCCUCCAGAACCUUCCAAUCACGUGAUAUAGGUUCAAAAUCAGGCAAGUGAGGGAACGGGGGGGGGGGAGGGGGGGAUCAUUGGUGUCAGAAACUGUUAGAAUAUUCAGUGACGUGGUGAGAUUGGGGGGGGGGAGUGCGUGAGGUGAGUGAACUCGGAUGAGGAAGAUGAGUGAACAGUAGGCGCCGUUGGGUCUUUAGGAAUUUAGGGUUUUGUAUUGUCUUUGUGUUAUAAUUGGGAUUGUCUAGUAAGGGAGAAAAAGGGGCGUGUCGUGGUUUUGGUCUGGUGGGCGGGUGAAUGUGUUUGGCUAGGGAAGUUUUGGCGACUGGGGGGGGGGGGGAUUUGGGCUCAACAAUCAGUUGGCCCGAUUGGUUUUAAAAAGAAAUCCCUUUUUCAUUUUUCCCUUUUCCUUUUGUUUUCUUUUCUUUAUUUAAUUAAUAAAAUCCUAAAAUUAACUCCUAAGUUAAUCUAAGUUAUAAAAUUAAACUAAUUGCUUAGUCACAAUAAUUAUAAAAUUACUUAGUCCUAAAUCAAAAGGAAAAAUCAAUAGACUAAAAUUAAAAGGUGUAAAAUGAGCUAUUAUGUGAUUUUCGUUUUUUUAAUAAAAGAAAUAAUUACUAAUUAAUUCCAAAAAAUGUAAAAUCAAACCUAAAUGUAAUGCAUGGUGUUUUUUGGUAUUUUUUGAUUUUUAAUGGAUAUUAAAUAUGCCCAAUAAUGCAAUUAAUAAAAUUCUAUGAAAAAUCCUAUAAAAUUGCAAAUAUUGAAAAAAAAAUUAUUUUCUUAUAUUUUAUGGGAGUAAUUCAUAUAGGGAAAAAAUCACGUGCUCACAGCAGCUCCACUUUGCACGAAAACACAAAAAGUUUUCGUGCAAAGAUAAAGUGAGUGUAUACGAGCGAUUUUUACCCGUUUGAAUACUCUGUGGGAAGCAUUUUUUUGAAAGAUUUGAUCGCACCCUACUUCUGAGGUUGCUGUAUAUCCUUGGCUAUAAAAGAAUCAGGUCAGUAGAGUUCGGAAAUUUUUGGUAGCUAGGACUACCAGGAAGUUGUGAUUUCGCUGUUGCUACUACUGCUACUGCUUGCUGAACUCCGUAUUAAAUCAAGACAAUAUAAAAGAAGCUAGACUAAACUAUGAUCUAUGAAUUACAAGAAUCCUAUCUAUACAUCUUCAAACUUGAUCUUGCAAUUUCUGCUGCUCCGUUGACUGGCACUCUCCCGGUGAGCUUCCUUUAUUGUUGACUUGAGUUGUAUUAUGAAGUGAAUUCCUUUAUUCUCUAGGCGGGCGCCUGAUUUCCAACAUUUGAACGGUAUUCCCUUAUUCUCUAGGUGGGCCCCUGAUUACUAAAACUUGAAUUGUAUUCCCUUUGUUACCUUAAACUGUUUUCCCUUGAAACAUAUGUUGUUUUCUUUUGAAACUUGAACUGCCUUCCUUGUUCUCCAGGCGGGCGCCUGAUUGCCAAAACUUUAACCGUAUUCCCUUACUCUCUAGGUAGGCGCCCGAUUACCAAAACUUUAGUUAUAUUCCCUUGCUCUCCAGGUGGCCGCUUGAUUGCCAAAACAUUAACCGUAUUUCCUUGCUCUCCAGGUGGGUGCCUGAUUGCCAAAAUUUUAACCGUAUUCCCUUGCUCUCCAGGUGGGCGCCUGAUUGCCAAAACUUUAACCGUAUUUCCUUGAUCUCCAUGUGGGCGCCUGAUUACCAAAACUUUAACUGUAUUCCCUUGCUCUACAAGAUGGCGCCUGAUUGCCAAAGCUUGAACUGCUCUCCCUUUGUUCUCCAGGUGGGUGCCUGGCAUCAAACACUUGAACUGCUUUCCCUUUAUUCUCCAGGUGGGCGUCCAAUUUCCAAAACUCGAACUACUUUCCCUUUGUUCUCUAGGUGGGUGCCUUAUUACUAAAUCUGAAACUGUGCUGUUCUUGCAAUUGCUUUUCUUUGAACUGCCUUUCCUUGUUUCUCCAGGCGGGUGCCUGAUUGCUUGAACAUGAACUGCUUUCUAUUCUUGAAACUCGGGUUGUCUUCCCUGGUUCUUCAGGUGGGCACCUGAUUUCAACAAAAACAGACAAAACAAAAGAAAUUUUUCUGCCCCAGUUUGAUAUUGGGAACAUCUGUGAGUGUUAACCAAUCCUUGUUAUCAAAAUAAAUUCUAAAUUAAAUUCCUUUAUCCUGAAAAUUUCAAACCAAGUCUCAUCUCAAAAGUGAAAAAGUUUAAAUGCUAAAUUAUACUUCCCUAAAGUAGAACUUACGCUACUCUUGUUAUCUAUGAAGGUCUUGAAAUUUAACUAGGUCCCAUUAUCCAGGAGGGUCCUGAGAAUUUCCAAUUGAGUCUCGUCCUAAGAAUGAAAACUUCAAAACUAACUUAUAUUUCCACAAAGUAGAGCUUAUGCUAGAUCUUGUUACUCAUAAAUGUUUUGAAUUUUAACUAAGUCCCAUUGUCUAGGAGGGUCCUGAUAAUUUACGGUCAAACCUGUCCGGUACUUGAUUUCCUUACAGAGGGCUCCUCCGAAACAAUUUUUUUUUUGCCCUUGUUUCAAUCAAAGAAAAAUCUUGUCAGUUAAAAAAUGUGGCAGUUAGUUUGCGGUAUUCGCUGCCGUGCUUUGCUUUGACUGGCUGCUUUGAACAGGACAAGAACUGUUUGCCUUUCCGUCUGAAUUUUAACCCACAAGACCUUGAAUGACCUGAAUGCUCCACAUCCAACCUGGUGUUUCGUAUUUCUUCCCUUCCAAUUUGAACCUCUGUAUACUCCCUAAAAUGUACAAACAACUCGACUUCUUGUACUUUUAUUAACACCAUACCUUCAUUUUUGCAUCAUGCUAUUUCUGGCAUGCUUUGGCCGUACUUUGCUUUGUGCAAUUUUGGUAGUUGGUAGUAGGCUUUGCGAUCCUUUCUUUUGCUUUGCAAGGAUAACAUUUAAAAAUACUUAGAGGAAUAGACCCAAAAAGAAAUGAAAUGCAAUGACUUCGACAGUUAUGAGCAGAGAAGAAAAAUCAAACGGAAAGACUAUUUGAGGAAGAAAAGGAAAAAGGGACUUAUCAGAGUGAAGCAGAUGACAUCAAUGAUCAUGACAUGCGUUUCGGAUUAAUCAGCCCUGCCUAUUCAACCAAUCUUCUUUAAACCUUCACACUUUUAUGCCUGGGGUUCCCAUAAUCCGACUCUCUUGCCAAGUCAACAACCGUGUUCGGUUUGCGGUGCCUUGAGGGUUUUCACCAGCAAACCUCUCUCAUUUAUCCAUAUCUUAACUCGCCAUCGCCUUAAAGAGGGGUAUGAAAGAGAAUGCCUUCGUCAUUCCAGUCAUACCCCUCUUUCAUACCCCGUGUUACUCAAAGGGGUAACAACGAGUAAGGUGUUUAGAUNNNNNNNNNNNNNNGUAUCAUCUUUAUGUUCUUGUUGGCUGCCUCGACUGCUCCAUUCGCCUUGGGCAGUAUGGGGUGGAAUUUCGAUGUGUAAUUUUAAACUGUUGACACACUUCUUUCAUCAGGUUACUAUUAAGAUUGGCACCAUUGUUAGUGAAGAUCACCUUUUGGAUCCCGAACCAACAAAUUAUAUUCGAAUGAACAAAAUCAACCACUGCUUUCUUGGUCACAGAAUUUAAAGUUUUAGCUUCAACCCACUUAGUGAAAUAGUCAAUGGCCACGAGAAUGAACCUGUGUCCAUUGGAUGCUACUGGCUCAGUUGGUUCGAUGGCAUUCAUACCCCAAGCAACAAAGGGCCAUGGUGCAGACAUUCGGUGCAAUUCAAAUGGUGGAGAAUGAAUCAAAUCUCCAUGUACUUGGCAUUGAUGACACUUGCGCACAAAGAUGAUGCAAUCUCACUCCAUGGUGAGCCAAUAAUAACCUGCUCGGAGAAUUUUCUUUUCCAGAACAUACCCACUCAUAUAUGGUCCAUAGACUCUGGAAUGCACUUCGGUCAUGAUAGUCGAUGCUUGUCUAGCAUCUAUGCAUCUCAACAAUCCAAGAUCUAGAGUUCUUUUGUACAAAACUCCUCCACUGAAGAAAUAUCCACUUGCCAAACUUCGAAUUGUUCUCUUUUGAUCCCCCGUGACUUGCACCGGAUAUACCCACAUUCUGAUGUACUCUGUGAUAUUGUGCAACCAAGGUUCACCGUCAAGUUCUUCUUCCACCAUGUUACAGUAAGCAUGCUAAUUGCGGACCUGAAUAUGCAGAUGGUCAACAUAAGCCUUAUCUGGGUGAUGUAACAUCGACACAAGAGUAGCCAAAGUGUCAGCAACCUCAUUGUGGAUCCUAGGAACAUGCCUGAACUCCACUGAUCUGAACCGCUGACAGAGAUCCUGCACACAUUGCCGAUACGGUAUGAGCUUCAAAUCUCGGGUCUCCCAUUCUCCCUGAAUCUGAUGCACUAACAAAUCUAAGUCUCCCAAAACUAGCACUUCUUGGACUCCCAUGUCCACAGCUAACCUUAAUCCCAGAAUGCAUGCCUCGUGCUCAGCCAUGCUGUUGGUACAGUAGAAACGAACCUGGGCAAUAAUAAGCAUUGCCCCUAUCCCGACACCUUUCAUGUUAGCGGCUCCGUCAAAGAAAUGUUUCCAACCUAGUUUUUCAACCUACUCCACCUCAUCAAUAUGCAUCACCUCUUCAUUGGGAAAAUAUGUUCUCAAUGGUUCAUACUCUUCAUCGACCGAGUUCUCGGAAUCGGCCAAUGCUUGGGCUUUCAUCGUGGUCUGAGUCACAUAGAUAAUGUCAAAUUUUGUGAGCAAAAUCUGCCACUUUGGAAGUCUUCCUGUGGGCAUAGGCUUCUGAAAGAUAUACUUUAAAGGAUCCAUGCGAGAAAUGAGGUAAGUGGUGUAGGACAACAAAUAAUGCUUUAACUUAUGCGCUACCCAAGUCAGGGCGCAACAUGUCCUCUCAAGGGGAGUAUACUUAACCUCAUAAGAUGUGAAUUUCUUGAUGAGAUAGUAUAUGGAUUGCUCUUUCCUACUAAUGAUGUCAUGCUAACCCAACACGCAACCAAAUAAAUUAUCCAGGGUUCUCAAAUAAAGAUUCAAAGGCCUCCCAGGCUCCGGCGGGACCAACACAGGUGGGUUCGACAAAUACUCUUUUAUCUUAUCAAAUGCUUCCUGGCACUCAUCAGUCCAUUUGACUGCAACAUCCUUCUUUAGCAGCUUAAAGAUGGGCUCACAAGCCAUCGUGAGCUGAGCAAUAAACCUCCUGAUGUAGUUCAACCUCCCUAGCAGACUCAUCACCUCGGUCUUGUUCUUUGGCAGCGGCAAUUCCUAGUUGGCCUUGAUCUUUGACGGAUCCAACUCAAUGCCCCGCCGACUGACUAUGAAUCCCAACAACUUCCCUGAUGGAACACCAAAUGCGCACUUUGUAGGAUUAAACUUGAGGUUAUACCUAAAGAGCCUUUGGAAAAACUUUCUCAAAUAUUUGACGUGGUAAGACUGCUUCCUGGACUUUAUGAUCACAUCGUCCACAUAAACCUCGAUCUACUUGUGUAUCAUGUCAUGGAAUAUGGUUUUCAUUGCCCUCAUGUAUGUUGCCUCGGCAUUUUUCAAACUAAACGGCAUGACCCGGUAGCAAUAUGUUCCCCACGACGUGAUGAAUGUUGUCUUUUCCACAUUUUCCUCAUCCACUAGGAUCUGAUGAUACCCUACGUAGCACUCCAAAAAAGAUCCAAUCUCAUGCUUAGCACAAUUAUCGAUCAAAAUGUGUAUAUUUGACAGUGGGAAGUUGUCCUUUGGACUUUCUUUGUUGAGGUCACGGUAAUCAACACACACUCUUGUCUUACCAUCUUUCUUUGGCACAGGCACAACAUUAGCUAAACACGUGGGAUACCACGUUACUCGAAUGAUCUUUGCAUCAAGCUGCUUUGUGACUUCCUCUUUGAUCUUCACGCUCAUAUCAGUUUUGAACUUUCUCAACUUCUACUUGAUGGGAGGGAAUGCUAGAUCAAUUGGAAAUUUGUGGACCACCAAAUCGGUACUCAAGCACGGGAUGUCAUCAUACGACCAUGCAAAAAUAUCCUUAUAUUCAAACAAUGCUUUAAUUAUUUCUUCUACAAUUUGCGGUUCAACAUGGACCCUUAUCUUAGUUUCUCUGACAUUAUUUGGGUCCCCUAAAUUGAUUGCUUCCGUAUCAUUCAGGUUAGGCUUGGGUUUUUCUUCAAAUUGAUUUAGUUCCUUACUAAUCUCUUCAAAGGCCUCAUCCUUAUCAUAUUCUGACUCAUCAUGACAUUCUAUUUAUUGGAUUAUUAUUUCAGAAUUAGGUUGACUUUUAAGGCUUGGCAGAAGAUUCCUCAUACAUGUCAUGUCAUUGAAACUAGCAUAAAAAGAACUGUACAAAGAAGAAAAGAAAAACAAAAAAUGAAACUAUCAGGAAUGAUGGAAAAGAGAAAUUGCAUUUCAUUAAAAAUAAAGGAUAACAGGGUUUGUACAUCAACAAGCAAAAAAUAAAAAUCUGGGUAACAACCCUGGAAUGACCCAAAUAGAAAGGAAAACAAAACAAACUACCAAUACUCCUUCUAGGUAGGGAGAGGAGUAGUCUUCCAAUUGUUAAGUUUUACGUUCGGCCCGACGAACUAUACGUCUACUUUGCUAGAACCUUCUCCAAAUUCUGCCAUGUUCACAUCAUCAAACAACCUUUGGAACCUUUCAAUUAACUCCUCAUCAAUGUCAACCACAGAACUUGGAACUGUCGUCACUGGGCGUUUCCUGGCACCGGGCUUGACAAAAGACCUAGAGAGAUGCGGGAUAGGCUUUGGGAGUGCCCACGCCUUCUAUUUCAACUUUUAACCCUUUUUACAUCUACCGCUGUAGGUUUGAAUCCAAGACCGAAAGUACCCAAAUUUUUAGGAAGGGACAAUGGCUGUAUGAUAACCUACAAAGAUGCACCCAGACCUUUACCCGACACAAAGCCAAUUUUCAGCAUUUUAGAUGCCACCAUGACAGAUGCAGAGGCUAUCUUUCGAGUUAGAACGCAUUUACCUUCUGGAACUUUCUUGACCGGCACUGUUUCAAACACUUGAUAAACCCAAGGCUCUUUGUCAUCUUCAGCCUCAAUGAAUGGGACAGAGGCAUCACUGUUAGCACACAAAUUAUCCUCACCAUGAACGACGAUCUCCUGUCCAUCCCAUUCGAACAUGACCAUCUAAUGCAUAGUGGACGGGAUUGCUUUGGCGGCAUAAAUCUAAGGUCGACUUGAUAGAAAAUUGUAAGAGACGGCUACAUCUAGUACCUAAAACUCCAUGGUAAACUCUAUCGGUCCUAUUGUGAAUUCAAGCACUAUAUCACCAACCGAGUCUUUCCCUCCACCAUCAAAACCUCAGACGCAUAUGAUAUUUUUGUGAAUCCUUUCAUCAUCAACUUUCAGCUUGUUCAGAGUAGAGAGAGGGUUGAUACGUACACUAGAACCAUUGUCAACUAAUACCCUGGUGACUAUAGAAUCUUCACAUUUCAUCGUAUGAUAGAGAACUUUGUUGUGUUCAGUACCUUCCAAAUGUAAUUCGUCAUCAGAGAAGGUGACCCUGUUCACCUUAAAUAUUUUGUUGGUGAUAUUCUCCAGAUGGUUCAUGGAAAUUUUGUUGGGGACAUGAGCCUCGUUCAGAAUCAUCAUCAAGUCCCGAUGAUGCUCAUCUGAGUUGAUUAACAAUGACAGCAAGGAAAUUUGAGCAUGUGUCUUUCUUAACUGCUCGACGAUGGAAUAAUCUUCUACCUUCACUUCCUCUUAGAAACUCCUCUGCCUCUUCUUCAGUCACUGCUUUCUUUAAUAGGACUGAUUAUCUCUCGAUGUUUUAGCUUUCCUUAACUCUUCCGGGGCAAAGCAUCCCCCCAAACGAGUUAAUCCCUGGGCCUCAUUGACUUCUUCUUUCACUUCCUUUCCCUUAUAGGUCACUAUCACCUGUUCAUUGUUCCAUGGGAUAGCCUUGGUGCUGAUUACCGACAGCUAGGUUACAGGCUUGAUGAUGACAAGAUCCGUAUGGGGACCCUCUACAAUUAUGAUAGGCUUGUUUGCCAAACCUGGCACGACCACUUUUGACUUUUAUUGCUUUGCUAUAACAUCACUUGGGGAUCUUUUCUCAGCUACCACAGAUGGCUUACCGUUUGUCAUGCUCAACUUAUUCACUGAUCCUUAAACCGUUGGCUUUUUGACUGGCUUGGCCUCGCUGGACCGAAUCAUCAUGACGGUCUGUGAAGGCUUCUUGGGCUCCCCUCCCAUAUGCACUAUCUCGAUCAUGUUUGUUUCCUCAUGGUUCGACAAUGGGUUCUGGUUGAUGUUGGGUUCCUCUAGAGUCUGGACUUCGAUUUGGUUUGUGUCAAUGAGCUCCUAGAUGGAAUUUUUCAAGUACAAGCACCUGUCCGUAUCAUGCCCCGGAGUACCAGAACAAUAUUCACCUCUCAAGGAGUAAUCAAGAUUCUUUGGAGGGGGGUUUGGCAAUUUCGACUCAAUUGGCCUCAGCAUAUCCAACUACCUCAGUCUCUGGAAUAAACUGGUAUAAGACUACCCCAAUGGGGUGAAGGAUUUUUUCCGCUACAACCUCUUAUUUUUGAAUGCUGGAUUGGGUCGGAAACUUGGGCCGACAGGGUUUCGGUAGGCUCGUAGGGGUGGGUAAGAAUUUUGUGGAGCUAGAUAGCUAUUUUGUAGGGGUUGGGGCAUGCCAUUGUGCAUAAGUAGGAGGUUGAGUAUAUGUCUAGGCGUGGUGGAUAGAAAUAUGAGGGUCUUGUGACAGGAAAUAGUGUUGGCGUGGAUUAUAUGGGGGUUGGGUGUAGGUUCGGUGAUGGGGUCGAGGUUGGGUAUAGUGGUGUGCCGGGCCCCUAGUUCCAAACCAUGAUCCUGAAUCAAUUGUUGCCACAUCUUUUUUCUUCUUCUUUCCAAUCACUCCCCCAGUACCGUUCUGAAUGGCUUGGGUAGUUGCCUUAAUUGCCGAGUAGCUCAUGAUUUUUCUUGAUUUAAGACCUUCUUCCACCAUGCCACCCAUCUUCACUACCUCAUUGAAAGACUUGCCUACACUACUAAAAAAACCAGGGUUUAGCGACGGACAAAAUCUGUAGCUAAACAGAAAAAUCCGUCGCUAAUCUUAUUUAGCGACGGAUUAGCGAUGGAUUAUCAAAAGAUUCUUCUAGCAACGAGCAUUUUAGCGACAGAUUAGCGACGACGUUCGUAGCUAAAUCCAGUUGUUUUGGUAGUGCUAUGGCCGAUAUUAGAUAGCCAAAAUAGGUAGGCUCCAGAGCCUGUAGAAAGUACUCCACCAUUUUGUUCUCCUCCAUCGGGGUGUUAACUCUUGCCCCUUGUUCUCUCUAGUGAAAACCAUAUUUUCUGAAGCUUUCACUAGGCUUCUUCUCAAUCUUAGUCAUAGACAAACGAUAUGGAAUAUUCUCUAUGUUGUACUGGAAAUGACGAGUGAAUUCUUGGGCCAAAUCAUCCCAGGUAUACCAUCUGCUGUGAUCUUGAUGAGUGUACCACUCCAACGCUGAGCCACUCAAACACUCGCUAAAGUAUGCCAUUAAUAGCUCGUCUUUCCUGCCGACUCCUCUCAUUUUACUGCAGAAUCCCCACAAGUGGGCCACCGAGUCUCUUUGCCUGUCAUAUAAAUCAAAUUUAGGCAUCUUGAAUCCCACAGGCAACUGAACAUCAGGAAAUAGACACAAAUCUUUGUAGGCUACGCUCACCUAGCCUCCCAAUCCCUACAUGUUUCUAAAUGACUGCUCCAGGCUUCUUACCUUUCUAAACAUCUCCUCUUGCUCUGGGUUUUUAGGUGGUUUCUCAGUCUAGAUGGAGAGGUCGAAAUGAGGAGUAUAGGAGUAAUGCUCCGGGGCCUUGAAAUUGGGCUUCGGGGGAUAGUAUUGGUUAUCUUGGUUCUAGAAUAAGGGCGCACUAGAGGAUCGGUGGAGUGUAGUGGGUGGGGGUGCCGCAAAAAUAGGGGUGGCUGGUGGAGGGGGUAUGGGAUUGGUUUGGGUGGUGGUGCUGGUGGGGUUUGGGAAGUGGUGCCUUGGUAGUGGUGGUAAAUGGGGAAGCCUGGAGAUGAAUUAACAGGUGGAGGUUCUUGGGAUUGAGCCAGCGGCGGGACAAAAGCAUGGUUGGCGGGGUAUGAUGGUGGUGGAUGCCCUUUUACCAUGCCUGGUACAUCUCUACCAUCUGGUGUUUCAACUUAUAUAACUCCUCUUUCAGAUUAACAUCAGACGCUUCCCCCUCUAUUGACGGACCAAUAGCACUUGCAUCCAGUUCUUGGUUAGCCAUGAUCAACUUGUCUUUGGACCUGGUGUUGUACGGGUGAGUUGUUAGAAUGCCAAACAAACUAACCACUUGCCUGAACUUGAUGACAACAACAAACUUGUUAGCGAUUAAGGGCUUAACAGAUAGGCAACCGCACAUUGGGGAUGCAAUCCACCUAAGCAGUUAACCAUUCCUAUAUACAUUUGAACGGUUGCUUGCAUCAUCCUGGAUUUCACUAAUUGCAAUUUCUUUUCCUUUUUUUUUCAUUCCUGCUUUUUCUUACUUGACCCUUGUUUCUAUCCUUUUAUUCUCUCAUUUUCCUCUCUUAUUUUUUGCAAUUUUUUUAUUUUCCUCCCUCUAUUUCCUCUUUUCAUUUCGGGGUUAUGAUCGAAUCCUAUGGGGAUUGCCUAUGUAUCAUGACGUCGCAUGAAUAAGAUCAAGCAUAGUUCUGGGAACGUGUGUGAAAUAAAACAAAACAUUUUUUUGGGAUUUUCAAAUUUUUAUAAGAUAAUCUUGAUUACGACAACUCCCCCUACAGAUUUAAACAUAAAGACUAACAGACUCGAUGAGUGAAGUGACAACUUCAAAAGAAAAUUGAAAAUACAGACUCGAAGUGAACUAACAAACUGACAAUACAUACUCAAAAAUAAACUAACAAAACAAACUUGAACAGUCCAAGUCAAAAGUACAUAAGUGCUUCAACUGCUUCUCCAGUUGGCCUUGCUGCAUGCCUUUGCGCCAUGUCUUCUUAGAGGUGAAACAACUCAUCCAUGAUCUAUUGGACAAAAGUCAUAACUGAAGUGAAGAAUGUGGAUCUGGUCAUGUCUUCACACUCGUUACAUUUCAUCACAAUGUAGUCCGCAAUUCUCCUAACUCGUUCCCUGAUAAUACCCUUCUCCUGUAACAACCAUCCGAUCAGCUGAGAUCUGGCAUCCAGAACUUGUUCAGCUGUGUGAUUUUGCUCUUGAAGCAGCUGGAGGUCGUUCUCUAGCUGCAGCAUCAGUGCAUAACAGUGUUCUCUUUCUACUUUGAAAUCUCUUUCCUGCUUAGUCAUUUCGUUCUCCAGGACGAUGAUCUUUUUCUUCAACCCCACAACUCCAUUGUCAUAUUUCUCUUUUAACUGUUUAACCAACCGUGCUCGUUCCUCUGCAUUUUUAGCCAAUUUUUUUUGAGCUCUUGCCAGUUUGCCCUCCGCCUUAAAACCAUAUUCACCCACUUUUUGCAUAAGGUUACCUAUAAGCUUUUCAUCUUUUGCACUUCUAACGAGGUUUUCGGCUGAUAUUUUCAUUUCCUGAAUUUGGGCUCGGAGGGCGUCAUUUUAUUGGGCUAGCCUUUUCUUUUCACCCUCAUCCACAACGGCUUGCAAACCAUUCUCAAAUUGAAGAUCUCUGACUUGCUUUUCUAGCUUGCUUAUGGUGGUCCUAUAUGCAUUUUCUUUAGCUAACCAAUCCCAUUGUUCCUAUGAUACCUCGGCAAAUUCUUGAAGAUGGGGUGUUUUGGCUAGUCUUCCAAACUCAAAACUUCUUUUACACCAGGUGAGGUAACCAGGCGAGACUUCACCCUUGGAUAGAUUGCUCACUUGGGUGUUUGCUGUCAAGUACUGACACUCACUCCAGAUCUGGCAAACUGCCGCUUCAUGAAACUGACCAUCAGAACUGAUCUCGACUACCUGAGUGCUAAGGUCUUCGUCCUUUGGAACUACUUGACAUCUCCCCAGCUAUCUCAAAAUAUGGUAUGGAGCAUAAGGUUGUAUACUUCUAAGACCCGUCAGGAGGAAGUGGGGACCGGUAGCCGGCAUGUAUAUGAUUUCAUCAACACGAAGCCAACCCAACUUCCAUUGUAUUUGAUUGGCAGUGAUGGAGUGGAGGUAAGAUAUCCAUUCUUCAACCCCUUCUGGCAUGUUGAACCCGUCGUCCCUUGUAUAAAACUACUCUAUGCAGCUCUUUCCCAUUGACCCAUAGUUCAUGCACUGGGGACGAUGACAUAGAUGCUCAGUCAUCCACAUUUGUAGCAACAAGUUAGACCAUUCAUAAAAAUCUACUCCGGGAUUUCAGGCCGUGAGAGCUCGGAAUAUUUCAGACACUAUCAUGGGUGCUAGGGUGUUUUUGGCAUGGGUAAGAAAAGUGUUGAUGACUUGGGCAACCCGUACAUCGAUAUUUCCAUCCUUCCUGGGAAACACUAAAAGACCCAAAAAUACUACCAUGAAGGCAAAGCAUUUAUGCUCUUCCAAUUUUAGUCGAUUCCUUUUGCUGCAAAUUGUGCCCUCCGGGUUUUCGAAUCCCCAUAUAUGUCCAUACCGCUGAUAUAUGAACUGUGGAGUAGAAAACCCUACUGCCAUAUCUGCAUAUUGGACCCCCUGCUUAUUUUUAGCAAAUCAACAAACUUAUGAGGAGUGACGACUCUCAUCGCAACCAGAUAUAUAUUUCUCAAAGCUUCGGUACUCCCAACAUAACCGGCUAUCUCUUCUAAAGUGGGUGUGAGUUCAAAGUUCGAGAAAUGAAACACAUUGUGGGCUGGAUCCCAAAAUGUAACCAAUGCUUUUAUUAUGUCUCCUCUAGGCCUGAUCCUCAAUAACCCGGUGAGAUCCCCCAAGUACUGGUUUACCACAUCUCGCCCUGAUUUUCCCAGAUCUUCCCACCACAUGUACAGUUCCAAAGGAAUAUUUGUCAUGACCUUCAUUGGCAAGUUUUGACUCGUGUUCAUUCUGCAUAUUUAGAUUAAGGUGAUUGGUUUACACACAAAAUGAAUCUCAUUUGAAAAACUAACUAAACGGGUUAUUUUUGCAAAAAAAUCAAGAAAUUAGGGCUACUUUUGCGAAUACGGCCCUUCAACACUUUGAAAUGGAUGCUUUUAGGGUUGUUCUUGCUAAGUGGCAAAAAUUGGAAAAAAAGAGAAAAAAAACACAGUCAGUGUCUAUUCUUGCAACAAUAGCCCUCCGGUGUCCCGUCGGGACAUUCAACUAUUUAGACAAGAACGACAUGACCCACUUUAUUUACGACAAAAUGACGACGCCUCAUAUAUUUUUCAAAAAGUGGGGCUGGACCCGAUGAGGGUUGCCUACAUAUCCCACGUCCGGUGAGAAUCAAACAUGCGUAGUUCGGCCAAUUUUGACACAACUGAGAAAAAUAAAAACACUUUGAAAUGAUUUUUCUACACUUUUUUUUUCAAAAAUUUUUGGUAGAGUUUCAGGAUGUUUUGGAUACCGUAUUUUGGGCAACGGAUUAAAUCGGCAGAGUUUCAGGAUGCUUUGGAUACCGUAUUUUGGACAAUGGAUGAAAUUUUCUCUCACUCUCCGCACUUGGUCUCUUUUUUUCUUUUUCUCUAACAAUUUUAUUGGAUUUUCUCACUUAAUCUAGAAGCCGGUUAACAUGCAGUCUGAAACAAAUUAAAUGCACAGUAGAACAUGAAAAUACAUCAGGUUGGUUUUUUAUUGUCGGGUACGCCUGUCCUAGAUGGACCCAACCCUUGUAUUGAGUCCCCAAAUUCAAAUGCAUAUGAUACAAACAAGCAUUACUACUAGGGAUCUGGCAUGAGGCUAAGUUAUUCUAAGCUCAUAACCUGUGUAUGUUGUUCUAUAGACUUGUGUACCCGAGUGGACAACUCGAUCCGAAUGGGGGCUACGUACCGGGAACCAAAAGGCCAUCCGACUCUGUAACUUAUCCGAGCCUCCUCAUAAUUUAAGGUAUGACACUAACAGAAGAGGAGUCACACCAACGUGCACAUCCCCGAAGAUAAGAAGAGAAGGGUUUCAUAGAAGUUUAUAUACAGUUCAGAUAAUAUCAAAGCGAUAAAAAGUGGCAUUUAGCACAUUAGGCCCAAACAUGUAAUAAAACCAGAUAAUAAUUUAAGCCAAAUAUAACAAUUAUUCUAAGCUCAAAUUCUUGAACCCUGAACCAGAUAUUCUGUGUUCUAAUCCCUAGCAGAGUUGUCAGAGCUGUCACACCUCAUUUUUCGUACCCUGGGAAGGGUAUAAGGACGUUUUUCCAAUUUAAGUGACAAUCUAAAUGGGAUUAUUUAAUAAAAAAUUAGAGUCGCCACUUGGGAUAAUUCAUACCGUGUUCCCUUGCCUAUAUAAGGGGAACCCAUUCCACUUUUAAAGGGCUGAUGUUGCUCCAUUUCUCCACAAAAGCAAUAAUAUCUCUGUUUACCGUGAAAUUGGUAACAACAAUUAAAUUUGUAAAUGUGAUUCUAAAAAUACGUGAUCUCUUCUUGAGCUAGUUGUUAAAGCAGUUAAUGCUAAGAAUGCUAAGUUUAACGAUGAAAUGCGGGGUAAAAAGAGGCAGUAACCAAAUCGAAGGUGGGGGCUGUUGCCCGGAUGGAGAGAUGAUCGAUGGGACCUCAGGGUCGGCGUUAGUAUCGAUCUCGAAAUAUCGGGGAUAGUCGGGGAUGGGAUAAAAGUUAAAGAUAUAAUUAGACAAGGCUCUUUCGGCUGAUAUUAAGUUAUAUAAUGAAGAACAAGUCAAGUGGCGAUGAAUACAGAGACGGCCUCGAGCCAAUACCAAGUGAUAAACAAGAAGAAUGACCGAAGAUAAAUGGCAUUGAGCCAAUGGGAAUAUGCAAAUUAGAGAAGAGAGGAAGAGAGAAGAUAUUAUUGCCCUUGAGUAGGAUGAUAGGAGUUGCUCUACAAGAUGUUGGUGACCCCCCUUUUAUAGGAAUGAGACGCCCAAACUAAGUACAAGAUGUGUAGUAUGACAAAAGAGAAUGAGAUGUGACAGCCUAUUAGCCUUACGUCGCAUGUGGGUUGACGUCGAGCCGCUUGAGUAGAUUUGAUCGACCCCGGGUGCAUUCCUCGGGGGGAUUCCUAUGUUCAUCGGGGCUUCAGCCGAUGUUUUUCUUAGCAGGGCAUCGACAGGUUUCGAGGGAAGCGACUGACCCGAGAUCUCGUGUUUCCGGGGUCAGUCUUCAAAGCAUUAUGUCAAGGGGAAAUCGAUCACCCAGAUUUCACCGCACACAGAUAGUCUCCGCGUUUCUUAGAGGCAAGUGAUAAGAAACGGUAUCGAUAUAUUAUUUCCCGAUCUCUUGUAUCGGCAUCGUGCUGAUGAUGUUGCUCUAAUUUUAUAGGUAUCGAGGUGCUUCUCCUUUUCGCUUCUUCAGGAUCACCCGAAAAGUUACUACCCUUCGCUCUUUGGAAUCAUACCGUUGCUAUGGGUUCAGCUUCUAUGAAUGCAGUGAUUGCACCUGCCGUUACAUUUUUCGAGGGCGGUAAUGACGCCAUCAGUUGUUUUUCCUCCCCUAUAAAUGGGGCUCCUUGUGGCUAGCUCUUUUAUUCAAACUCCCUUGCAUCUCUACCAUCUUGCCGUGUUUGAGGUGCAAGGCUUCAAGAUUUUAUGCCGUAUGCGCCUUGACUCCUUUAUUGGUCUCUUUUUGGUUGGACGGAGUUGUGCCACCAUGAUAUUAUUGUUGUUGAUGUUGUUGUUGCUGUCUGCUCGGGGUGAUGAGGCAGAGGAUCGAUUCCUUUCGACCCUGGGGGUAUUUUUGGACUAUGCACCACUGCUCAAGAGGGGGCUCGAAUUAUACACCGCUGCUCACCCUCCUCCUUUGGCUCGGCACGUUAUACCCCUUUUGGAUUCUUGGGGGGUGUGGUGGCGGUACCCGCUGGCUGUUGCCUCCCGGGCUGAGGCAACAUCUCAAGAAGUGGCUUGAUGGGAUUGAUACUGGCAGGGUUCAUGAAAACCAGAUUUUUCACCGAGCCAAUUCUCGUCUCCUUCCCUCAUCUCUCUUCCUUUUGAAGAUUCCAUUCUAAGGAAUCGAGAUGAGGUCCUCGAGGGCCUCAGACUUGGAAGAUAUUGUCUUUGAGGUCAUAUUCCUUAGGGGAUAAUGACAGAGAUGCCAUAUAAAAAGUAGGCUAGACUCUUAGGCUUUUGCUGUAUGCAUAUCUUUGGAUUUCCUUUUAUGCACGAUGAUCCCCUUGCGGGCUUCUAUAACCAUAUGUAAGGACCCCUCGAGGGCCGUUGUUUAUGGAUCUUUAUGAAUAUGAAUAUACCUUUUCUUGACUCUUGCUUUCAAUUAUUGCCUUGAUUUUGUAUGUUCUCAUGACCUUCGACGCCCUUGGAUGUCUUCCUCCGUUGUUAGCUGCCGAUGCUUGGCUCGGACAUGAGUGUUUUUCUCGAUCUUCUAUUGAUUAGUAUGGCUUCUUUCUGAGCCUGUUGUUAUACUUCAGAUUGAGCCUAAGUUGAUCUGAUAGGCUCGGGCUGUCGGGUUCUCCGAAUCGCAUGGAGAUAGUUGGUAGAGUCAUGGGUCUCGAGAAUGGUAUCCCAAGUGAAGGUCAUUUUUAGGUACCAUGGAGUCCCUUUCGGACUGAUUGUAGUUAGCCCUUUAGAGCAUAUGUUAUUGACUUCUGUUGAGGAUUUACCCAUGCUCAGGUGCUACCUUGAUCCUUCCUGGAGCCUUUGAUUGAUAAAAAUGGCUUCGUGUAGGGUCCUUCGUGAUCUGACCCUGAAUAGGACCAGUAACUUCGGGCUGCCGGAUCUUACCGUAAAGGCGUGAGUAGUGUUUUUGGACUUCAUAGUGUCCUUUGAGAGGAGGCUUGCCUGAGGGCUGGCGGGUAUAGGGACGUCGAUGACUUCUUUAAUGCCAUCUCCGGGCAGAGGUCUGCCUGCGUUUGGACCAUCCAGAUCAAUAUCUGGGGCCUGUUCCGUAUGAGUGUAUGUUAAAAACAACUGCAUUUGCUAACUGGUUUCCUUUGGCAGAGGCCUUUGAGGUCGUGCGCCUAUUUUGUGUUGGCGAAGGCAUUGUUGUCCUUUUGGGGCUUUGUCUUACAGCGAUGGAGGCCUCCGAGGUUGACUAUUUCAGCGGCGCCGGAUAUGGUGCUGAUGGCUGGUGCUCUUGGUUGUUUUUGAAUUGUAGCUGCCUUUCCCAUACGUAAUGUGAGGCUUCUUUCGCCUCCUUAGGGGUCGUCGGAGCCUGCCUUUAUUGGCUACUUAUUUGGGGAAAGUAGAGACCAGGCUUGGGUGAAUCGUUCCUCCUAAGUGUUAGCUGCUAGUGCCACACCUUCGAAACCCUCGUUAUUUGUUUGAAUAGAUGAAAGGAUGCAUUUCAAGCUAUGUGCCUUGCGCUUCGCCGGCUCUACCUACGAUGAUGGCGAAGUUAGCAGCCAUGCCUUCUUUCCUUUAUUGGACCUUCCUCGUGUGGGCCUGUGACGGGCUUAGUUCUGAGCUACAUUGUCAAGGUGCCAAGCCUAAAAAAAUUCUGGAUGAGGGUGAGUCCCUUAGGCUCCUUAGCGAAGAGAAGGAAUAUGAGCUACAAUAUUAGCAAUAUGAGGCAUAUCAGAGCCCAAACUACGAAAGCUAUUUCAUGGAGCAGGUGAAUUCUUGUAGUAUGCACAUCGCCCCUUUCUACCUUUAAGGCUUAAGGGUGACAUCAACCGCGUCAGAGUUGUUUGUGGGGAGCAAAGGGCUCAAUUGAAGGCUCAAGCUUCGGAGGGGACGAAUGCCUCGGCCAAGGUCUUUGCCUUCGAGGUCCAAUUUCUUGUGGCAGUGCCAAAGUUCAUCUUGUUAUGAUUGGGAAAUUUCGAAUCUGAUCUUUCAAAGUUUUAGAGCUGAGAUAAUUGAUGCUUGGGCCGAAGUGGCACUAAGCCGAACCAAGGUUGAUCGGGAUCUGGCGAUUCGUAUGAAGGGUGCUGCUGAUGCCUAAGCUGAGCUGAAGUGAACCAUCGACCAAGAGAAGGGGAUCGAGGAAUAUGUUCAUUGCAGAUCCCAAAGAGAAGCACUCGAGGAGGUGGGUGCAAGGGGCUCCGUUUUCCCGAAGGAAUCGGCUCGAGUAAGGAGGAGUAAAAGUAGCGCUUGGUCACUUCUUGCUAAAGUCGUAACUGGAGAAUUUUGACAAGUUGUAGCCUUUUUAGUGCGGAGUGUAGAUUCUGCCGGUUUGUCACUUUGUUUCUGAUAUAUGCAGAAUAUGCCUGUAGGUGUAGAAUGCGCCUUUUUUGUGCAUGUAAUAUAUAAGAAGGAAUUUUAAGCUUUACCUCUUCUGUACCUUUUUCUUUGUUAUUGCUUUUGACCAGGCAGGCUGGUUUUGAUGUUCGGUGGGAUCCUCGUAGGUAUGGGAUUGAUCGGACAGGUCCGGGUGCUCUUAAGCGUGAUCCUUGACGUGAACAGGUGUUGGGGCCUCCAUACAUGUCCUGGCUAUUUAGGCUUAGUCUCCGAGUCGUGUUUCGGCUCGAGCCUCCUCACCCUUGCAUUUUUUGUGCCCGUGCAGGUAGGUAAUAUUUGCUUUUAUCUCCUACCCCUAGACAUUUGCCGCUACAAUCAUUUUGGGUUCAAUCUUCGAGUCGCAUUAUGACUCGAGCUUCAAUUGACCCUCAAGCUCCUUCCUGCCUACAUGGGCGGAUGAUGAUGUCUCUUUGUGUGUUGGGUUGAAGUGACCUUACGGGCGCGCGACCCGGAGUUUUACUCAACCGGCGACAGUGGCACUUAUGUCGUGCCUUUAGGCACAUUACAGUUUUCUGGUCUAGUCUCCGAGUCGCGUUGCGAUUCGAGCUGUCAUCAACCCUUAAUUUUUUUUUUGAUUUUCUGGCUGGCGACGGUGGCACUUAUGCCGUGUCCUUAGGCACAUUACAGUUUUCGGGUCCAGUCUCCGAGUCGCGUUGCGAUUCGAGCUGUAAUCGACCCUUAAGUUUCUUUGAUUUCCUGCCGGCGAUAGUGGCACUCACGCCCUUAGGCAUAUUGCAGUUUUCGGGUCCAAUCUCUGAGUCGCGUUGCGAUUUGAGUUGUAAUCGACCCUUAAAUUUCCUUGAUUUCCUGGCCGGCGAUAGUGGCACUUAUGCCAUUUGGUCGUUGAGACCUUUCAGUAUGUGGCCCGGAGGCCUGCAUAGUUAACUAUUUUGGAUCUGGUCUCCGAAUCAGGUAACGAUUCGAGCUUGGCCAGAGGAAUCUCGAUUUCAAGUCGUUGUUGGCGAUGUUUUGAUCAUCUCGUAAGGUUCAUAGCUCGUAGGUCGAGUAGAUCGACGCUCUUGCGGUUUGGAGCCGACGUGGUCGGAGCUCAUUUUUGCCUGUUGAGGGAAACAUGUUUUAACCGGUUCUUUCCGAAGGAUAUUCGAAGUAGUGGCUUGUGAUUUUUAGCGACAGUCGGGCGUCCCUGAAUCGUGUUAUUUUGGAUGUAUCACCCGUUUUUACCGUAGUCAUGUGCGUUUGGCCGUAGCCAUUUUUGAUCCCAAGUGAUAGUUUAGGCAUCUACAUUGAGGGUAUGCCCUUUACAGAUUCUUACAAAUGUGAUGUAUAGCCUAAACUUUGGGGGUUUUCAUGCUUGUUGAGGUCUUACAGUUUGUCAUGCCUAUUGAGGUCUUACAGUUUAUAUGAUGUAUAAUAGAUUUGGUUAUGCCGAGUCUGCCCCCUAGGGUCUUACAAUUUCGGAUUUUCCAGUAUAUGGUGAUUGGCGAUAGUUUCCGAGUCAUCGAGUUUAUUUAAGCUUGAAGACCGCUUCUCGCGAACUCGGAGUUGCAUUGUGAGGGCUUUGUGAGCCCGGGGUUCUGACCCUGGGGUCAUUUGGGUGUUGAAUCAUUUAAGUCUCUGAGUAUCUCGGGACGUAUUUGGCGGAGAGGCUUCUGUCGAGAGUAUACUAUGAUUUUCCCUUUUGGAGAAUGAGAUGUGUUAAAGAUAUUCUCUGAUCCAUUGGCGCAAUACACGUGUUGUUGUGUAGAGUCGAUGUAUUUUUAGGUCGAGUUUGGUUGCUCCGAUGAUUUUUACGUUGUCGUAGUCUGAGAAGGAGCCUUUCUCUUUUUUCAUGGAAAAAUGGGUAUUUUUUGAUUGCCCGAUAUAAUAGUACAUGAUCCCAUUUUGGCGGGGUCUGAUUACAUUGACCGUUUGGCCCGAUACAUCUUCUCCCUGUAGGAACCUUUGCUUGGCGUUUCCCCACCUCCUUCGAAUCGGGUGGCUUCCAGGGGGAAUGCCCCUCGCCACUUGAAUGUUGGCUGUAAGGGUGGCUUCGAGCAAUUCAUGGAGUUUCCCCUUUAGGCAGCUUCGCAGACGUUGCCUCAUUAAAAACCUUACUGGUAAAAACUCUUUGUUUUUGGGAUAAAAACUCGGUCGAAGGGAAAGAGUGCAACGGGCGCGCUUAUGGGGGUCUCAGGGCCUCUUGAUAGUGUUAGCAUUCUAGUAUCUCCGGACGAGUGUCUACACGAGGGUUAGCUCUUUAUCUGGAAUUAAAUAAAAAGUAAUGGUUGUACCUUGAAACGAGAUAUGCUGGUGCCACCUUGAGAUUGGCUUAUUAUGACCGCCCGGGGGCGGACAUGUGAUGCAUAUUUCUACUUCGUGUUGUCAAACCUGACCGGGGUUGAGACCUGAUUCGCCCGCUGGCUUAUUCCGGAGUGGAGGUAUGGGCGCUGAUCACACGUCGUGUAUUUCAAACAUUUCCCUUGCCGCGUGUUGUUCCCCAUAGAUGGUUUUGACCACGUCCUUCGUCGGAAAUUUUAUUAUCUGGUGGAGAGUGGAUGGUACUGCUCUCAUGCAGUGUAUCCACGGUCGCCCAAACAAGGCGUUAUACCUCAUAUCUCCCUCGAUGACAUGGAAUUGGGUGUCUUGGGUUGUGCCGGCCACGGUAAUCGGAAGGACAAUUUCUCCUUUAGUUGUUUCACUCGUCAUGUUGAACCAAUUGAGGACCCGAGUGGCGGGCACGAUCCGUUUGAGCAGUCCGAGCUGAUCUAUUACCCUCGACCUGAUAAUAUUGGCCGAGCUACCUGGAUCCACGAGUACACAUUUUAUCUGAAAAGAAUUUACAAGAAAAGAGAUUACCAGGGCAUCAUUAUGGGUUUGAGACAAGGCCUCGAUAUCUUCUUCGCUGAACGUGAGGGCAUCUUCGGGGAUAUAUCCCCGAGUCCGUUAUUCCCUGGUGAUGGAUAUUUUUGUUCUCCUCAUCACGGGUUCCUGUGGGGCAUUGGCGCCCCCCAUGAUCAUGUGGAUGACAUGUUGUGGUUCGUUUGCCUUGUUUUUCUUGGUUGCCUCCGUGUCUCGAAACUGAUUUUUUGCCCGAUCGCUAAGGAAUUCCCGAAGGUGCCCUUUGUUCAGUAGUCGGGCCACUUCUUCUCAUAGUUCAUGGCAAUCCUCGGUCCUGUGGCCGUGUGUGUUGUGGAACUCACACACUAAGUUGUAAUUUUACUGUGAAGGAUUCGACUGUAUUGGUUUGGGCCACUUGGCAUCCCUAAUUUUGCCGAUAGUGGACACGAUGUCUGAUAUGUCGACGCCGAAGUUGUAUUCCGAUAAGUGGGGCGCAUUUGUCAGCACCAUGUUCCGAUCGAACCUGGUUCUGUUGACGAGCCCCCGAGGAUCCUGUCCUCGGUCUAUCUUCCAAUCGUUGUAGGGUAGGUUGCACCUCGGGGCAUUCCUUCUAUCUUCAUGGUACGGUUGGUACCUUUCUUUGCUUGGUUUCGACUCUUUUACCAGGAGUCUGUUUAGGUAUACUAAGCCUAAAAAGGCUCCUAGCUGGUCAUCCUCGGCCCUGAUCUUUGACUGGUAUCGGUUGUGAAUGUCCGACCAGGUCACGGCUGGAUAUUCGAUUACAUUCUUCUUCAACUGUUUUGAGGCCAUUGAGCUUCGUUCAUUCAGGACUUGGGUGAAGGCCUGCAGCGCCCAGUAGUCAGAGACUACUAGUAGCUCCAUUUGAAAACGGGAUACGAAUUCUCACAACAUCUCGUUCUCUCUCUGCUUGAUUUUGAAAACGUCGGAUUUCCUCGUUGCUACCUUGAUCGCUCUGGCAUGUGCUUUUAAGAAGGAGUUUGCUAGCAUGGAGAACGAAUCUAUGGAGUUGGGAGCCAAGUUAUGGUACCACAUCAUGGCCCCCUUUGAAAGCGUUUCUCCAAAUUUUUUCAGCAAUACGGACUCGAUCUCGUCAUUUUUUAUGUCGUUACCUUUUACUGCGCAUGUGUAAGUAGUCACAUGUUUGUUAUGGUCGGAGAUUCCAUUGUACUUAGGGAGUUCCGGUAUUUUGAAUUUUUUUGGGAUAGACUUCGGGGCUGCUUCCUCGGGGAACGACUUCUGAAUGAACUUUUUUGAAUCCAAACCUUUGAGGACCGGGGGCGCACUUGAGAUCUGAUCGACCCUGGAGUUGUAGGUCUCAACUUUUUUGUCGUUGGCUACAAUCAUUCUCCCACCUAUUUCGAUCCUUUUGGUGAGGUCCUCGAGCAUUUUUACGAUGUCGGGGUCAGCCAUUAACCUGUUAUUUCUUGACCUUUCGAGUGCUCGCUCGGUGGGGGGAGCCGUCUCUAGCGCUGCUGUGCUGGGGGUUCUCAGAUGGCUUUGCAGCUGAGUAAUGGCUAGUUGUUGUACCUGCAACAUUUCAAAAAUAACAUGAAGACUAACUUCCUGUUCCUCCUGGGCCGGAGUUUUUUGAGCUUCCUGUUAGUCGUUGUGCCGUAUGCUCCUAUAGGUGUGAGAAUUUUUGUCAGCUUAUUGUGCGUAGUGUGAAUUUGUGUCUGCUAGGAUCGGUUUGGGAGCGAUAUCAGGAUUCCGCGGAGGUGCUCCAGCGGUCGGGACAGCCAUGCAAUUUUCCCCGUGAUUUUCAAGGUUGUCGUUCUCAACUCCGUUUACCGAGCCAGACAUUUUGGCCUGAAGUCAAAGGAUAUUGGACAAUAAAAAGUGUCAAAGUUGAUGUGUAUUUGUGUAAUGAGAACCAGCAAGAAAAUAGUCAUUAUUAUUUUUAGCCCCACGGUUGGCGCCAAACUGUUUACCGUGAAAAUGGUAACAGCAAUUAAAUUUGUAAAUAGGAUUCUUAAAAUGCGUGAUCUAUUCUUGAACUAGUUGUUAAAGCAGUUAAUGCUAAGAAUGCUAAGUUUAACGAUGAAACGCAAGGUAAAAAUAGGCAGUAACCAAACCGAAGGUGGGGUCUAUUUCCCNNNNNNNNNNNNNNNNNNNNNNNNNNNNNNNNNNNNNNNNNNNNNNNNNNNNNNNNNNNNNNNNNNNNNNNNNNNNNNNNNNNNNNNNNNNNNNNNNNNNNNNNNNNNNNNNNNNNNNNNNNNNNNNNNNNNNNNNNNNNNNNNNNNNNNNNNNNNNNNNNNNNNNNNNNNNNNNNNNNNNNNNNNNNNNNNNNNNNNNNNNNNNNNNNNNNNNNNNNNNNNNNNNNNNNNNNNNNNNNNNNNNNNNNNNNNNNNNNNNNNNNNNNNNNNNNNNNNNNNNNNNNNNNNNNNNNNNNNNNNNNNNNNNNNNNNNNNNNNNNNNNNNNNNNNNNNNNNNNNNNNNNNNNNNNNNNNNNNNNNNNNNNNNNNNNNNNNNNNNNNNNNNNNNNNNNNNNNNNNNNNNNNNNNNNNNNNNNNNNNNNNNNNNNNNNNNNNNNNNNNNNNNNNNNNNNNNNNNNNNNNNNNNNNNNNNNNNNNNNNNNNNNNNNNNNNNNNNNNNNNNNNNNNNNNNNNNNNNNNNNNNNNNNNNNNNNNNNNNNNNNNNNNNNNNNNNNNNNNNNNNNNNNNNNNNNNNNNNNNNNNNNNNNNNNNNNNNNNNNNNNNNNNNNNNNNNNNNNNNNNNNNNNNNNNNNNNNNNNNNNNNNNNNNNNNNNNNNNNNNNNNNNNNNNNNNNNNNNNNNNNNNNNNNNNNNNNNNNNNNNNNNNNNNNNNNNNNNNNNNNNNNNNNNNNNNNNNNNNNNNNNNNNNNNNNNNNNNNNNNNNNNNNNNNNNNNNNNNNNNNNNNNNNNNNNNNNNNNNNNNNNNNNNNNNNNNNNNNNNNNNNNNNNNNNNNNNNNNNNNNNNNNNNNNNNNNNNNNNNNNNNNNNNNNNNNNNNNNNNNNNNNNNNNNNNNNNNNNNNNNNNNNNNNNNNNNNNNNNNNNNNNNNNNNNNNNNNNNNNNNNNNNNNNNNNNNNNNNNNNNNNNNNNNNNNNNNNNNNNNNNNNNNNNNNNNNNNNNNNNNNNNNNNNNNNNNNNNNNNNNNNNNNNNNNNNNNNNNNNNNNNNNNNNNNNNNNNNNNNNNNNNNNNNNNNNNNNNNNNNNNNNNNNNNNNNNNNNNNNNNNNNNNNNNNNNNNNNNNNNNNNNNNNNNNNNNNNNNNNNNNNNNNNNNNNNNNNNNNNNNNNNNNNNNNNNNNNNNNNNNNNNNNNNNNNNNNNNNNNNNNNNNNNNNNNNNNNNNNNNNNNNNNNNNNNNNNNNNNNNNNNNNNNNNNNNNNNNNNNNNNNNNNNNNNNNNNNNNNNNNNNNNNNNNNNNNNNNNNNNNNNNNNNNNNNNNNNNNNNNNNNNNNNNNNNNNNNNNNNNNNNNNNNNNNNNNNNNNNNNNNNNNNNNNNNNNNNNNNNNNNNNNNNNNNNNNNNNNNNNNNNNNNNNNNNNNNNNNNNNNNNNNNNNNNNNNNNNNNNNNNNNNNNNNNNNNNNNNNNNNNNNNNNNNNNNNNNNNNNNNNNNNNNNNNNNNNNNNNNNNNNNNNNNNNNNNNNNNNNNNNNNNNNNNNNNNNNNNNNNNNNNNNNNNNNNNNNNNNNNNNNNNNNNNNNNNNNNNNNNNNNNUAUUUNNNGGAUGCAGAGAUGGUCGAUGGGACCUCAGGGUCGGCGUUAGUAUCGAUCUUGAACUAUCGGGGAUAGCCGGGGAUGGGAUAACAGUUAAAGAUAUAAUUAGACAAGGCUCAUUCAGCCGAUAUUAAGUUAUAUAAUGAAGAACAAGUUAAGAGGCGAUGAAUACGGAGAUGGCCUUGAUCCAGUACUAAGUGAUAAACAAGAAGAAUGACCGAAUAUAAAUGGCUUUGAGCCAUGGGGAAUAAGCAAAUUAGAGAAGAGAGGAAGAGAGAAGAUAUUAUUGCCCUUGAGUAGGAUGAUUGAAGCUGCUCUACAAGAUGUUAGUGAUCCCCCUUUUAUAGGAAGGGGACGCCCAAACUAAGUACAUGAUGUGUAGUAUGACAAAAUAGAAUGAGAUGUGACAGCCUGCUAGCCUUACGUCGCAUGUGGGAUGACGUCGAGCCGCUUGAGUAGAUUUGAUCGACCCCGGGUGUAUUCCUCGGGGGGAUUCCUGCGUUCGUCGGGGCUUCAGCCGAUGUUAUUCUUGGCAGGGCAUCGAUAGGUUUCGAGGGAAGCGACUGACCCGAGAUCCCGUGUUUCCGGUGUCACUCUUCGAAGCAUUAUGUUAAGGGGAAAUCGGUCCCCCGGAUUUCAUCGCACACAAUCUUUCUCUCUCUUCCUCCUAUUUUGUUCGUUCUCACUGGCUUGAGGCCGUUUUAACAUCUACUGUCUUGUUACCUAUUUCAUGCUAUAUUGCGCAACUUUGGCCGUAAAGAGCCUUGCUUGAUCGUACUCAAUUGUUAUACCAUUCUCGGUUGCCCCCGAUAGCUUGAUAUCGGUUCGAGUCCCGACCCCGAGGUCCUUAUCGGCCAGCUUUGCAUCCGGGAAACAGGCCCCUUCGGUUUGAUUACUGUCUUGUUUUAGCUCGCAUUUCAUCGUUAAGCUUCACGUUCUUAGCAUCAACUGCUCUAACAACUAUCUUGGGAAUAGAUCACGUAUUUUUAGAAUCUCAUUUACAAAUUUAAUUGUUUUUACCAUUUUCACGGUAAACACCGGGUAAGGAUUUUUGUUAACUCGGGAGAAGGUGUUAGGCAUUCCCGGGUUCCGUGAUUUUAGCACGGUCGCUCAACUGUUAUUAUUGGCUUAUUCAUAUGACUUUAAAAUAUUUUUGAAACCAAUGUGCAUUUUAUCCCUUUUAACCGCUCUUAAUAAUCCAAUUAUUAUACUAAUAAUUAUUUGAUUACACGUUGCAAAUCAUGUCACGGGAACCGUAACCAUGAUCUACAACAUGUUUAUUUUAAUAACAAGAUUAAAUUGUUGUCGGGUCACAAAAAUGUACCCCCGGAUUUUAGAAAUUAAGCGUCACAAUCACUUCACGGGAACCUUAUCCGUAGACAUGACAAUUAUUUUUUUAACGUGCCUAAAGCAACUACGAAAGUUCGAAGCAUUUUCUAAACUAACUUUGUCUUUAUGUGAGGGCCAUAUAUUUAGAAUUUUAUUUGUGUAUGCCGCACCUCAAAUUAUUUUACAGAAAAGGUUUGUAUAUAUCUUUUGAAGGAAAACAAAUGAUAUUCCUACUUAUCUAAUUAAAAAAAAUCAAGUACCACAACCACGUCACGGAAAUUGUACCCGUUGUUGUAAUAGUUUAACUACAUGCCUAAAUCAAACUACGAGAUUUAUUUUAAAUAGCUAGUUAUGAUAUUUAUGAGGCCGUGGGUGAUUUAAUCAAAUAACACACCUCAAUUAAUGCUAAAGAAGAGAAUCAUGUCCCAUACUUAUAAACAAAUAUAAACACAGUGUAUUUAGUCAACACCAACUCAAACCAACAUGUUCCUAAGUUCCUUCAAAAUAAUAUACAGAGAGUACAUUCCACGCGUUUCAUUAUUGGCAACUCACACCCUUUAGGCCCUGACUUAUUCAUUGUCAAUAUCAUCACAAUUAAACUCACCGUAUGCUACAAUGCACACCACAAUUUAUCAUCACAAAUACGAGUGUUUUCCAUGAAAGUAACAAAUUAGCAUUUACAAGAUAACCUUGAGAUACUCACACUUCGACCAGAAGCCUAGUAAAAAAAUUCAAUAAGGCAACAAAAAGAAAAAAAAACAAUGAUAAAGAGAGGUGUGUUGAAGACUAUAUAACUGCAGCAAAUGAAACAUGAGUGUGAAUGUGUGAGACAGCUUGUACAGAAUGAAUGGACUAAGGCAUGUAUUAACUCUCUAAGGUUGGUUGUGUUCGUGUCACAGUAGCAGCAUGGUUGAAGGCACUGGAUUCAACAAUACCAGAUUUUAAUUUUUAAAAGUAAAUCCUAGCUUGAACUCGCAAAUACACACGAAUAAAGUUUCAGUAGAAAAUUCAUGAAAUAAUCCUUCAAAUUGCAUUAUAAUCUCAAGGUAGAACAUCACAAACACAUGGAAUUGAUGUCGGAUGGCUAAUAUUCUCAUUCAUUCUCAGUCAUUCACACAAGAAAAUAGCCAACAAUUGUUCCGUAAAUUCAUGGCCUGUACUCGAAAACAGAAAACAGCACCACACUAAUCUAAACUUGGUAACUGGCAGAUUCGAACCAAGAGAAAAGGAGUGAUUGUCAGCCAGUCAUGGAGAAGAAACAAGGCAGGGGAUUAUGCAUGUCCAAAUCAAAUUGUGACAUCAGAGAGAUCAUGAUCGAAUGAUGAAUUAAACACACACAAACCACUAGGAUUGACUUGAUUAUGAUUCGAAGAUUCGUACAGUUUUUAGGAACUAAACGAAGCUAACCAAACCAAUGAUGGACAUAGAACACCAGAGAACAAUUUCAAAGAACUCAUUUUAACAUAUACACAACCAAACCAAACCAAAAAUACUCGUGAAAAUGGCAAACAAACACAUUAUAACCAACAAUCACCAAGAUUUUAAACAGUUCCAAAACCAGCAUGACUCAAGCUCUGAAUACAUUUUUUAAUCAAACGCCAAAGAUAGGCUACAUGACAUUAGAAAUGAACCUAAAUCAGUAAACAAUUCUGAUUAACUUUGCUCGAACGUUGAGUACAGGUGAAAUACAGUAGUUAAUAUCAGCACAACCAGCAACAGAAUCGAGUAGAAAUCAGAAGCUCGUGACAGCAACAAACUCAACAACUAUGUGUCGAGCACCAUUUUCAAAUAAACUCUAACCCAAAAAAUGGAAUAUGUAUUUUUUCUGAUUUUCUUUUUUGAAAAGUCAUGGAAAAUGAAAACCAAUUCAAAGAACAAUGAACAUUUUUCUUUAUAUAUCUUUCUCUUGUUCUGAAAAACUAAACUAAAAAAAUUAGAAACGAAGAAGAAGAAGAAGAAACUCUUUUUAAUCCUCGCCUUUCUGCCUAAGAAAAAUCUCUCCAAAAAUCCCUCAUCCUAUACAAAAUCGGAUCAGGUCCUUUUUGAAAACGAGCUCCUGAUGAAUGUGGGGCUCGGAUUGAGUGAAAUCAAUCUAACGUCUCACACUCAUCCAACGAUCUUCCUCCAUAACCUUCCAACCGUGUGAUAUGGUUCAAAGUCGGGCGAGUGAGGAGGGGGGGGAAUCUUUGGUGUUAGAAACCGUUAGAAUAUUCGGUGACAUGGUGAGAUGGGGGGGGAGGGUGCGUGAGGUGUGUGAACUCAGACGAGGAAGAUGAGUGAAUAGGAGGCGUCGUUGGGUCUUUUGGAAUUUAGGGUUCUGUAUUGUCUUUGUGUUAUUAUUAUGAUUGUAUAAUAAGGGGGAAAAUAGGGCGGGU
rnacentral:lncRNA from 1 species